rnacentral:lncRNA from 1 species
CUAUUGCGUCCUUGACGGCUGAGAUGUGGCGCUGGAGGUAGUCUAGCCUUUUCCAGUAAUCCAAUGGAUCAGGCAUGCUUUCGUCGCCUUCCACGUCAGCGAUUCCUAAGUGCAUCCAGGAAAUCCAUUUCUCUCCAAAUCCCUUUUCUCUGAGUAUAUCAAUAAUUGUCUGAUGUUCAAUAGUGUCAAAAGCUUUCUCAAAAUCCAGUUUAAUCACCAUCAUCUCUUCUUUUGAUUUAUGACAUUGAUGGAUAUAUUCAUAUGCCCAACCAAGGUAGUCCUGGAUCAUUCUAGCUUUGAGGAACCCAUGUUGAUUGAUAUGUACCAUGUAGAGAAUAAUUCGUCAUAAUCUAUUGGCCAGUAGUUUGGUAAUUAUCUUAAGUACUGCAUUGAGCAGUGAGAUUGGUCUGAAAUCAUUGGGUUAGACUGGCACUUCCUUUUUUGGAAUCGAUGUAAUGAAGGAUGUAUUGAUGCUUUCAAGAUUUAUAUUACCAGCAUGAAAAUCCAUGAUGAGCUCAGUGAUAUCCACUUUAAUGAUGUCCCAACAAGCUUUGAUGAACUCAUUAUUAAAUCCAUCAGGACCUGGAGAUUUAUUUGUAGGAAGGUUUUUUUACCACUUCAUCAAUUUCCUCCUGUGUAAACGGCUUCUCAAGAUCUUGGAAGAUCUCAGACUCAACACUAUGUUCAUAUAGAUCAUUCAAAUCAAAGUGCAUUGUGUGACCAUUAGAUUGUCCAAAUGUUUUUUUAAAGCCUCCCAAAGAAUAGUUGUUUUCCUUCAUGGUCAGUAAUUUCCACUUGAUCAUCAUUCAGAAGCAUAACAAUUUUAUUAUGUCUAUGAUUAAUAGUGGAUUUGGUAUGAAAGAAUUUGGUGUUCUCAUCACCAAAGUUAACACGUUUUAUUUUUCCUCUUUGCUUCCAAUAAAUCUUGUGAUUAUUAAGUACCGUCAAUAGGAAUGCCUUCAGCAUAGACCUACAAUUCCCUUCAAAUACUAAGAGAUAUUUAUAUUCCUCAAUCAAGUCCCAGAGGAAAAUACAAGCAUUUAAAUCCUCAAACUGCUUUUUAAGAAAUGACAAAUUCUUGGCCCACAAUUUUAAAGAUCUUCACAAAUUCUUAAACUUUGCAUUGAUUAUUUUGGCAGGCUCAGUGUAACCCACAGGAAUAUUCCAGGCUGCUUGAACAAUGUCUUUGAAAGAGUUCUGUUUCAACCAAUAAUUUUCAAACCUGAAUACCUUGGACUUGGGAAUGCAGACCAAACCAAUAUUCCACAAUACACAAUGUUUAUUUGCAGACCAAUUUCAGAAGUGUCGCUUCUAUUCAUUUCCGUUCUCUAAUCUACUAGUAAAUUAAGUCUGAACCGAGAACUGAACCUAAAUUUCGGUCCACCGAAUCUUUGGUUAGGAAUUUUCCCAAUGACCAAUCGGCCAUCCUUUUUUGAAAACCGAAUUUCUUCAAAAGCUGAAGAACCGAACCGAACGGUUCAGUUACACAGAAUGCCCAGCUCUCCAAACGCCUCCACUUUCUCCCAGUUGAACAUGUGAUAUUUCUUACACCGAGUCUUCUUGCCAAAGCAAUCUUCUCCCAAAACAAUCAAAUAUUUUCUUUACUCCUUUUGGCAAGCCAUAAAAGGAAAGCAUGCACAACGGUUUAUAUUUUCUAGACUACGUACUCUGGAGCAAAGCCCCGGUCCUUUAUUCAAAACCAAAUAGUAUGUACAGGGGUCAAGUAGUCAGCUACAUAUACAAAACUUACCUACUUAUUACCUAACAAAAAGGAAAACUAAAGGAGGCUGGCAAUCUAAGCCAGAAGAUUCGGUCUAUCACAAGCCCUCGUUCUACAAGAAAGAAGGGUUAUAUCAUGUACUCCCUCCGUUCCGAUUUACUCGUCAUGGUUUUAGUUCAAAUUCCAUGACGAGUAAAUCGGAACGGAGGGAGUACAAAUUUACAACACCAUGAGCCAAAAGUGGCAUAGCUCUGAAUGUCCUUCCAUUUAUGACAAUCCAGAUAUUCCAUUUCCAAGCAGAGUCAGCAUAACUUCAAAGAAGAAAGGAUGAGCAAACCUCAUGUUUGCCCCGACAAUGCAUGGUCUGAUCUCAGACCCAUGUGCCGGAUCUAGCUAUCUGCAAGUAAUUGCAGAUCCUAAGGCUGAACUAGCGGGAGAAGAAGAGAUGAAGUCUGUAACACAUUACACAUGGGUUUAUUGCUCAAAGAAGCAGUGAGCAAAGAGAUCAUGCCUCCAAUACUAAUUCCCUUGCCAAUAUUCUGAUCUUAAAAACAUUAGAAAACAAGCACAAGGUCUCACUUUAUAUAAAUAAAUCGACGAGUUCCACAAGAACAUGAUUAUUGAACACAAACGUUCAGCAAGCAAAAGGGAAAUAGUUCGGGCUGGGGCGGCAGCACAGAUAAGCCCGACAUAAAGAAAAAGAACACAACCUACAGAGCCCGCCGGAACCGGAAGCUGGCGAGCCACACCCUCCGGAGGCCAAGAAGGAGCCCAUCCAAUCCGCCGUGAUCCCGACGCAAAGCGAGCAUUCGCCAUUACAGAAUCGAUCGAGGCUACUAAUUCAACAUCCCCGGCAGUGAACUGAAACGGCCACAUCCUCCCUUCAUUUUAUUGCACCCAUCCGAUUAUUAAUUUUUUCAAACUAACUGCAUGCCAUGCAUCCAGCCUUGGAUUAUUUGUUCGAACAUAGCACCACUUCGUUCUCCAUCAUACAGAAACGGAAGCAGCUGUCAUGGUUGCGUUGUUAUUGGUAGUCUUAAGCAAGGGUUUUGGGACGGAGUUGAACUUGGAGAACCACUUGGCCGACUUCUUGAGCUUGCGCUUGUUGCCGUCAUUCUUGUCGAUGUAGACAAGGCCGAACCGUGAGCUGUAGCCGAGGCUCCAUUCGAAGUUGUCGAUCAGACCCCACGUGAAGUGGCCCCGCACGUCCGCGCCCUGGCUGAAAGCACACAUACAUUUGAGUAAUCAGUGUGCUAUAUUAGGGUAUGUAUGUAGGUAGGUAGGUAAGAGUACAAAAUAAAUGAAAAAAAGAGGUAGGGUUUUAGCGUGGGUAGUUACUCUAUUGCGUCCUUGACGGCUGAGAUGUGGCGCUGGAGGUAGUCUAGCCUCUUCCAGUCAUCCAAUGGAUCCGGCAUGCUUUCGUCACCUUCCACGUCAGCGAUUCCUACACACACACAAGUUAGACGUAAUCCAUCACACUUCCUUUAAAAAAAAACCUCCCAUGAACCAUUACAUCAUAUCUCCAUGGAUUAGGUCCUUGUCUGAUUUGAGGGAACUAGUGCCACUCGAACACAAAGAUUGUUUACAGAUUAGUGUGUGUCAAUCUUCAUGAGAAUUAGGGUAAUGAGGAUCAUGGAAAUUUGACUAGUUACUUUUGAUGUCAGAUUUUCAACCUUUUUAUUAACGGCAAGUCAACUAAAGUUUGAUAUGAACCGAUGAGUGGUCAUUCGAUUACUACAAAAUCCAAUGCUAUAUACACACACACAUAUCACUACUUACCGUUCUCAGUGAUGAAGACGGGUGGGUUUCCGUAUUUCUCCUUCAUGAUCAGAAGGAGGUCUGUUAGGCCUUUUGGGUACAUGUAGAUCCAAUAAGUCCCGGUCUGCAAAUGGAUGUCCAAACUUUUAAUUAGUAACGAGAAAAAACUUCAGAUUUGUUUAAGCUUUAUUGCAGAAACAAAGCAUUAUCAUGUCUAUGCCACUUAACCAUUUUGUUCAAAAGUUUAACUAAAGUCCUGGCUGACUAGUUCUACCAUAAGAUUUUGGUGAAAAUAAUCUACAUUAUCACUAUCAUCAUAUAUGUCGUAUGCAAAAUUAACCAGGUAGUAGGAAGAUACAUACUAUAGGACCGAUGUCAUUCCCAUCACUUCCUGUAGCUGCUCGAACAGAAGGAAAAAAGUCCAGGAUUAGUAUGAGAACAUCAAAUUUCUCAAAGGAUCUGUAAAGUAUACUAACUAAGGUUUGUCCUCAACCAUAUUUUCUUACUUUCUGAACUGGCGUAAGCGUCGUCGGUGUUCAGCGUUGGCGUAAAGUCUGGUGACAUGUCAACAUGCUUGGAGAAUCUGGAGGUGUAAUAGUUGAGCCCCAUGAUGUCACAUGACGACGCUAGUUUCUCUUGCUCCUCCUUGGUGAACAUGGGUAGACGAUCUCCGAUCAGUGAUCUCAUGGAGAAGGGGUAGUCACCACGAACCACUGGCUCCAGGAACCAUCCCAUGUUGUAGUCAAUGGAUCUUUCCCGGGCCUGGUCGUCGAGGAAGGAGUCUUGGUAUGGCUCGUAACCCAUUACGUCAAAAGCCAUUCCUAUUUUGGAAUCUCCAUGCUGCAGUUGGUUCGUCAAUAUAAAUAAAUUAAAUAUACAAGUAGAUACCACUAGUUGUUACUUGUUUACUAGAUAAUGUAUAUCUCUCUCUUUGUGUAUGUACCAUGUUGUAACGAGCUUUGAACAGCUGAACAGCCUCAGCAUGAGCUAGGAGGAUGUGGUGACCAGCAGUGUAUGGCUCUCUGAGCGAGUCUCCUUCUGGGACGGCACAAUCCAUCCCCGGCGAGCACCUCCCAGGAGCAUGAAUCCCCUCUCCAUAGGAGAAACAACAAUAUGUAUGUGGCUCGUUAAAGGUGAACCAGUUCUUCACCCUGUCACCGAAGUUCUUAAAGCACACCUCGGCGAAUUGUUUGUAAUCAUCUCUGGAAAAAAAAUCAAACCCGAAGGAUGUUCAACAAAAUUGUUUCUUAGCUUAACAAUAAGUAGUUAUGUUAGUUUACUGAUGCAUCAUUGAAUGACAGUACAACAUUGUUUGUGAUCUGAAAAGAAACGUUUUUCUACUCAUGGUCCACUAAUGGCCUUCAUCCAAACCAAAUAGUGUAUAAGCAAAAUCAUAUAUAAAGUAAUCUUGUUCAAAUCGAAUUUAACAAUAUUAUAGUUCGUAGUUUUUGUACAUAUCGUGAUUGCAAUUACUGAUCUUUCUUCAGAACCAUUUUCUUACAAAUCAAUGUACUGUUGUUUGCCGCAUACUUACACAAUCUGCCUAUUUAAGAAGCCGCCGUACUUGUCUUCCAGUGCUUGAGGGGUGUCCCAGUGCCAAAUUGUAACAUAUGGCACUAUGUCUGAGUUUCAAAAAACAAAUAAUUAUUUGUGCGAGCUCUUAUGAGUCUGACUCAUUAAGCACUAAUCAAACAAAGAAAAAAAGGGUUUUCACCGUUAUCUAUCAGCGAGUUGAUCAGCUUAUUGUAGUAGUCGAUGCCUGCCUGGUUUACUUUUCCCGUCCCAUCUGAAAGCCAUAGUAAACAUGUGCUGAAAUUAGGACCCAAAUAUUACAACAAGUCUUAUCGGCUGCGUCUAAUUUGUAGAGGACAUCUUUAUUGUUCCUAACUUAUUCACCAUACAAAAUAUACAUGGUUAUUUUGUAUUUACCUGGCAGUAUUCUCGACCAAGAGAUGGAGAACCUAUACACUUUCAUGCCCAUGUCCUUGAGCGCUUUGACAUCCUCCUGUCAGUCAUAAAUGAUGACAUGAAUAAUGAUGACAACAUAUUAUCAUGCAUAUUUCUAUUUUUAUUAGAAGUGCAUAUUCCAAAUGGUUUUUCAAAAAAAAAAUGCAACGACAUAAAAACAGUCCUGUCAUAAUUGAGAUUUGUUAGAUUUUUGUUUGGAAAAACCAUUGGUCCCGUCAGAGUACUUACUUCAUAUAGAUGGUAGGAGUUUGCUGCAACAUCCCCAUUGGUCAUGUCGGAUAUGCGCUCUGUUCGUAUAUAUACACAUGAAAUUAAGGAGAAGGACGCACGAUAGACUAAUAUGAGUAUGUUUGUAAUAACACUGAAAAGGUAUAUGUUACCAGGAUAUGUGUGGCAGAAGUGGUCCCAAGUGCUUGGCCCCUUGCCAUCUUCAUUCCAAGCACCUUCAAUCUACACGGAUGACGACAUAUAUAACAUUUUGUGCAAUCGAACAAACCACUAAACAUGCAUUUUGACAUCAUGUUUUCCCUUAGGUAUUUGUUAUCAUUGAAACAGUUGACACCAUUAUUUUAUUUUAAAUUAACAGAUAUAAGGUUGUGCAAGAAAAUAAUUAGUACCUGGUACGCUGAAGUGGAGGCACCAAAUAGGAAGUCCUUGUCGAACCAGUCCCUUUUAGGGAUUUGCCACGGCUUGAGCUUAGUGAACACAGGCCCAAUGGGCUCUGCUGGCUUUGACGGUGUGCCUGCCCUGAUGGUGAGGUUACAGAACCUUCCCUUGCUCUUCUGUGAUGAAGCAGUAGACCGGAGCCAUAGGUUCUCACUGUUGCGUCCUGCACGGCUUCUAAGGCUAAGGUGGGUGGUGGGAUUCAGGGUAGCAGCAGCAAGUAGAGCCAUCUCUUGCUAGCAGCUGGCUGGAGUGUUGUGAGCAGCUUGAGGAGUGAGUUCCCUUGCAGGCUUAUGCAUCUAUUUAUAGAUGAGGAUGGAGAAUCUGUCAAGUGGGCGUGGUGGUGGGAUGAUAAUGAAGCUGCGGCUGGAACCCUAGCUAAGACACAAGGCAGUUGGCUAACCUGGUGGGAGCUCUUUGUAACUUACCACUGGGCAUUCCUGCAGCCCACCCCCAAAAAAUAUGGCAGAGGAACAUAUCCUUCUGCUGGGUCAAAUGCAACAAAAAAAAUGUGUUUUGUACAUUAACUAAAGAGAACAGUGAAAAGUUGUGCCUGUAGACAUUCGAAUGGCACACAUAUAAACUUGAACACACAAAGUUAAAGAGAAAUUGCCAAACUGUUUUCUUUAAAUAUCAAUCUCUCUACCCCAAUAGACAUGUUGAAACUCUUCUUAUCUUAAGCUAAUUAACAGUAGUGUCAAAUCUUUACCCCCACGUAGUGCCUGUAAAAUUUUUUUCUUCGAAAAGGGACACUUUAUUACUUAAAAGGUUUAUAAGCAUUACACCCAGCCUCUGCAUAACUAAGAUGCACACAGCCAACAAAGUCCUCACGACAAGCCAAAAUAAAAGAAGAAGGUGAAAUAGAAAGAAGAAUAUUUGUAUAACACCUAAAUCGUAGGUGGCCCAAUUCUAAGAUCAUGCUGCCACCCAUGUUGGGUGAAUGUAUCCCUCGCCGUAGCCCCCAAUCGUGUACACACCACCGUAAACAGGUCUCGAUUCUCCACUCGCUAUAGAGAGGACCAUAAACGAAGCAUCUCGGUACAUCUGUAGGUAACUUGCAUAAGAGAAGUACUUUUAUCGUUAAAAACCUUAUCAUUUCUACAUAACCAAAGCGACCAAAUCACAGGAAGCGCUCCCACCCUAAGAAGAAUUCUAAACUUGUGAUCAAUACCAUGCAACCAGUUGCCAAAUAUAUUAGCAACACUACAAGGAGGAUACAAGCUAGAAGCUAUUUGGAUGACUGACCAUAUAGAACGAUCCAAUUUACAUUGAAAGAAUAAAUGCUUUAUUGUCUAAUCAUGCGAACAAAUGUUUUCUUGUAGUGCCUCUAAUAUGUCCGGAAACAAUUUUCUACACACAUUCUUGUGGGGCGGCUGCCUUAUGUUAGGCAUUGUUGCCCACUAGGAAUGAUGUGGUUCUUAACAAUAAUUGUGUUUUGUUUCAUACCUUAUGAAGGUUAUUCAUGCAUGUACGCGAUGACCCCAUACUUGGUCUAUCCUGCACAGCCCGGAGGACUGAGACCUUUCUAUGAUGGUGUCUACCCGACUGGAGCAUACGGUCAAGGAGGUUUUCUCCCUUCAUGAUGGCGGUGUAAUCUCCAGAUAUGAUCCACCCCACCUUAGGUUGGACUCUUUAUUAUUUUCGUAAAAAGGCAUUUUAUUUUUGGUUGUGUUGGACGUGUUGGCUGCGUGCAUCGUGCUAUGUAGAGGACGCUUUUUAAUGUGGUUGUAUCACCUUGAUAUAUCAAUUAAAUGAAAUGUCCUUUAUAGAAAAAUAACAGUAGACAAAAAGCAUGACUUGACUCUACUUCCUAUAGAAAGUACAAAAUAUAUAUGUUCACCUAGAGGACCUCGACACUAUAUGUUGCAAGUAUUUCAGAAACUUGUUGUUCACAACUUUUAUUGCAUCACUCCAGUUAGCUUAACUUAGCGGCGUGGCCCGAUGCUAGCUCUGCCCCUGAUCAGAUCUAUUGUCUUUCCUAAAGAAAUACCCACCCUUUUCACUUCAAAAUCUUACAUUCUUAAGAAAUUGCUCCCCACUUCUACCAAUUCUCUCAACAUGCACGCUGUCCAUGUCAGCUUCAUGCCAUGUCACCAAUUUCCACAACGGCAUGCAUUUUGUUUGCAGCCGUUAAGACAUGCAACCUUCCAGCUCAGCUUCCUUUACUUCGGUCUAUGGUCUGGGCCGCAAUAUCUUCCACGCAAAUGAUGCAAAAAGAAACGGAUGGUUCUUAAUAUCCCCACUAUCUCACGGCCCUUCAACUUUUCCAUGUACGUUUAAGAAAGAAAAAAACUUCUCCAUGUAAAGAGCAACCCAAGAGGCGUUGAGAAAUUAUUUUCACCUUUAAAUACCUCAUUAGACCACAGAUGUUGCAUGCCCGUCGUCCCCAUUCUUCUCACACAACGUCUUCCUAGAUAGCAACGAUUCAUUGUUGAGGUCGGUUUCUCCAUAAAAGACUGGAGAUGAUGGAGACGGAGACACCAACGAGGGAGUGAGGCAUUGCAUGCAUGUCUUCCACCAUACCGGCCAAGUUGGAUGGCCGGACGCGGAGACGCGGCUGCCACUACUGAUUAUGUUGCCGAUGCCAUGAAGCGUGGGGUGAAACCAUGAAGCGCUCAAUCUAGGCCAUCCGCCCCGCCUUCUACCGAAGCGUCAUAUGCAACACAACAGGUCGCUCACACAUGACUCCCUCAUCACUUAAUUUCUUUCCUUCAAGUACCUGUCUGAUUUCUAUCCCCUACACGAGCAGGUCACCAUGCUGCCACAGACCGUUACGAUGCCAGUUGGCCUUCACAUCCGCUGCGUGGGCUGCACAUCCAGUUGCUGUGGGGAGAAAGAGCCUACAAGUCUUUAUACUAUUUUCAACACAAACGUCAGAAUUUUGUUUGCAACCUGGAUGCUAGAUAGUAGAUGUACUUGCAGCACUAUAUAGAAGUUGAGUGUAGUCACGUUCCAAGAAAUAUUAAAGCAAGGAAUUCAUUCAAGGUGCGGGCAGAGCAAAUUCAUGCCGUGAUGGUCAUGUUGUUUCCUUUAUUUCCCUUCUCUGAUUAGUAAUACAUUUUAUUUACAUAAAUUAUGUGCUAAUAUUUUUACAUUAGCAGAACAUCAGUUUGAAUUGCUUUCGUUGCCAUUGAGAUGAACAAAAUACUUUUGAUGAUCCAAUGAAUACGAAGAUCAUGUACAAGUUUGGUCACAAGCUUAUCAUACAGAGAAAGAUGGUUUCAGAGUUAGAUUAUAUAUGCACCAUCUUCUCCAGUUGUCUUUAUCAAUGAAUAUAAAGAUCAUGUACAAGUUUGGUCACAAGCUUAUCAUACAGAGAAAGAUGGUUUCAGAGUUAGAUUAUAUAUGCACCAUCUUCUCCAGNNNNNNNNNNNNNNNNNNNNNNNNNNNNNNNNNNNNNNNNNNNNNNNNNNNNNNNNNNNNNNNNNNNNNNNNNNNNNNNNNNNNNNNUGUCUUUAUCAAUGAAUACAAAGAUCAUGUACAAGUUUGGUCACAAGCUUAUCAUACAGAGAAAGAUGGUUUCAGAGUUAGAUUAUAUAUGCACCAUCUUCUCCAGUUGUCUUUAUCAAUGAAUACAAAGAUCAUGUACAAGUUUAGUCACAAGCUUAUCAUACAGAGAAAGAUGGUUUCAGAGGUUGAUUAUAUAUGCACCAUCUUCUCCAGUUGUCUUUAUUUUUUUUCUUUUCUUAUUAAAGUGCCCUUCUACUUUGACCUCUUUGUCACACUAGCAUCCCGCUGCAACGCGCGGGGUAUUGUCUAGUUAUCUAAACUAAGUCACCCUUAAGCAUAUACAUAUAUCCCACCAUAACACCCUAUAGAAGAAAGAAACCCCCUAAAUCCUCAUCUAAAUCACCUACCUACUACAUGAUCAGAAUAGUCUAGCCCCCUAAAUUUGCAUCUAAAUCACGUACCCAUCUCUGUGAGGAAUAUGCCGACGAUGCUAACGAAUCAAGGAUUUACCGUGUUCUGUGGUGACAUGCAUGGAUCCGAACACAGUGGCCCUUUUAACCUUCUUGCUACUCACAGUUCGUGGUUCUUGCAUUUGUCAGUACAGUCCACACAUCCAGUGUGUGGUUGUCUGUCAUCACAUGCAUGUGGGGGAUGUAGGAUUCUCGCCGCGUUUCUCAGCGGCGUCAGUUGAGAUCAAGACAAGGCGAUCUUACACUGUCCCUAUAAAAAAGUUUAUCUUGCACAUCAGUUGGUACCAUAUCUCUAUAAGUUAAACGUACCUUGCUUGAUUGAUUGUACGUAAUAUAUUGCAUCGCAUAGCGUACAGCUAGCGUAUCGCAUAUUGAUGUCACCGGCAAGUUCUUGAAUCUAAGGGUAUUAAUCUACAUAUUGAUGUCACCGGCAUGUUGUCAGUCCAGCUAGCGUAUCGCAUCGCAUCGCUAAACGAACCUUGCUUGAUUGAUUGUACGUAAUAUAUUGCUGCUUGAUUCACAAUAACACAUACAGUAGUACGAACACCGUCCUGAUUUAUUACCCCUCUUCGUAUUUAGAGUCAUAUUUUGACCAUACUUAUAACCAAUAAAAUAUAAGUUAUAUAUAGCAAAAAUAAUAUUAUCAAAAAAUAUCUUAAAAUGCGAAUCCAACGGUAUUAUUUUUAGUGACAUGCAUUAAUAUUUAUAAGUUAAAUUUAUGCUUAAAAUUUGACACAAAAUAUGAAGAGGCUAAUAAAUCAAGACCAAGAUAGUGCUACUACUCCCUCCGUUUUUAUUUACUUCGCAUAUUAGCUUUGGUCAAAGUCAAACUUUGUAAACUUUGACAAAGUUUAUACACAAAAGUAUUAAUAUAAACAAUAACAAAUCAAUACCCUUAGAUUCAUUAUUGAAUAUACUUUCACAUCAUAUAGAUUUGUUAUUAUAAAUGUUCAUAUUCUUUUAUAUAAACUUGGUCACACUUUGUGAAGUUUGAUUUUAGUCAAAUCUAAUAUGCAGAGUAAAAAACGGAGGGAGUAUGUCUUUGUUAGUGGUGAGGAUCAAUGCGCCACGUCAGUAUCACAUGGCUAGGAAAGAAGAAUCUGCCAUGUCACUAAUAUUGUUUGGCCUGAUCACAGCAGGGCAGAUGUGCUAUAUUAAUUGUGCUACUAAUGAAUUUGUUCGCUCUAGUGGGAGUCUCCGCAAAUUACGCUGUGGUUAGGCUAGUUGUCAUGGAGAGUAUCGUAGUAUCAUACAUAUAAUACUAGUGUAUAAUAGUACCUUCCUAAUGUAUAGUAUCAUAUAUUAGUAUCAUGUAGUACUUUAUUUAUUGCCAUGCAUGAUACGUAGUAGCAUAGCAUUUAUUAUGAUAUGGUAUCAUGAUAUGAUACUCAACCGUCUCUUUCUUCAUUUAAUUUCAUGACACCUCAUCAAAAUUGCCUAGUUGGCAUGCAUGAUACUUCCAUUACGACCAGCCUUAGCUCGGUUUUUACAGCGGAAGCGAUUACUCCCUACUGUAGACACCACAUUUUGCCACGACAAAAACUUCUAUAAGAUGAACUCAAAUGGGAAAGUGUACAAUAUCAAAAAUCAUCAUGUGUUUGAGAUGAACAAUUUUGAUGUUUGGUUCAUGGCCCUCCGGUCUCAUCUCAAGGGCCAAAGUUGUGAUCAAAGUAAUAAUAUUUGGUAUUCAGAGUACUGUUCGGUCAAAUAUGCCUCCAAGCUAGCUCAUAUGAAAAAAGUGCUCUAUACAGAUUGUUUUUGCCUCAUCAAGUCGAUCGAUUUUGAUAUUUGGAUCAUCUUAAUCCGAGAUCAUACGCAAAAGUUAGAGCCAGCGCAGUGCGCCCCUACCAUGAGCAUUAAGUGACGUCCAGCACCCGACACUCAUAUGACUAUGUCUGAUCGAUAGUACGAGUUAUUGCCUGUUUUGCACUAGUUAUUCGGUGCUCAAUAUGAUCUCGAAUAAAAAAUGUCCAAGACAAAAGUUGCCUCAAAAGUGGCCCGCAAGAUGCAGCCAGGUUUUAAACCGAACAAUUUUGAAAAGUUUGAACCAUACAUCGCAGGAAACAUGUAAGUGCUAAGAUACAUUUGGUUCCAAUGCGGUUAAUCCGGGACCAUCUGCAUUGGGCACGCAGGAACACAUGUCAAGUGCUAAUAUACAAGUACGGUGGGCACACGAAAGUGCGGUGCAUUGUCGCCACUGAUACAGAGACGUGCUAGCGUGGAUCACGCAGCAAUAAUGUACUCCUCCCAUCCAGCCAACUACCGUCGUUAGCGAUGAAGAUAAGGAGGGUACCUGCAGUGGAAGAUCCUUUAUGUCAACGGUCAUGUGAUGUGAUGUGUGUUCUGCCUGCCUGGCAAAAUUAUAGUAAACGAGAGACAUUAAUGUUUAUUUGCUAAUUAAUAGUAUUGCAUGCAAUGAACUAACCACUGUAUGUCGUGUUUGAUAGUCUCAAGUCAUUAAAAGCAUGCACACCCUCAUCUUUUAUUGGUUGAUAUGUCAAGAAACAAGAACGAGGUAGAAGUUAAUGCACCGCGCCUAAGUGUUUUGUGAUUAUUUGGUUUUUGUAAGAUGAUUUACACACCUAGACGGAGGGAGUAUCUGUUCAAGCCUACUACCGUCAAUGGAAGAUCCUUUAUGUUUCCCAUGCAUGCAGAUCCAGAACAACCCGACUGCAUGCCCAAUCCGCUGCACCUUGUUGACCCCCAAAUCCUCGCCGCAUUCUGUAAAUAUCGCAGGAACUCCACUGCAUGCCCUCAUCACCCAUAGAAUCUCGAUAGACUAUUUUUUCCUCCUUCGAAUAAUGGAUGUGAUUUCCUUUUCGGGUUAGAAAGAGGGUGCGAUUAUUGCACACGUCCUUUUAUUAUUGCAAAGUUUAUUAAAACCCAACAUCUCACACGGUGGUACAGAUGGCCACAAGGCUACGGUCGACAAGGCUAAAACAGCCAAAACGAAAUAAGAUCGUAUGGUGACGAGUGGCCACUGAUGCAGACCUGCUAGUGUGUGGAUCAGGCAGCAAUAUAUCACCAUCAGCCAAGCUUACGUCCAUGACCAAAGUUUUCAAUCAGUCAAAUAUAUUGUCUUAUGAGAGCAUCUAGGACCGGACCUCUCAAACCCGCCACAUACAUUCAGGCGGGCUGCCCGGUCACUGCUCGGUCACGGUUUUUUGUCCAGACGGGUCUCUCAAACGCCCGGACUGACCGGCACUUCCCAUAUCCAACCCAAAUAUGGGGCGGAUAUAUGGGAGCCCGCGCACACCCGGACACGCCCGUCACGGCGGUCUGACGGCAUGGCCCCACAUGGAAACGUCCGGCAGCCCGGCGGUCCGACAGGUGCUGCCUCCGUCGCCGCGGUGUGAACGUCGCAUGAUUCCGCUCCGGCUUGCCGCCCAAGACGAAAUCGGGUUAUUUUCGCCGACCGGCGUCCCACAGCCCUAACCCACCCCCACCCCCCUCUCUGCGCCGCCGGUCUGAACCCAUCCACCUCCUCCCUCUCUGGCUCCGGCGCUCUGCCCACACUCCCGCACUCUGCCAUGGCGAGAGCAAGAUCACCUAUUAUGUCAUGCUGACGUCGGAGCGCCGCUACGAGAUCCAGUAGCGGAUCCGGAGUCGGACGCACUCUUUGUCGAGCUCGACAUGAACAUAGAGGCGGAGGAAGCCGGAGCGGAGCAGCUGGAGGCGCAGGAGGAGUCGGAGCUGCAGCUGCCGCCCAUGCUUCCGGAGCCGAGAACGGAGAUCGCCGUGAUCUCUGACGAGGAGUAGGUAGGAUCAACGUAGUGCAUAGGUUUAUUUUAGUUUGCAUGUCUUUGUAUGGAUUUAAGAAUCUGGUAGAAGAUGUCCGGAUGUAACAAGUGAAAUUUAGGGUGUGUCUGGUCACUGAGAAUGACGCGUCCGUGGGCAUUUAAGGGGCUGGAUGUGCCAUAUGUGUCUCUAGAUGCUCUGAUCAAAUGUUGAUUUAAAAUACGAGGGGCACAAUAAACCAAGAUGGAGGAAGUAUGUGUCAGUGUGGAGUAGCAUACAGCCAUAUAUGUUUAUGGAUGUGAAACACUAGCUGGACCGACUACAUACCGGUGUCAUCAAUGCAUGUGACUGACAACCACUCGGUGCCAUCAUUCACUUUGGUACUUGUUGUGAUUAAUUAGCAUAUAUUAAUUAGAGGAAAAUCUCCUCUUGUCUAAUAGUGCGUGCGGUUCUCUAUAGCAACCGACGCGUCUCCUUUUCUCAACCGUCAUGACUUCUAACCUAUGACGGUUCAUGUAAAGACGUCUCCUACUUGCGUCCCUUGUACGCAUAUAAAUAGCUACUCUAUCAAUACAAAGAUCAGUCGAUCAUUUUUCAUUCAAACAGUACUGUUAUCGACAUGGUCAUGCCAGCACCUGUAUAGGAGUGGUGACCGCGGCACAUCGCACGACUCGUUCACACAGAGUUUAUUUUUUUUUAGCCUGUUUCAAGUGCUUUGUAUUCUUUGGUGAACUUUUGGAAUUUACUUGAUUCUUUUUCAGAAGAACAAAAGAAAAAGGAACACGCAGUUUGAAUCCAUUGGGCCUGGAGGGAACGUGGCGAAUGUCUCCUGGCCAAGAUACAAGCGCCGUGGGCACGGUGCAAGGGCGACGUGGCAGUUUGGACGCCGAUGCGGCGCAUUGUCGCCACCAAUACGGACGGCCUGGCGUGGAUCACGCACCAAUUUAGAUGCCAUCCAGAUCGAGGACAGCUACGUCGAGCGAUGCGAUUGGCCAGCUCGACGAUAUGCCGGCGCAAGGAAAUAUGCCGAUCCACACAAGAAACACGACGGCGAGAAUCGCGCGUACGCCCCACAUGCAUAUGCAUGCGACUUCGGACAGCCCCGCUCACCGAGUACCACUAUUAUUGGGGUCCAUGCACGCACGGCACCACACACCACACGUAAAUGCCAUGUGAUGCCUGGCACCACAGCAGGCCACAGACCAUCCAUGGACCGCGAUCACUGAGUACGUUUACUCUCUUUGGUAUUAUGCUUAAUAUGCCAUGUGAUGUGUACGUGUUUAGCCUUAAUUAGGGGGGCAGAUCCUUCAUGCUCCCCCAUAUGCAGAUCCAGAUCGAGCCGACCGCCCAAUCAGUAGCCACGGCUGACCACCAUAUCCUCAGCGGCUGGUUCUCUCUAGGACUCGGUCGACUUAGACAUCGCGAAGUGUAAGUCGGCUGAUGUCACCUGUUCAUAUUUUUUCGUUCCUGUCCAAACUAUAUCCCCGUCGUUGCAUCUUGUGGCUUUUUGGGCUGGCCCCCCUUUUUUGUCUUUGGUCUGUGCGUUUAUCAAGUUGUGUUGAGCCAGAUAUUUUGGGCAGUUAUUUCUUGUUUGGUGCUGCUGCUCGUUGAUUAUGUAAUCUUUAGCUAUUGUUUGAGCAUUUUUUCUGAAACCUUUAGCUAUUGUUCGAGUAUAUUAGCUUUGUGGUACACCGGCCAGCUAUAUUAGUUGUUGUUCCUACAGUUUUCUUAACAUGCUAUUUCUUUCGUUUUGUUUGGAUUUCUUUUUCAUUUUUAUUUACAUUUUCACAUUUUGUUUCUAAAAAUUGUAAACAUUAGUCAAAUUUUUUUCGUGCAUUUUCAUAAAUACUCAUCGUGUAUUUGAAAAAUAUCUAACGUGUCACUAGAAAAUGUUUAAUAUUAUUUAAAAAUAUUCUUCAUGCCAUUACAAAAAUAUUCAAUGUUAGUUAACGCUCGUUUUUAGCUUGCAUUUUCUUUGUUUGAUUGGGUUGAGUCGGGCAUUGUUUUACUCGUCUGUUUGUAAUUUCUCUAUCAUCCACAAAUUGAAAAAGGUACUAACAAAAAUAAAGAGAGCUCAUCAUAUGUUGUUUCACAUGCGAUGCGGGCAUGCAACUAGGUUUGUGUGGCAUGCUUUUAAAAAAUUCCAAAUGUCUCUUUUUAGAUAAAAAACAAAUAUAAUAUAAUAUAAAAUAUAAAAUUCAUUUAAUAAUAGGAUGUGGAUACGGCUCGGUCGACUAAGACUUAGAAAGAAGUCUCAGGCAGCUGGCAUCAUGGCGGGGUGCUGUAGUAGCCCGAGGCAACACUUUCAGAUGCAGGUCUAGUUGCAUGCAUGCAAUUGUCCAUCUUCCGAGAAAAACACCAGGAGUUGCAGUCCUGGGCGACACAUGUAGUUGCAUGCCAAGUGUCGGACUUGCAACUUCUCCCUCCCAGACAAAAUACCACAGAGAUGCAGUCUGGUUUAAGACAUGCAGUUACAGUUGUCGGAUACCGGGUUCCGGCAAAACCCUUAAGGUUCGAACAUUGGGGUGCGCACGAAGAUUUCUCCCUAUCGAAUCUUGCUCUCUCUGCCUCAUCGCGAUCACUAGGCUUAGCUAAACGAAAUCACAGAACAAGAGACACAAGGUUUAUACUGGUUCAGGCCACCAUUGUGCUGUAAUUCCCUACUCCAGUGUGUGGUGUGGUGGAUUGCCUCUUGGGCUGAUGAUGAACAGUACAAGGGGAAGAACAGCCUCCUGAGGCGAGGUGUUCUUGUGAUCUAUGGGUGGUUCUGGUCCGAAUGGAUCUCUUCCUUUUUAUGGUGGUGGCUAGCCCUAUUUAUAUAGGCCCUGGUCCUCUUCUCAAAUAUUGAGCGGGAAGGGAUUCCACAACGGCGGGAUUUGAAAGGGGAAAACCAGUACAGGCUAUCCUGACUAAAGGUGGUCUUCGCCUGCCAAAGGCUCUGGUGAUGACGACGUCUUGGGCUUCACCGUGACCUCCAUCUUGCCGUCCUGCUAGUCCUGGUCUUGUUGCACCGAUAUGGAAACCUUUGCGUGAUGCCUCGGUACUCCGCGCCUGCGCUUGCCCCCUUAGCACCAAAGGGGAACGAGUACACUGUGCGCGCUGGAGCCCGCCUGGCGUUGGUCGUCAUGGCUUGCGUCAGGGGAACCUCGCGAGGUACCCCGUGCCUUGAUCUCUCCGCCUCCCUCGUGAGCCUGCCUGAUGAGGCCGCUCUUGAGGAGGCCUUGCGUCGUCCGCUCCACGAGGCUUGGCCCCUCGCGAGGGUCUUGAGUGCUUGGUUGAUGAAGACGGGCCGCACUGGACCGCCCGUGGAGUCACGCAGCGGGCCGCAGGCAGGCAAGUCUGGAUACCCCCAUAUCCAGAACGCCGACAACAGUCUGGGGCAACACUUGCAGUUGCAUGCGUAGUGUCGGGCAUGCAACUACCCCCGCCUCUCCCCGUUGCUCUUCGACAAAAACACAAAGGACAUUUGCAGUUGGGAGGGAUGCGUGCAAUUGCAGUCGAGGGCAGCACGUGGAGUUGCAAGCCUAGUGUUGGCCAUAGAACUGCCCCCCUCUCACGCUGCCCACCGACCAAACAAAAGGUUGGGUGCGGUUGGGUGUGUUGACAUGCAGUUGUAGUCGAAGGCGACACUUGAGUUACAAGCCUAGUGUCUGGCAUGCAGUGUUCUGCAUUAAUUGUGGCCACUGAUGCAGACCUACUAGUGUGAAUCAGGCAGCAAUAUAUUCCUGUUAGUCAAAUAUAUUGUCUUAUGAUCAAAAUUUGACUUAAAAUACAAGGGGCACAAUGAACCGUGAUGGAGGAACUGUAUGUGUCAGUGUGGAUCACGCAACAAGGUAUUAGAGCAUCCACAAUGUAGUGGUUUUCAACCUCGUUAGCUGCCUCUAAAGGCUUGGAGCCCGCCUCUACACACGGCAGACAUUGCCUCUAUGUUUUUUAAGCUUGGCGUAGGCGCUAGCCUUGGAGGCUGCCUCCAAGGAUUAAACAACAACAUGGUCCUACUAGUCAGUGGAUAACUGAGCGUAGCUUAGAUGCAAGGCGCGGGAAUUCGCAGUUAGACCAUCAAGGUUUAAGUCUCGGCUUGAGAAUUUGGAUCUCACGGGGUUUUCUUUUAUAAAAAAAUGUCAACUGGAUAGUCUAGCCCGGGUUGGUCUCUUUCAUUUUUUUCCCUACUAGUCAGUGUAUGGUUGUGGCUAGGCCAUGCAAAUUGAUCAAUACACUCUUCAUUGUUUAUUCUAUUAUGGGACCAUUCCUUAGAGUCAACAGCCGAUGCUACACACUACAUGGUUUCUAGAUCUGAUUAGAGGCUGGAGGUGGGGCCCAGGAUAGAGGCAGCCUAGUGCCCUUAUUUACACCAUCCAACCAUCUAUGUUUACCGAUGUGAAACACUCACUACUAGGGAAAACCCUAGCAGUAGCGCUGGUUUUGUGCUCACUAGUAGCGCGGGUAGGCGCGCUACUAAUAAGGCGCUACAACUAUUGCUUAGCAGUAACGCGUGCCCGCACGCGCUACUGCUAGGACAAAUAGCUGCAGCGUUUGUUCAGUACCACGCUACUGCUAAGGUAACUACUUGCAGCGUGUUUUUUGUCCAUCGCUACUAGUAUUUUUUUAUUUUUUAUUUUUAGUGUAUUUAUGCGCCAUCGUACAAAUAUUGGUACAAUACCAGUUAUGAGGUUUACAUCAUUAUGUCCAUAACAGUGUGUCAAAUGAAGGUGGAUUAGGUUCAAGUGGAGGCAAUAUGUGGUGCAUGUCAAAAGUAUACUACUAAUCCAAACUUGAUCUAGUUUGGACUAGUAGUACUUUCGAUGUGCACCACGUGUUACCUUCACUUGAAUCUAAUCCGCCAGCAGAAGCUAUUUAAUCAUCAUCAUAGUCAUUACCACCAACAUUAUUUAUUUAAUCACUACUAACACUAGCUAAUAAUAAUCAUCACAGUCAUUACCACCAACACUAGCUAUUGUAUCAUCAUAUAAUAGUGUAGCACAUCAUCAUCCUCAAACUCAUUUCUAGCUAGCUAAUCACUCCUGCUGCUCUCUCUUAGUUAAAUAAUAUAAAACAUGUAUAGCUCUCCUCCUUGAUCAAGCUAGAGCAUGCAGAUGAACCUGUCUCCUAAUCGUGGGUAGCACAUCUGUUUGCUGCCCCCUAGUACUUCUCUGUGCUCCCCUAUCACAUAUUUGGUCCAGUCUUGCACUAUUAAGCAUCCGUCGCUAAUCUUGAAUGCACUAAAGUAAUCUGUAGGAUAUCUUGGCCGUAAGCUGGUAAUACUCAUGGUACCUUUAGUCUCGAUUUCAUAAGGCACAACAUUCAUCGGGAGUCCCUGUUGAAGAACAUCGUAUGGUAACAUACUUAGCAAUGAAGUUUAGCUUCAAAAAUAAUGUAUGGAAAAGAUGCACUGAUGACAAAUAGUAAAAAUCUUAUCAUCCUUCCUAAAUGGAUGUGACCGUAGUUCAUUACAAACACUAUUGGUCGCACAUUUUCAGUACUAACAUUUCUAAAUGCAGAAAGAAAAUUUGUCUUGACAGUAUCAAGAUCCUCAAGCCAUGAAACAUAAUGACUGAGCUCCUCGCAGUUGAGUUCAGCCCCAGGACAGUAUACGGCUCUGUCUACCAAGCGCUGGACAUGUUUGUUUGCACCGAAAUAAGCUGACAAUACAAAUUAGUUGUCAACUAUUUUUGAAUAAACAAUAUCAAAGACAUAAAAUAUGGUUGAUAAACUUACAUAAUGGUAUAACUGGAGGCGUUUGCACAUCGACCCAGAUGCCGGUAUUACCUUCAAUAUCAUCUUCCGGACGAAUAUCAAUGGUGAUAACCAUAUCAGGAUCAAAUGCAUAAGUCUUGCAUAGUGCUCGCCAUGUUUUGCAUCCAAAAUAGGUGUAGUCGUCUGAAUUGUACAAUUUUGCAUGGAAAAUAUAACCAUGCUCGGUCUUCAAGUAAACUUUCUUUUCCUCCAUACUAUGACUGAAACCUAUCUAAUCCAAUACAAAAACUCUUGCAUGGCAGGGGAUAUGCUAGUAGAAUAGUAAAAAAAAAAUAUAAGUUGAAGCUAAUGAAGCAGAUGUCAUGCUUAAUUACGAAAAAAGACUUGUCGUUGUGACUUACUGUAUCAACUUCGAAGUUCUCGUCCAGCUUGAUGCUGAAGCGCCUAUCAUCAUCUAGGAAGAUUCCGUCGCACAGGCCACGCUCGUCUUCGCAGUAUUUGCAAAUACCGAAAUCCUUUUCAUCGUCAGACAUUUCCUAUGUUCAUAGUUAAAACAUUAAUUAAAAAUUGAUCAAAGACAACUACCAAGAUACUCAACACACAAAUUCGGGGCACUCGAUAUUUCCUACAUAUUCUGGCACAAGUCAUGCCAAAAUUCACGGAAAAAUCCGGCAUGACCUUUGCUAAAAUAGGACAUAUCGAGUGCCUGAAAUUUGCCGGAACGGAAAUGAAUCAACACUCCGGCAAAACAUAGGCCACUCGGAGGUGUAACCUGCAAACAUGACCGGCCACUUGGAUAUUGAGCAACACAAGAUAUACAUUUCAAAAAAUCUUAUAGGACUCAAAUUAUCAUGCAUUCAAUAAGCAAAAGUUAAUCAUCUCAUGCGUCUGUACAUCGUCGAAUAUUAUCACUAAUACAUCACGAAUAGUGUCAUACAUAUAACAUCACUAAUACAACUAAAAACCUAGCACACGACGGGUAUCGGCGCGGGCGGUGGACACCCAGAGAGAAGGAACCAUCACGGGAUCAUAGCUGCAGUGAGAUCCCCGAAGAACCUGCCAGGUAUUGGAGAAUGGCCUGUGCUCCAACGCAAACAAGUAGCGACGGACAUGCGCGUCCUCCUCACUGACACGGUGAUGCACCACCUCCGUGGAGUCCUCGAGCCUCUGGAUCAUCACUGGCCCAUGCAACCGCCACCAAAGAAGGUUCGGGUCAACGACAGGCUGGAUCCUCACCAACCUACGCCCCCCGGUAGGUAACGCCUCCUAGUACCACCCCAGCGGAGCCCAGUCCCGUACAUGGCCGAUCUGGUCAAGCAGGUGUCAUCCUCCGCCGACUCGACGACGAGGAUGCGGGAUAGGCAUCGUCCACGUCGAGGCGGGAAAAAUUGCUUUAACUAAAAAAUAGAAACAAGUUCUUACUAACUAGUUCUAUUAAUUCAACUAGUUCUUACUAAAAAUAAACUUACUAUAAAUAAAAAUAUUCUAGUACCUAAUUAGUACCUAGUUCUUACUAACUAAUUAGUACCCAGGAACUACUGCCCUAAUUACCAUCUAAUUUGAUGAACCUAUAGGGGUGGAAAGUGGUAGCGGAUAUUUCAAUUAUCCAACUAUAAAGUGAAAUAAGUGGUCAAAUUUUACUCGUUUUAUGAUUCAUCUUAGAAAUUUGAUUCGUUUUCACCCUUACAUGAACCCUAACUCAUUUGAGCCGCAUCCGCAUCCGAUUUGUUUCCGCUCUUACAUGAACCCUAACUAAUUUGAUGCAACUAAAAUAUAAAGAAACCCUAGGCAGAGGUAGGGGAGAGGGAGGAGCGGGCGUGCUCACCUCGGGUGCCUACGACGAGGGAGGGGUAGGGCGGCGUCGAGGUCGGGGUCGGGGCUCGGGCGCGCGGUGGAUGGCGCCCGGCAUCGAGGUCGGGGUCGGGGCGGCGUUGAGGUCGGGGGCGGGGGCGGCGUUGAAUCUGGGGUCGGGGCGGCGUAGAGGGUGCGGAGAGCGCGCGGCGGCCGACGGGCGACGGCGGCGGCGAGAGUGGAGAGAGUUGAAUUUGGGGGAAGUGGCCGCGUGGGGAAGGACGAACCCCGUGGUUAAGUUAGAAGUAGCAGUAGCGCGUUCCAGGAAAAGCGCUGCUGCUAACUUAGCUACAGCGCGUUCUGUGAUACACGCUACUGCUACUCCUUUCUUUUUUUCCCUUUUUUCAUUUAGUUUUCUUCACAAUUUAUUUGUUUCCUUUCACCUUAUUCUAUUUCUUUCAUUUUCAAUUACCUUUCCAUUUUCUUUCCAUUUAAUUUUAUAACCUUUAGCAGCAGCGAGUUUAUAUUAAAACGCGCUGCUACAAACAAAGUAGCGGUAGCGCGGUUCGUCAUAGAUCGCUACUACUAUGUGUAGCCUAUCCGCUAAGCCGUGGGAAUUUUAGUAGUAACGUGUGUACAGCAAGACACGCUACUGCUAGAUCUUUAUCUGCAGCGCGGUUUCCUCAGGCGCGCUACUGCUAAUUAGCACCAGCGUGCUUUUUUGACCCACGCUACUGCUAAAGUUCUGUGUAUAAGGUUUUCCCUAGUAGUGACUAGCUGGACUGACAUGUCGGUGUCAUCAAUGCCAUGUGACUGAGAACAACUCACUCAAUACCAUCAUUCACUUUCCGACUGUUAUCAACAUGGUCAUGCCGGCACCGGUAUAGGAGUGGCGAACACGGGAGUUAAUUGCAGAAAACCACCAUAAUUGUGGCUAGGUAUGUAGAGAACUAUCUAGUCCCUAUUUUUUUCCAAAAGCCACUGCGUUUCUAGUAAAAUUUCUAUAGAAAGCAAUGACCAGGUGAUUUGGUGCAUUUGAUCACUACCUGACAAGUAGGGCCAAUUGUAAGGAGCCGAUUUGGCAAAAAAUGACGUACACCCCAUGGAUUUCACAAAGACACCUUAUCCAAAACAAAAAGCAAUCACCCCCCCCCGCCGGUCGCACGUUGCGUGCCUCCUUAGAGGUGGUGGCUGGACAUUGGGAGCCGGCCUCCGGCAGGACCUUGCUCGCGGGGCAAGACGGCCUCCCUCCUCCCUGGCCGUCGUGGCUGGCCAUCGACUCACCCCUAGCUGCAAGCUCACAACCCUAGCAUGGACACGUGAUGACCCACAAGUAUAGGGAAUCAAUCGUAGUCCUUUCGAUAAGUAAGAGUGUCGAACCACAUGAGGAGCAGAAGGAAAUGACAAGCGGUUUUCAGCAAGGUAAUGUCUGCAAGCACUGAAAUUAUAAGUAACGAGUAGUUUGAUAGCAAGAUAAUUUGUAACGAGCAAGUAACAAUAAUGGUAACAGAAGUGCAGCAAGGUAGCCCAAUCUUUUUGAGGCAAAGGACAGGCCAAAACGGUCUCUUAUGAUAAGCAAAGUGUUCUUGAGGGCCCAUGGGAAUUUCAUCUAGUCACUUUCAUCAUGUUGGUUUGAUUUGUGUUUGCUACUUUGAUAAUUUGAUAUUUGGGUGGAUCGGUGCUUAGGUGUUGUUCUUACAUGAAGAAACCUCCUACUUAUGAUUAAACCCCUCGCAAGCAUCCGCAACUACGAGAAAAGUAUAAGAAUAAAUUCUAACCAUAGCAUUAAACUUUUGGAUCGAAAUCAGUCCUUUACAGAAUAACACAUAAACUAGUGUUUAAGCUUCUGUCACUCUCGCAACCCAUCAUCUAAUAACUACUCCACAAUGCAUUCCCUUAGGCCCAAAUAUGGUGAAGUGUCAUGUAUAGUCGACGUUCGCAUGACACCACUAAGGGAAUCACAACAUACAUACCAUCAAAAUAUCGAACACAUAUAAAAUUCACAUGAUUACUUGCAACAAGAUUUCUCCCGUGACCUCAAGAACAAAAGUAACUACUCAAAAAUGAUAAUCAUGCUCAAGAUUAGAGGGGUAUUAAAUAGCAUAAUGGAUCUGAACAUAUAAUCUUCCUCCAAAUAAACCAUAUAGUAAUCAACUACAAGACAUAAUCAACACUACUAGUCACCCACAAGCACCAAUCUAUAGUUCCGGUACAAAGAUUGAACACAAGAGAUGAACUAGGGUUUGAACGGAGACGGUGAUGUUGAAGAUGUUAAUGCAUAUUGCCCUCCCCAAGAUGGGAGAGUUGUUCGUGAUGAUGAUGACGAUGAUUUCCCCCUCCGGGAGAGAAGUUCCCCUGGUGGAAUCGCUCUGACGGAGGGCAAAAGUGCUCCCGCCCAAGUUCCUCCUCGAGACGGCGGCGCUCCAUCCCGAAAGUCAUCUCUAUAUUUUUUUUCUAGGUCAAAACGACUUAUAUACCGGAACAAGGGCACAAGAGGUGGGCAGGGCUGAGCAAAACCCACCAGGGCAUGCCCUGGUAUCUUGUGCUCACCAGGUGGCCCCCCUCCGGUACUUAUUUGCUGCAUUAUUUCUUAUUUAUUCUAUAAAAAAUUCUCGUGAAGUUUCAUCUCAUUUAGAGUUGUGCAGAAUAGGUAGCCUGCCGAAAUUCUCCUUCUUUGUGUGAACCUUGCAUAUUAUGAGAGAAAAGGCAUUAGAUUUACUGCAAAAGGCAUUAUUAUGCAUAAAAAUAUUAUAAAUAACAGUAGGCAAACAUGAUGCAAAAUGGACGUAUCAAGAGGCGGCCAAUCCCACAUGUUCACCCGGCCCUGUUGUUGUGCUACCAGAGCUCCACCGGCCUACGAGCGCUCCGCCCCACUGCCAACCGCCUCCUGCUCUACUCAUCUCCUCGAUCCUCUUGCCGGCGAGCUCGCCUCGCGCGUCGGACAUCCAUGACCAUGGCGCCGCCUGCCAUAAACCUAACCCCAAAUGUGGUGGUUUUCUGCUUUUAACUAAGAUCGCGGCGCAUCUCCCGGCUCGUUCAUACAGAGUCAUUGGGUGGUUCAAGGACCUCAAUGAAUUUUUUACCAUGUUUGGAGUACUUUAUACUUUUUGGUGAACUUUUGGAAUUUAUUUGAUUCUUUUUCAGAAGAACAAAAAAAAAGGAACACGCAGUUUGAAUCCAUUGGGCACGGAUGGAACGUGGCGAAAGUCUCCUGCCCAAGAUACAAGCGCCGUGGGCACGGUGCAUGGGCGACGUGGCAGUUUGGACGCCGAUGCGGCGCAUUGUCGCCACCAAUACGGACGGCCUGGCGUGGAUCACGCACCAAUUUAGAUGCCAUCCAGAUCGAGGGCAGCUACGUCGAGCGAUGCGAUUGGCCAGCUGGACGAUAUGCCGGCGCAAGGAAAUAUGCCGAUCCACACAAGAAACACGACGGCGAGAAUCGCGCGUACGCCCCACAUGCAUGCGACGUCGGACACCGCUCACCGAGUACCACUAUGAUUGGGGUCCAUGCACGCACGGCACCACAGGCCACACGUAAAUGCCAUGUGAUGCCUGGCACCACAGCAGGCCACAGACCAUCCAUGGACCGCGAUCACUGAGUACGUUUACUCUCUUUGGCGUUAUGCUUAAUAUGGCCAUGUGAUGUGUACGUGUUUAGCCUUUAUUAGGGGGGCAGAUCCUCCAUGCUCGCCCAUAUGCAGAUCCAGAUCGAGAGCCGACCGCCCAAUCAGUAGCCACGGCUGACCAUCAUAUCCUCAGGACAAAUUUGACAAAUUUGACCUAUAGACGGAAUUAAAUCAUAGAAUGAACUAUCCGUGAAACUAUUUUACGCGGCUGACCUUUUUGUGUGACGCCCGCCACGAAGGCGCCACACUACACUGUGCAACGCCUCACAGAUAGGCGCUACACAACCAGCGUCGCACACGUGUGAUCAGAAAAUUACUAAGUCGUGUGCAGCGCCUGAGAGCUAGGCGCCACAGGUCAGCCGCGUGAAAUAGUUCUAUGGACAGUUCAUUCUGUGAUUUAAUUGCGUCUAUAGAUCAAAUUUGUCAAAUUUGCCUAUCCUCAGCAGCUGGUUCUGUCUAGGACUCAGUUGACUUGGACAUCGCGAAGUGUAGGUCGCUGAUGUCACCUGUUUAUAUUUUUUGUUUAUGUCCAAACUAUAUCCCCGUCGUUGCAUCUUGUGUCUUUUUGGGCUGGCCUCCCUUUUUGUCUUUGGUUUGUGCGUUUAUCAAUUUGUGUUGGGCCAGAUAUUUUGGGCAGUUCUUUUUCUGUUUGGUGCUGCUGCUCGUUGAUUAUGUAAUCUUUAGCUAUUGUUUGAGCAUUUUUUCUGAAACCUUUAGAUAUUGUUCGAGUAUAUUAGCUUCGUGGUACACCGGCCAGCUAUAUUAGCUGUUGUUCCUAACAUGCUAUUUCUUUCGUUUUGUUUGGAUUUCUUUUUCAUUUUUAUUUACAUUUUCACAUUUUGUUUCUAAAAAUUGUAAACAUUAGUCAUUUUUUCGUGCAUUUUCAUAAAUACUCAUCGUGUAUUUGAAAAAUAUCUAACGUGUCACUAGAAAAUGUUUAAUAUUAUUUAAAAAUAUUCAGCAUGCCAUUACAAAAAUAUUCAAUGUUAGUUAACGCUUGUUUUUAGCUUGCAUUUUCUUUAUUUGAUUGGGUUGAGUCGGGCAUUGUUUUACUCGUCUGUUUGUAAUUUCUGUCAUCCACAAAUUGAAAAAUGGUACUAACAAAAAUAAAGAGAGCUCAUCAUAUGUUGUUUCACAUGCGAUGCGGGCGUGCGACUAGGUUUGUGUGGCAUGCUUUAAAAAAAUUCCAAACAUCUCUUUUUAGAUAAAAAACAAAAUAUAAUAUACUAUACGACUAAUAUAUCCACCAGUCGACUGUUCAUUUGCUUCAAAUCCGCACGACUCGACAGCCGUCCGAUCCAGAUCCAACGGACCGCGUCGCUCCUGGUGCGCGCAGCGCGGGUGGCGGUAGCCGUUACCAUCGAUGUGUGUCGCUGACUAGUGGGUCCACUGGAACCGCCCAUAUCGCCCAAUGCCACGAUCCCCACUCGUCCCCUCUCGCGUUCGCCCGCACUACUUCUUCUUCCUCUGAUUCCGGCCUCUCCAUUCGAAUCUCCUCUCGCUCCCCUCCCCCUCAUGCGCGACGGUUGCUGCUGGUGGCGCGUUCCGGUUCGCGGCGGACGGCGACUGGUGGAUACGGUGAGGAACGCAUGCCCCGCGCCCUGUUUUCCUUCUCUUUUUGCUCCGCCGCUCUGGUCCGCCAUUGAUUUAGGUUGGAGCCGUCGAAUCUGGUAGAUUGUUGUUCCUAUUAGGUUAGAUUAAGGACGGCUUCUAAUUUCUGAGUCGAAGUUGAGUAGCGCAUCCCCCAUUCCCCCACCCAUCCACCCGCCCCAUUCUGUAUUUCCUGUUGCUCCGCCUCCAUGCUUCGCCGUUAAUUUUUGGUGCUCGGACUCUUUGAUUCUGGCGGUCGUUGUUGCUAUUAGGCUAGGUUAUGUCGCCUUCUAAGUUCAGUUUGAAUAUGGUUCGGACAUCUGGUUUAAUUUUGUGGUAAUCGUGGGCGUGGAUAGGUCUUAGUGGUGGUAAGUGUGGUUGGUUCUAAUAGGGAUUUUGUUAUGGUGUUACUGUUGUGGAUGUGGUUGUUUAGUACAUCCAAUAAUGUUUGGUGUUUAUGAAUUUCAAGUUGUGCAUCAGUGGAUGAGGAUUUAAAAAGCAACCAUAAGUUUUUUCACAUAAUGUUGUUUUAUGUUGGUUUUGUUAGAUGCGGUUUGUCCAUUGAUUAGGCUUUUGUGCUGCUCCAAUUAGCUUGUUUACAUUGCUUGAUUUGCUUGUUAUGUUUUGUUCCGUUCAAUUAUCAUGAUGUCUAUAUUGAACUUACCAACUAUAUUGCACUCAAAUUAUCAGAUGCUUUAAACUCAGUUAUUUAUCAUUGUUGUCUUGUUAUGGUUGAAUUAUCAUGGUGAUGGUUUUACACUUACCUCUGUCAUCUUACCGUAGUUUCCAUAAGUUUUUGCUAGACUAACUAUAUGUAGCACAACCCUUAUUUCUCAAUCAUUUUGUUUUGGUUGGGUUAUUAAUGAGCAUGUGUGAAUGCUAUUUCUUAUCAUUGGUAAUUUGGUUGUAACUUACCAAUUGCAUUGUGCCUCAAUUAUCAGUCUCACAUGCUUUUUAUAUACCUGUGCUAUCUGUUUUACUUUUUUUUAGCAUGUGCGACCAAUUUGCGGUUUGCUUGUUUCCUUUUAUCAGCUGUAUUAUUGCUUUGUCAAACACUGGUUUUAUAAACAAUGUAUUCAUUUUUUUCUUACGUGUCAGGGAGACAAUGCCGAGGAAGCGUAAAGGAGAUGGUGAUGGAAUCGAUGAGGUUCCUUCGAAAAAGGCGAAACGCCCUCCUCCGCGGAAUAGAGCCUCACCCGGUUCGCUUCUUCUAGCGUGCAAGGACAUGAAUGAUGACAGGAAGGGUGCCAUUGAUGAUAUGGAUUUAACUAGCCUUCGAAAUAUCCAAUGUGACCAUCUAUUCAACAAUCUCAGUGUGUGGCUUGCUGAUCUCUACGACCCCAAUUCGCGUGAGGUGGUCGUACCAGGCCGAGGCAGGCUUCCGGUCAAUGAAGAAUACGUGCAUCGUGUUAUGGGUGUGCCGUGUGCAGGGAAUGAUGUCCCUUACAACCUCCCAUCUGAAACUGAUAUUGAGUUAGGGCUUGAGUUGUUUGGCGAGCUCGGAUAUGCCCCUAAAAUGACUGAUCUUGUUGAUCUCAUAAAGGGUUCUGAAAAUUCUGAUGACACUUUCAAGCGUAUGUGGUUUCUUCUUGCGGGGAAUACAGUCAUUGCCCCGACCACCUCCAACAAAGUUAGCCCCCAUUGGUAUGUUGUGCUGGUAAGUUUUUUUGUGAAUAUGUCAUUUUCUUUCUUGUGUGCCUCAUAACUUUUAUAUAUGUCAGUGUGAUAACUUUCGUUUUUUUUGUGGUGCAUUCGGUGAACUUCAGUGCUGUUUUUUAUAUUGCAGCGUGACAUCAAUGGUGUUAAGAAUCUUAAUUGGUCCAAAUUUAUUGCUGAUGAACUGCACAAGGCGAUGUUGAAACGCAAGCCUACCAGGGGUUGCCUUCUUUUCUACAAUGUAAGUGACGAUGCUUUCCUCUUACCUUCUCUUUUGUCAUUUAUCAUUUUCCUUGUCAUUUUGUGGCUGGUUUUUGUAAGUGUUUACCAUGGCGCUUCUGUUUUUCUUAUCAGCUGUUGUACAUUCAUGCGAUUGAUCUUUCUGGACUUGGCAUCGAACUGCCUGAAAGUCCUUUUCCCAUCAAUGUAUGGACAAAGAAGCUGAUAACUCUUGUCCUCAACAAGGAUGUUCAGACUGACAAAGUUUCUUUCGGGAAACUACCGGUAUUAUAUAUCUAUGUUUUUCAGUUCACAGUCUGCUUUUCAACUGCAUUUUAUUUUCAUUGUUUGUUUGUUGUUACUUAUCUGUGAUGGCUACAUUUUUUUCCAGUUGAAGCCUGAGUUUGGCAUGAAUUUCUGUCUCUUUGGUGGUGUGGAAGGUCUUGACAAGUUUAUGCGUGUUCAUACUGCCCCAAGCUGCAGUGAAGAGGUGAGCAUGUAACCUAGUUUCUUGAUCUUUUUUUUGCUAUUUUAUGUUCUUUCAUUUGCUGAUAAAUUAUUUUUUGCACCCAUUUGUGGUUACCCUGAUUUGUUGCCAACUUGUCACUCUUUUAGUAAUCUGGAUGAUUUCCAUUGUGGCAUAUCCUCUAUAUAAAAUAUAAUUAUGAUGCAACCAUGUGAUAAUUAUUAGUGCAAUGCCUUGAUAACUUUGCAGCAUUUCUGUGAUAACUUGAUAUCAUGAUAACUUUUGGUUGCAUUUAUUAUGAUGAUUGUGGCAUUCCCGUGAUAACUUGAUAUUCAUGAUAACUUUUGUUGCAUUUUUGUGAUAACUUACUAGUUAUUUCCAUUCUUUUUUCAUUUUUUUAUGUUGAACAGAAAUUUGCCAAAUCAACUGAGAUAGUUGCUCGAUUCACGUCCGCCAUGGCUGGCAUCCUAGGCAAUCUUGUGGAAUCAUUCACCGCUUUAGAUGAUGAGGGCCAUUCACAUGCAUCUCGUCAGCUAGACGCUGGAUUGAACGUUAUCUCCUCUGCCGCCCGUACGAUGUCAAGGACUACGCGGUCAUCGCAAGGCAGGCGGACAGAAAGUGCUGGAAAGAAUGUGGCUGAAGAUUCUGACAGCGAUGACGAUUAUCACGGAGGUGAUGAUUCUGAUUCUGACGCUGACUCCGAUGAUGAUGAUGAUGACUAUCGAGUUGUUCCUCGUCGCCCUAAAGAUCCUUUUGUUGCUUCAGGCAGUGGUACCGUGGAUGUAGACAUGGGCAGCGGUCCAGCUGAUGAUGAGACCACACAUCUUGAUGGUGCAACUGUCAAAGCCCAUGAUGGCACAGGACCAAAUGUUGAAGACACCCCUGUCCGCUCUGUCGGCAAUAACCUCGUUGAUUCAUAGAUCUUACUCACUGGAACAUCUCAUGCAGCAUCCGUCGAAUCAGGUGAUCGAGGGAUUAGCCAGCAAGGUCUGACAGACACGCAAGCUGAGGCGGCCACUGACUCUUCUGUCAAGCGGUGCGGUGCUGAGCUUUUGAAAAUUUUGGCUUACCAGAGGCGCAAGAAGCUGAGGCUACCAUCACCCNNNNNNNNNNNNNNNNNNNNNNNNNNNNNNNNNNNNNNNNNNNNNNNNNNNNNNNNNNNNNNNNNNNNNNNNNNNNNNNNNNNNNNNNNNNNNNNNNNNNNNNNNNNNNNNNNNNNNNNNNNNNNNNNNNNNNNNNNNNNNNNNNNNNNNNNNNNNNNNNNNNNNNNNNNNNNNNNNNNNNNNNNNNNNNCCGUCUUCACCAAUUGCACUGUCAGCAUCUGAGAUUCAUGUAGCUGUGAAGAAAGUUGUGGUCCAGGAGCUUGGUAUACGCGUGGCUGAAAAGGGAACCGGUGCCUUCGUCCCACUGUCCACUUUGCGGAAGGAGGCCCCACGCAGGUGAAUUAUUACUUUCCAAUGUCCUUCUUAUCAAUUGUGUGCCUGAAACAACAUGGUAAAUACAGUCAUUUGUUUAAGGUAGUUUGGGUAAUUUCAUGCCGGUGAUCAACUUGCUUAUUUUUCAUCUGCAGGGCCCCCGGCAAACAAUCUGUUGCUGCUAAGGAUUCAGGGAUUGCACCAGUGAAAAGGUAUUCAAAUUGUUACUUUCGUUUAUGAUCAGCAGUUAUUUUGUUCUUGUUGUCUGAUAACUCAUUUUGAUGAACAUUGGUAACUCAACUUUGCCCCCCUGGUAAUUUAGAGUUACCAAUCUUGAUAGUUGUAUGUGCUUGUAACAUUUGGUUAUUUUUUCAUUCAGUGCACCUAUGAAACAAGUUGCUGCUGCUAAGGGUUCUCCAAGUGAACCAGGAAAAAGGUGUUCACAUACCUAUCUAGUUUGCAGUUAUUCAAAAAUAAUUGUUGGUUUUUUUGUUCAUAUGAUUUGAUAACUUUAUAUUUAUAGUCCUUGAGUACUUUGUAAUUUUUUCCCUGGAUGCUACUUAUACCUGAAGUAUGUGACAUCCUUUUUUGAUUGAAGCAUGUGGUAACUCAGGUUUAACAACAUGUGUAAUCUCACUACUACCCUUGUGUAUCAAUUUUUUCAGUCGUUCAAAAGAUAAAAGUGCAGUGAAAAAGGUGAAAUUCUCCAAGACCAGAUCCUCUCCACGAUUAAGGGCAACAUUGUCGUAGACAACGUCAUCGGAGACAACAGAAGUUAUCCAUCUUGAUGAAUCUCCCACGGCGACAUCUCCGUCUGAAAAAGCAGCAGCAUCUAGCGAGGGUGCAUCUGAUGCUGUUGCGGCGACAUCGGCUGGUGUUUCUGAUGAUGCUGUUUUUCAGCUAGCUGCAGCAGCAACUGUUACUGCUGCUGUUGAAGAUAUCGCCAGUGUGGCUGUAGCUAUUGAAUGCGAAAAUGAAGUCGUCCCUAAUAUAGCGCAUGAUGGAAGUGAAGGUAGUUCUGUUCGCCAUCACAUUUGUUUUUUGUUUCUUGUGUUUUUAUGAUGUUUUUUGUUGACGAUGUGUUUAAUCUUUUUCCGCUGUAGCUGAGAAAGUUGUGGGAAAUACCAGAGAUAAUAUGCCUACUGAUACGGCUACAGCUGGAGGUGAAAAGAAUGAUGCCGAUAAUCCUGUUGUCACAGGUUGGUAACUUAAUUUUCUUAUGUUGAUAACUUGUCUGUCUAAUACAUGAUAAUUCAAGAUAUUGUUUCUGCCACUAACAAAUACAAUGUCAUCUACAUGUUUUCCUGAUGCCUUUUUUCCUUAUUUGUGUGUUACUUGUCAUGUUUUGAAGCAGUAGCUCACCAUGCAUUGGAGUUGAGCACCACUGGAGCUGGAAACUACGAUGGUAAUUUUACGCCACCCAGCUGCUCUCUUGGGCUGGAUGACAUCUUUGGUGCGAGUCCUCAAGUGCCACCAUCUGCUGAAGCAACUGCAACAGCUCAAGCUGCACCAACGUUGGCUCAAGUACCACCUGCAGCACCAGAAGCACCUGCGGCGGCGCCAUAUGCUCAAGUACCACCUGCAGCACCAGAAGCACCUGUGGCGGUGCCAUCUGCUCAAGUACCACCUGUAGAACCAGCUACUGGCCCUGACGCCGUUCUAGGGCUCGCAGCUCCUGUUGAUGCCGACUCGAAGGGCAAGGCAUUGAUGAAAGUUACCAAGGCUCAACCGGUUGCUUGGGCUCCGCCACCCAACAACUCUAGUAAGUGAAGACCUUGUGUCUUUGCUUUUAUGCCGCGAGAGUGAUGGAUUGAGAUAUGUCAGUGUUCAUCGUAUUGUUUUGUUCCUUGGUGUGCUCUUUUUAUUUAUGUGUUUGGAACUUUCUAUCAUUCCGUGUGUAUGGAUGAAUGUAAUACUACUUGUAUGCUUUGUGUGAUGUAAAUGAACAUAUGUGCUUUCAGUACCCGUAAUAUAUAUUUCUGUUGUGUCCGCUACAAUAUUUUGUACGAUGCUAGCAUAGACGAUAAGUCCAUCCUCCUCCCCCCGGUAACUUUGUCAGUUUUGAAAGCCGAUGUUAUCUGUUACUGGCUUUUAGUAAGCGCGUGAUACAUACAUCUCCUAUCAUUGCCUAUUUAUUUUCCUUAAUUCAUUGUCAUGCUUACAAAACAGUACUAUACUCGUAGUUAUUCAUCUGACCUUUUUCAUUACUCCUUCAAUUUUUUCCAAUCACCCUGAUAACUCCAUAUGACAUAUCUUGGUAACUCAAAUGUUCAAAUCCUGUCAAUUUAUGAUCCAUUGACACAAUAACUCCAGCCAUAUGCAUUCUUUGCCAAUUUUCUGGGCUAUACAAUUCUUUUUGGUCUUCUUUUUAACAUGUUAUGAUGAUUAGUUUAUAUCACAGCUGUUGCUCGUUAUGCACCAGUGUUAUCUAAUUUGUUCCUUAAAAGGCCCAUACAUGUGUGCUGGUAAUCCACAUUCACAUUGCCUGGUAUAUUUUAUAUUGUGUUCCUGAUAACUUCUUGUAUCUUGUCUCAAUUUUUAAUACCUGAUUUUUUUGCAACAAUUUAUGUUGUUUAUCACUACUGUUCAUGUCCUCAUCGCUGUUUUUUUAUUUAAGUAACACCGGAAGCUGGUCGUGUGCAAGUGUAUGAUGUUGAGAUUGACGAUGAUGAGGUUCUCAUGUGGUGGGAAGAAUUUGAACAUGGCAAUCCAGCAUUAAAAGGGAAAUCUAAUGUUCAAAUAGGUGAUUUUUUUCUGCUCCAUGAACAUUGCGACCCUUGCACAAACCACUUUCUUUGUUUUUUCAAUUAUGGACCACCACUUGAUAAUCAAAACAUGUGGCAGUUGAUAUGUUUUGACCCAUCACUUGAUAAUUCUUUCUCCCAUCUGAUGAUAAUUCAUGGUUUUCCAUUUUUUCUAUUUCUACCAGACAACCCCCAAAGUCCAACAUUUGUUACACCAGAGUUACCACCUCGCACAGAGCAUUUAGUACGCAGUUCAACACCUAAAUCCUUUAUUCGGAAAGUUAGGGUCACCCACCCGUCCAAAUACCUGCUCCCACCUUUUGCCUCCCUCACACCGAGCGAGGAGGCAGAGUACAUUUACAAUGAAGUUAUCAAGCAUACUACUGAUUCUAACUCUAAGAUUAAAGAGUAUGUUUCCAUCCUUUUUCUCAUCUUUCUUAACACAAAUCAUUAUUUUGUACGCCUUUUUUUAAAUGUAUUUUUUAAAUCUUUUUUUUGUUUUUUUGUUUUUUGUAGUCUUAGGGUCAUCAACAUUGAUGGUAGGUGGGUUACCCUUGGUGAGCUUGCCAAUUGUGUGAAGGGAGUUGGGCAACUAUCAACCAGCAUUGCCGAUCGAGUUACAUGUUCGCGUUCUCCAGUAUAAGGAAACGCCAAACAGGCUCAUCUUUCCUUGGGUGCUCUCUGUGUAUCUGUUGUGAGGAGACUUCAAAUCCAAGUGUUUACUGAAGUAUUUUUGACAGGACAAGUUUUACAUUCUUAGUCACCAGGAUCAGGUAUGUUAUGUUUGAUGGAUCUGGUAACUGUACAGUUAGUGUCUUGGUAACUUCCUGAUAAUAUCAUGUAACUUCCUGUUAUUUGCGGAUAUUGUUUGUUCUUCAUGUCAUGAUAACCUGUUUCAUGCACACUGAUAACUUUUGACCUUUCUGCCCUGAUAACUUCCUUUUCUAGUUGCCUCCCGUUGUGAAUUUCAUCACCAUUUGUUAUCUUGGUAAUUUUGUUUCUUUUCCAACUACUUUUAUGCUUACUGCCUAUUAAAUUUUUUCAGCUGCUAUUCCCUGCUUUGCAAAAGUUGGCCCGCGGUCUAGAUGACGGGCAUUGGUAUGUGUUGUCACUAAAUCUUAGGGCGAAGCGGUUUGAAGUUCUAGAUUCAUUGCGUGACCAAGAUAGUCCUUCUCUUCUCGAGCAUGUGACAAGAUACAUGAACGCAAUAAAGAAGGCCUGGUUGAUAAAUUACAAGGACUUGCAUAAGCAGAUUGAGGACUAUGAACUUGUGUACAUUGAUGUGUUGAAACACGAAAAUGGGUUAGUUGUGGAUUACUCACUCUCUUUUUAACAUCCCAACUAUAUGUUUGUCAUCCUUGUUUAUUUUGACCCGGUCUGAAACUCCAAUUAAACUGAUUUUGUGUUGUUUUUUUCAUCACAAAUGUUUCAGCAUUGAUUGUGGAUUUUUCGCCAGUGGCGCUAUCAUCUGUUUGGCAGCGGGUGAUGAGGUGAUAUUUUUUACUACAUCGUGAUAAGUUCUACCAAACUGUGAUGACAACUUUUUUAUUUGAAUCUGUCAUGACAAUGCCAUGGAGCAAAGUGUUGACAUGUUGUUUUACUAUAGUAUACACAGUCCAAAAUCACUGACUAUAUGAUAUAAUUCACUACUAUGAUUAUAAUUUGUUCAUAAGCAAUUUUUAGAAGUGCAAGGAGGACUAAUUUUUUGUCCAUAAGUAAUACAAUGCAGUGCUGGUAGCCUUCAAAAAAUGUAGAUAUAAAAACAUUGGCUUUUACAAAUCCAUGUCAAUUCCAUCAUACAUUGCUGGUAAAUGGCAUAAUAAUGUACUGAUAGCUUGGUUAAGAAAUAAAAAUUUUGGAUUUACAAAUCCAUGUCAAUCCCAUCAAACAUUUGCUGGUAACUGGCAUAACAGGGUACUGAUAGCUUGCUUAAAUUAUAGAGAUACACUUUGUUUUUGCAUUACAAAGCCAUGAUAAAAUCUAUGAUACAAUGUUGAUAACUGGAAUGUUAUGGGGCUCGUAGCUUGCACAUUAUGGUCCAUGAAAAAAAAUGCAGCCACCAUCUUCCAUUUUAAUAGCACCUUCUUCAUUUAUCUUGCUAGGGGAGAUUUGCAUGUGCGUUUGUCAUGUUCCAGACUCCUGCACACACCACAUUUCCUUUUUGUCUUUGGUUUUGCAAUCUCAAAACCUGAUUGCUUUCUUUUUAACUUUGGCCGCCCUUUCAUUACAGUCUUGGGAGGGUCUAGUAUCAACUUUGCGUUUGAGGAUGGAGCUGCAUCAGGAUGUGGGGGUUGGAUGACAAAAGCGUGAUUGUUUUUGCUAGCAUGUAUCAUCACCCGCACACUUUCUUGCUGUGUGGCAGGGUUACCCUGUCGCUGCACAUUAGUAGCACUUUCUUGUUGUGUGGCGGUGUUCUCCUGUUCAUUCACAUUGGUGGCACUUGUUUGCUGUGUGGCUGGGUUCUCCGGAUGUCUUGCAUCGGGGGUGUUUUGGUGAUAUGUGACAGGGUUGUCUUCAUUCAUCCGCCCCACAUGUAUCGAGCAGGGAUCCGGCUGUCCUUGAAACAAUCCUUUUGCUUCUUCCUUUUCCUUUCUUGCUUUUUUAAGUUGAUUGUUCUUCAGGAUUUCAAGCUCCUCCUUGAAAUUAUACAGGUGCUUUCUUGCCAAUCUGGUCUCGUCAUCUGUUAGGCAAGCAUCUUUGGCCGAUGCCUUAAAUUCUUUAAGAAUUGACGUGUAUCGCAUGACGCUUUUCCCCUCCUCUGGCAUCGACUUCUUAACUGUUGGCUGUUCGAAAUCAGGUUGAAUAAGAUCCUCCUCUGGAUCCCAGGUCCACCUCUUUAGGAUAUACUUUUCAGGUAUCUCGUAUACCCCAAUUUGGUCCAUAACUCGUAGUACGUGCGCGCACAGUAGCCCGUCACGAUCAAACUUGCAGCAACUACACGAGUAUGUCUCUUCAACCAUGUUUGCUUGCACAUGGUAGUCCCUGUCUUCAUAUUUCAGUAUUAUCCCGCGCACUGAGCUGACCUUGAAAGUACCAUCAUCCAAUGCGUCGCAUCUGUAUGCUGAUUUCACCUUCAUCUCCACCUGGAACUUGCAAAACAAGUUAUGUGUGUAUAGCCCCCGCACCUGCAUCUCCAGCGAGUUCAUCGAGUACAUUUCGGUUUCUUUGUACACUAUUUCCAACUGCUCUCUUGACACGCUAGCCAUCACCUUAUCCUGUAUCGCAGUGUACUGUUAUGCGAAUUCGACCAAUGAGUUGUUUGGGUUGACAUACUUCUUGAGCACAGUGUUAAAUCCCUCGCUUCUUGCCGUGGUCUGCAAGAACGGGAAAAAGUCGUGCAUAUAGUAUACCGGGACCCAACACUUCCUGUUCUCCCACAGCCAAUGGAAAUGCUCGUUGUCAGUCUGGCCAUACGCUUCGAUCAUCACCCACCACUUGUGCUCAAACUCAUCAACUGCAUUCAUAAUAUAAACAUGGUAACAUCAAUUAUUGGAGGAUGGUAACAUCUGUUCAAACAUAGCUGGUAACUAGGAACACCAAUGCUGUUGAUAAUUAUGUCACACACACAUGGUUACUUUAGUUGAAGGAUCAAGGUAAGUACUUUGCAGACAGGAUAAGAUUUUAUUUUUCCAAAGCGAAUACCACUCUCUGUGUGUAGUACAAGCAACAUUUUUAACUAGCAACAAAAAGAUACUCAUAUUAAUCAGACUAGCUGGUGAUUGAAAAGUUUUGUUGUAACUAGUGGGAUGAACAACUGAAAUGUGUACAUCAAACACGGACAUUAUAGGGGUAGUACAGAAAGCAACUAAUGUAGGUAAUUUUGUUAUAAUCCUCUGGUAACUUGUCACUUUGUUAGAUGGUAACUGUUGUUAUCAUGCAUCUAAACCCAUUUUCUAUGUGCCCAUUUUUUAUGUGUUUUAAGCUAGUGAGGGGUGGGAAGUAAAAUACCAGUCAGGCUGUUGUCAACACAAUCCUUGAAUGCAUUGUUUAGUGGGUCAUUGUUAGCCAUCAGCUUCCCAAGCUUCUCUUGUGCUUUUUUCAUUAUAUGCUAGCGGCAAUUCCUGUGUACUAUCCCGAUGAAGACCUCAUCAAUAGCACUCCUCAUUGCAAAAUCUUGAUCUGUUAUUAUGUUCUUUGGCGCAAUUCCACCCAUUGCAUGCAAGAAUGCAUUAAACAGCCACACAAAGUUACCAGAUAGUUCGUUUCGAACAAACCCACAACCAAAUUGGAUCGACUGCCCAUGGUUAUUAAUGCCAAUGAAGGAUGCACAGGGCAUUUUGUACAUGUUUGUCAUGUAUGUUGUGUCAAAUGAGAUGACAUCAUUGUAUCUAGCAUAUGCCCUGCGCGACGCACCAUCUAUCCAGAAUAAAUUCUCCACUCUGUCCUCAUCAUCAAGAUUUAUUCUCCAAUAGAAAUCUGGAUCUUGUGCCUUCAUAUCUUGGAAGUACGAGAUUGUGCUCCCCACAUCAGCAUGGCGGUACUCCAUUCGGAAUUUAGCUUGCUGGUUUGCGAUGUCCUUUGUUGUGUAUGGUACAUCUUUAGGAUUUCCGUAGAACCAUUCCAUUAGUUGCAUCUGUCUAGCUGUCUCUAUGUUCCAUCCGUGCAAUAUCUUCAAGAAGUCCUGCUCAUCUUUUGGAAUGUUCCUAUGUGAUGAUAGGAACUUUGUCAAGGACGGCUUUCUUAUUAGAGGGUGGUUGUGGUCGUCGUUGAAGCAUUUGACUCUCCACCACGCAUCCGUGUGGGUGAUGUAAAGGUGGGUCGGACAUCCCGACCUCACAACCUUCCCUCGUUUCGUCUUCUUCACGAUGCCUUUUGGGUCAUGCACAUCCUCUAUCUCUUCCUUGUUUGUUUUUGGCUUGCCGUAUUUCCCACAAACCAGGAGGACUCUGCUUACAGUAUUAUCUUUGAUUGUUUUUCUAUUCCAGUCUCAUUCCAAACCCAUGUCUCUAUGCAUAUUGCCUGUAGUGUUCAUAAGCUUCCUCAAAAGUAUCAAACUUCAUCGUUUCAUCAGGAGGUUUCGGUGUGGAGUAUGCCUCAGUAUUUUUGUCUCCCUGUUCAGCAUUCUCUCCCCCUGUUUCUGGACUCGCUGGCUCACUGACUGAAUGAUCAAAGAAGCUUUCUCUCCCCCCUAUGCUGCUAGUAGUCGGUUCUUUGCUUGUUUCUCGAACCAUCGGGUUGCUUCUAGAAGUAGCACCUGUAAUGUUUUUGAAAGUUGUUAUUUUGUGUUAUAUUUUUCUGCAUCCCAAAACUAGUGGUAACUUGUACUCCAGUUGCUUGGUAAAGUUUGCAUGCCAAAACAGAUGUUUUUUUUCUGUGGCUGUAAAGUGAAAGCAUGAAAUUCCAAUUGCAAUACAUAUUGCAUGAUAAUUCGUAUGCAGCAAGUGAGGUAACUAUGCCUAAAUUCAUGGUAACCAGCGAAAGCAUGUAAUACCAAUUUCAAUACAAAUUGGAUGAUAAUUUGUAUGCAGUAAGUGUGGUAAUUGUACCUAAAUUCAUGGUAACCUGUGUUCAUCAAGCUACGUCAUUUGUCAACUGUUUCAUGGUGAAUGUGAUAGUUGUAAAUAACCUAAGGUGGUAGUUGCAAUUCAAGUAUGAUGGUAACAAAUUUGUGUACAAAAUUGUGGUAGCAUGGUAAAUGUUUUACCUUCAUCUGUUUUGGCAGAACCAAAGCUUGCCGUGUGUGCAUAUUCACACUGUUGGUUUGUCCCCACACCACUCAUCAUGACAUCCACAUUACCCCCGUUGUCAUGCGCCAUUUUCUUGUGUCGUAGCACCUGCUAGUACAUAUGAUUGCACCAAUUAAUUUUCCACAAUUACUAGCAAUCUUGAUUAUUUUUUCACAACAACUAUAUUUUUUCCUUUUAAUGCCAUGAUAACUUCUGUUUUAUAACAGGUAUCGUUUUGGCAGUAACCAGCAUAUGGGAGUAUGACUGCGACAGUUUCUAUGAACCUCAUUUCAUGAACAUCAUUUUUAUCAAAAAAGAAUGGUGGCAACAAUGUAAAUCAACACAUGGUAUUCUUGUAGUGUUUUUAGCACCUUUGGUUCUGAGUUUUUCCUGGUAAUUUGUAAUGAAUUAGCACGAUAACUUGUUCUGACAUGGGUGUGUUCGAUAUAUAAAGGAUGGGUGUGUUCAAUAUAUAAAGGAAGAAAGGGAUCUUUUUUUGUGUUGAAUAAGUCUUACAGGAUGCUGAUUACUCAAUGCACAUACUCUGGUAAUCUAUUUUCAAUCGAGAUGGUAUGUCAGUUUUAAUGAGAAAAUUCAUACAUGUAUUUUCUAACUUGACUGUAAAAGAUGAAAUUUAGUCAAUCUUUUUGUUGGUAACCUGAUUGAAUUUGAGUGGUAACUCAAUUUCAACAUGGGAAUUACACACAUGUAGUAAAAAUACUACCUUUUCUUGCAUGCUUUAGUUCUUGUUGUUUUUUCCCCAUGUUUUCCCCGCUUGAUUUUAUUGGUAUGAAAUGCAAAUGCAGCAUGGGUAUAGAGGUAGCAUGGGUAUAGAGGUUGAAUCAGUUACCUCCUUUCUUUUUUGACUGAUUAUGACGAAAUAUGGACGAAUUGAUGAUAACCCCUGUGAUGUUCUUGUGGUAAACCGGGGCCCUCCCUCAAAUCCUUGUGUUUUGGUGUUGUUUUUUCAUGGUUUCCCUUUUUUUUGGUGGAUCUGAUCCGGCGUCGAUGUUGCCGGCGAUGGUGGCGCGUCGGGGAGAGAGGAGAGAACUGAUCGGGGCAGGUGGCUGUUUCUUGCGAUGGAGGUAAGAAAGUAGGGUUUGGGUGGUAAGUCACGUGCAGGAGGGGGGAGGUGGGCCAAAUUGGGCUUCGAUCCGUUGCACGGGGAAGGACGCAGUAGGGGGGAGGUGGGCCUAGUGAGAGAAGUCUGGGUCGUGGGUGGAGCUACCGAAUUGGAUCACGCGCGGGAGGGACUCAGGUUCCCGAUCGUGCGGAUCUGUCGCUAAACCACCAGUAGGCUGGUGGUUAGUCGCGUCCUAUACUAUAAUAUAUAAAAUUAAUUUAAUAAUAGGAUGUGGAUACGGCUCGGUCGAUUAAGACUUAGAAAGAAGUCUCAGUCAGCUGGCAUCAUGACGGGAUGCAGUAGUAGCCCCAGGUGACACUUUCGGAUGCAGGUCUAGUGGCAUGCAUGCAAUUGUCUAUCUUCCGACAAAAACACGAGGAGUUGCAGUCGUGGGCGACACCUGCAGUUGCAUGCCAAGUGUCGGACAUGCAACUUCCCCCUCCCAGACAAAAUACCACAGAGAUGCAGUCUGGUUUAAGACAUGCAGUUACAGUCUGGGGCAACACUUGCAGUUGCAUGCGUAGUGUCGGGCAUGCAACUAGCCCCUCCUCUCCCCGUUGCUCUUCGACAAAAAUACAAAGGACAUUUGUAGUUGGGAGGGAUGCGUGCAAUGGCAGUCGAGGGCAGCACGUGGAUUUGCAAGCCUAGUGUCGGCCACAGAACUGCCCCCUCUCACGCUACCCACCGACCAAACAAAAGGUUGGGUGCGGUUGGGUGUGUUGACAUGCAGUUGUAGUCGAAGGCGACACUUGAGUUACAAGCCUAGUGUUUGGCAUGCAACUGCCCCUCUCUCCCCCCGCCCUCAUACAAAAACACAUGGCCAAUUGCAAUUAGGGCGGAGGCGUGCAACUGCAUUCGAGGGUGGCACUUGUACUUGCAGCCAUUUUGGGAGACAUGAAGUUGAAGCCAUGGUGACACUUGCAGUUGUAUGCCUAGUGUUGGACAUGCAAUUUCCCACCUCUCUCGCCGCUUACUUGAAAAAAGGUCAGUUGUAGUCAAGUGUGUAGGCAUGCAAUUGCAGUCAAGGGCGACACUUGCAGUUGCAAGCCUAGUGUCGGAUAUCUAACUACCACCCCCUCUCUCAUUGUCCACCAUAAAAAAAGGUCUGUUGCGGUCGGAUGUAUGUACAUGCCGUUGCACUCGAGGGCGACACUUGCAGUUGCAAGCCUAUUGUCAGACAUGCAACUUCCCCCUUCUCCCACUGCCCUCCGACAAAAACAUAAGGCUAGUUGCUGUCGAGAGGGAGACAUUCAGUCGGGAGUGACACUUCUAGUUGUAUUGCUAGUAUUGGACAUGCACCCCCCUCUCCAAUAGCCCACUUACAAAACAAAGGUCAAUUGCAUUUGGGGUGUGUGGGCAUGCAGUUUCAAUCGAGGGCAACACUUGCAGCUGCAUGCCUAGUGUUACCCCGCCUCUCCCCACCGCCCACUAACACUUGCAGUUGCAAGCCUAGUGUCGGAGCUGCACCUGCCCCCUUCUCCCGAUAAAAAAAAGGAGGAAAUAUACGCAAAAGCCAGUCCUUCAUCAAUUGCAUGAGGAGUAAGACGUGUGUAGUUAUGCAUGGAUAAGCGAACUUGCUACAUACACUCAAUAUUUCUUUUGAGGCUAAAAAGUAAAGAAUAAAUAACAACAUAGUUACAUGCCGAUACGAUGUGUGCGGUCACAUGUGGAUGGAUGUACAUGUAGCUGAUAGUAUGAUUUGAGAAAUGACAAAAACAAAUGUGAACAAUUAAGAAUUAAUAAAAUAUAAAAUAAAAAUGAAAAAGCACACAAACAUACUUCAAAGAAAGAAUUAUGAGAGAAAAGAGAACAAGAAAAGAAUGAGAAGAAUGAAAUAUGUAAUAAUUUCAAAAGAAGCAACAAAAAAAUUUAGAAAGGAAAACUAUCCUUGAAAUCCAAAAUGAAUUGGCUCAAGCCAUUUUGAAAAAUAUUAUAAACAAUGUUGCGAUCGGAAAAAGGAAAUGCAACACAAAUUUGCACCAAUCUUGGCGCAUAAAGAUUGAACGGUUUUUCGUAUAACCAAAUCGUAUAUGAGCAAACCUUGACAUACAACAUGGUGGAAAAUAAAAAAACGUGGAGCAAAAUUAAGAGUGUGCAUUGAUCAUGACAUGCUAAAAGAUAUAGGGGAAGACACUGAGCGUGGAGGACACACAUGCUGGUCUAGUAGAGAAAAUGAGUAAAAACAAGACAACACACAACACCGCUCCCGCAUCCGUCCAUGGACAGGGGGACCAGUCCACGGACACGAAUGCGGGAGGCGGCCAUCCAACACUGCCAGUAUACAUUUCAACAACUUUUUAAAUCAGUCGAACGAAAUUUUUGCAAACAUGAUGUAUUUCAUUCAAGUUCGGUUAUAAUUUACAUGAAAAGAUCAAUAUUUCAAUUGUUUAACAAAACAACUAGGAAAAAACCCUAAACCCUAUACCGAACAACCACCAUGUAUGUGUGGCCGCCCUGCACUGCCGCACCGCCGUCGCUGUCCGUGCCACCGAUGUCAUUGUCGUUGUCGUCCCUCUAGCGGCGAAGCAGCGCAGGACGACCGUGACAGUCUUGUCCAACGGUUGCCUGCCGCUCGCGGAGGAGCCGCUCCGCCUCUUGUUGCGCGGUGCAGAGAGCCGCCGUGGACACUGUCUUGAUCGGCGUUGGCAGAGUAGUGGCUAAGAUACCACUCCUCACUGUCAAGGCGGCGGCGGCGCCUGGCGACCGUCUCUAUGGUGGUGAUGGAGCUGUCGUGCGUCCAUGCGGCAGAAAGGUCAGGGUCAUUGCCGGAACAUUCUGGCGCCACGUCCGACUUGGCGAACGCGGAGCGGUGACCGACAUUGCACAGGUCGUAUCUCGCGCCCUGCCUCGCUGCGAGCUCCGCCUCGGAAAUAGUUGGUUCGUCGGUCGUUUUGCCCCGUUUUACAAAUUCACUAACUUUUUUUGAUAUUUUGUAAACAAUUGUAUUGAGCCAGCAAACAUCUUUCGAAAUUUGGGAACAAUAUUUGAAAUUUAGGUACAUUUUUUUGUUUCUGACGAAUAUUUUUUUGAGUUCAUGAAUACUUUUUAAAUCAGCAAACAUUUCUAAAUCUUUUGCACAUUAUUUGAAACUCGGGAAUAAUUAUCAAAAUUCCUUCAUUUUUUUAAUAUUGUGAUAUUUUUCUAAAUUUCUAAAAAACUCAAAGAUUCAUGAACAGUUUAUGAAAUCAUGAAUUUUUUUUGAAAUAUUAAAAAUUUAAUAAAUUCACUACCAUUUUUUACCAAUUCGUGAACAUUUAUUUCAAAUGCGUUGUUUUUUUUGAAAAUUUGAACACUUCCAAAAAAUCCUCAACUUUUUAAGAAAAUUCAUGAACAUUUUUUUAAUACACGAACAUGUUUUGGAAAUCACAAACCUUUUCUGAAUCUGUGAGCAUCUCUCAUUUCCUGAACAUUUUUUUAAUCAUGAAUUUCUUUGAAUUUACAAACAAUUUUUACAGUAUGUAACUUUUUGGAAAUCGGGAAUUAGUUUUUGAAUGGAAAAUACUGAUAACAGAAAGAAGAACAAACAAAGGGACAACCCACCGCCACAUGGGUCGGCCGAUGAGGGUUUGUUGUGGAGACGGGUGGGGUAUAAGCGCGGGCGUGGGGAGCUCCAAUUGCGUGCAUCAAAAAAAAGGAAAAGAAAGGUAAAAGAAAGAAAAAGUGGAAAGUUACCAGAUCAUGCUGGUGGCGGGUUGGUUACGCUACGGUACAUGAUUAAGGUGGUUGCUCAACAUGGCAAUGAGUACCCGCGAACCCGACGGGUAAAAACUCUAUUGGGUAAGGGUUUGAGAAAGUUAAAUACCCAUGGGUUUUUAAAUGUGAUAAAAAUUUAACCUUCGGGUAAGCCGGGUAUGGGAACAGGGAGGCAAUACCCAUACCCGUGUACCCGCCUACCCAUCGCAUAUUAGUACAUCUUAUAGGUAGGUCCCCUAUGUCAUUCACUAAGAAAAGGAAAACCCUAGCCUAACCCAGCCGCAGCUUGCACACAAAAUGCCCUCCCCUCACCCACCCAUCGCUUCCUCACACUCAUAGAAUGCAAACACCGUAUCUCCAUCUCACCUCGGCUGAAAUGCUAAAUAAACAUGCUGAAAUGUUGUGUUUCAUCUACUGAAAUGCUGAAAUUAUACAUUGUACAAUUUGAAUUGAAAGGUGACCGAGAUGGGUAUUACCCGCACCCGGUCGAGAUUGGCAAUUUGAAUUGAAAGGUGACCUAGAUGGUUGUGAAAAAAGUUGAUCAUGUAUUUAAAAUAUGUUAAAGAACUAUUUGAAAAAUGUUAAUCAAGCUUUAGAAAAAUGUUGAAUGUGUAUAGGGAUAAUGUUGACCAUCUAUUAAACAAAUGAAAAAAUAUUUUAAUCAUGUGUAUGAAAAUAUGAAUCAAGCAUUUAAAAAAAUGUUGAACAAGUAUUUCAAAAAUGUUAAUCAAGCCUUCGGAAAAUGUUAAAUGUGUAGAAAAAAUGUUUACCAUGCAUUCAAAUAAAUGCUAAUCUUGCAUUUGGAAAAUGUUGGUAAAGCAUUUGAAAAAUGUUAAUUAUUCAUUCAAAAAUAUUUGACCAUGUAUAAGAAAAAUGUUGACCAUGUAUUAGGAAAAUAAUAACCAUGUAUUUGAAAAAAAUGUUAAUCAAUCAUUUGAAAAAAAUUAAAGUGUGUAUAGGAAGAAAUGUUGAUCAUGGACACCAAAAAUGUUAAUCUUAUAUUUAACAUAUGUUAACCAAGCGUGGUGGUGAUGGUGGUGCUGGAGUCGGAAUACAGGCAGGGCUGCGCUAAGCGAAAAAACCAUGGACGAGAACUAUGCCGGGAGGGAGAGACGGGGCAGCAGCUAAGGCCAAUGUAUUGGGUACCUUUGCUGCGCCCCCUCCCCCAUAUUUAUAUGCAUGUGGGGGGAGGCUUGGAGUCCAGCCCUACUCCUAAUAGGAGUUGGGGCCAAAGGGGUAGAGGACUUGGACUCCAAGUCCAAUUCUAUUCCUACUAGUAGUCCCCCUUUUCCCUUCCCUAGCCAUAUGGGCUUUUGAGAACUUGGUGCGCCUAGCCCAAUAAAGCCAGGGCUCCUCCCCUUAGCCCAUGCCAGCCCUUGGGACUUGGUGAACCCACUUGUGGACUUCCGGACCCCUCCGGAACCUUCUGCAAGCUUCCCGAUACAAUACUGAAAAAACUGCAUCAUUUUUCUAGAACCCAAAAAUAUGAAUUCUCAUAUAUAAAUCUUUACCCCUCAACCAUUUCUGGGACUCCUCGUGACGUCUGAGAUCUCAUCCGGGACUCUGAACAACAUUUGGUUACCAACAUACAUAUCCCAAUAUUACUCUAGCGUCACUAAACGUUAAGCGUGCGGACCCUACGGGUUCGAGAAUGAUGUAGACAUAACCGAGACACUUCUCCAGUCAAUAACUAAUAGCGGAACCUGGAUGCCCAUAUUGGUUCCUACAUAUUCUAUGAUGAUCUAUAUCACCUUUAUGACAAUGAUACGUCUCCAACGUAUCUAUACUUUUUAUUGUUCCAUGCUAUUAUAUUAUUUGUUUUGCAUGUUUUAUAUGCAUUAAUAUGCUAUUUUCUAUUAUUUUUGGGACUAACCUAUUAACCUAGAGCCCAGUACCAGUUUCUGUUUUCCUUGUUUUUGAGCCUCGAAGAAAAGGAAUACCAAACUGAGUCCAAACGAAAUAAAACCUUCUCAAUGAUAUUUCUUGUACCAGAAGACACCUGUUGGAUCUGGACUCCUAGUCAGAAGACCUUGGCGUAGACGACAAGCCAUUGGGGCGCGCCCUACGGCGGUGGGCGCGCCCCUACCUUAUGGCCUACUCCAACACCCCCUGACCUAAUUCUUCGUCCUAUAUAUUCACAAAUAUUCCCAAGCCACUAGAGACAUCAACAAAACACAUUUCCACUACCGCAACCUUCUGUUCCCAUAAGAUCUCAUCUAGGGGCCUUUUCCGGCAUCCUGCCGGAGGGGGAUUGGAUCACGCAGGGCUUCUACAUCAACUCUAUUGCCCUUCCGAUGAAGCGUGGGUAGUUUACCACAGACCUAUGGGUCCAUCGCUAGUAGCUAGAUGGCUUCUUCUCACUCUCUUUGAUUCUCAAUACCAUGUUCUCCUUGAUGUUCUUGGAGAUCUAUACGAUGUAAUCUUCUUUUGCGGUAUGUUUGUCGAGAUCCGAUGAAUUGUGGAUUUAUGAUCAGCUUAUCUACAAAUAUUAUUUGAAUCUUCUUUGAAUUCUUAUAUGCAUGAUUUGAUAUCUUUAUAAUUUUCUUCAAACUAUUGGUUUAGUUUGGCCAACUAGAUUGGGUUUCUUGCAAUGGGAGAAGUGCUUAGCUUUGGGUUCAAUCUUGAGGUGUCCUUUGCCAGUGACAGUAGGCGCAUCAAGGCACAUAUUGUAUUGUUGCCAUCGAGGAUAAAAAUAUGGGGUUUACAUCAUAUUGCUUGAGUUUAUUCCUCUACACCAUUUCAUCUUACUUAAUGUGUUACUUUGUUCUUUAUGAACUUAAUACUCUAGAUGCAGGCAGGAGUCAGUCGAUGUGUGGGGUAAUAUGUAGUAGAUGCAGGCAGGAGUCGGUCUACUUGGCACGGACAUGAUGCCUAUAUUUCACAAUCAUUGCCCUGGAUAUCGUCAUAACUUUGCGCUUUUCUAUCAAUUGCUCGACAGUAAUUUGUUCACCCACCGUAUUAUUUGCCUUCAUGAGAGAAGCCUAUAGUGAAACAUAUGGCCCCUGGGUCAAAUUUCCAUCAUAUUAGUUUCUGAUCUACUAUUUUGCAAUCUUUUACUUUUGCAACCAAAAAACCCAAAAAUAUUUUAUCUGUUGUUUAUCUAUCUCUAUCAGAUAUCACUUUUGCAAGUGACCGUGAAGGGAUUGACAACCCCUUUAUCGUGUUGGGUGCAAGUUGUUUGAUUGUUUGUGCAGGUAUUGGUGGCUUGUGCGUUGUCUCCUACUAGAUUGAUACAUUGGUUCUAUAAUUGAGGGAAAUACUUAUGUCUACAUCGCUGCAUCACCCUUUCCUCUUAAGGGGAAAAACCAAUGCAAGCUCAAGAAGUAGCAGGAAGAAUUUCUGGCGCCGUUGCCGGGGAGAUCUAUGCCAAGUCAAGACAUACCAAGUACCCAUCAUAAAACUCUCAUCUCUUGCAUUACAUUAUUCGCCAUUUGCCUCUCGUUUUCCUCUCCCCCACUUCUAAAACAAAUUUCGAAAAGAUUUGCCUUUUUAUUCGCCUUCUUUCCGUAUGACUUUUUGCUCGUUUGCUAUCUUUGCUUGUGUUCCCGUGUGCCUUCUAUUUGAUUGAAUCUUUGCUUGCUAAAAAUCUUUCGAUAUGGAACAACUUAAAGUUUUCUACUUGGAUCAUCUUCGAUCCAUAUGUGCUCGUGCUCAAACCCCAACUAGUUUAGUUGAGGGAAAAUCUUUAGAUGAGCAUGCGCAUUUUGUGCGUCAGCGUAUGUCAGAAAAGGGAGACUCUUAUGGAAUCAAAUAAAUUAUUUGCUAUGUUAUGCUUCGAAUCUUUGUGAACUUUGUGAUUUUACUUGUUGCUCUAAGAACCCUAAAAACACCUUCCGUACCUAUCUGAGUUUAAUGAUAAUGAAAUCUUAUCUUCUUAUGAAAAGGGUGUUUACAGUUAUUAUGAUAUCGAACAAAUUAAAGAAUUUGUUGCUUUUAAGGGUGCUUAUGAAGUUGCUUCUUUCUUUGAAAAGUAUGAUAUUACUCUCUACAAAUCUGAAAAUUUUGACAUACUUCAAUAUUGCUAUCAGUACUAUGCUCAUAAUGUCUAUGUUAAGGAAUUUACUGAGAGAAUGACUGUUUCUUUCGAAGAAAAUAAUGAUAUGCAUGAAUCUAUUGAUCAUUAUAAUUCCGAUGAUUUGAUUGAAAUAUCCUUUGAUGAACAUGAUGCUUGCUAUUCUUAUGGACAAGAUGAAAAUAUUAAUUAUUCUUAUGGACAUGAACUUGUUGUAGUUCCUUAUGUUAAACAUGAAAUUAUUUUUAUUGCAACCACACUUGAUAGUUCCUUCGAUGAGAAGCAUGAUUGUAAUGAUGUUAUCCCAAAUUCUAUUAAGGUCAAUUGUGUUAAUGAUAUGCAAAACCCCAAGCUUGGAGAUGCUAGUUUUGUUAUGUCCACUACUUGUUGCAAUGAUCAUGAUUGGGGUGAUUCUUCUUAUGAUCUUGAAAAUUUAUUUAAACCUCAUGAUGAAUAUGUUUGCUAUACUAUUGAAAGUAGGUUUGGAAGAGUGUCAACUUUAGAUCCCACAUAUUUGGGUAAUUUUCAAUCUUAUGAAGUUUUUGAUAAAAGUGGGUUUGGAGAGGUCAUGACUUUAGUUAAUGUUAAUCCCACUAUUUUGGAAAAGUGUCAACUUCACAUGCAUGCGGAUCUUGUUGAGAAUAUGUUAUAUGAUAGCUAUAUUGUUGAAUUUGAAUAUGAUCCCACAUGCAAUUAUUAUGAAAGAGGACAAUAUGGUUGUAGAAAUUUUCAUGUUACUAAAUCACCUCUCUUCAUGUUGAGAUUGUCUAUGUUUUAUUUUUCUUCCUUGCAUAUGCUAGUUUUUGCUUUCCUUGAUAAUUUGUUUGCUUAUAAAAUGCCUAUGCAUAGGAAAUAUAUUAGACUUAGAUGUGUUUGGCAUGUGUUCUAUGAUGCUCUCUUUGCGCAUCAAUUCUUCUCUUUUAUGUGAGCAUCAUUGAAAUUAUCAAUGCGUAGCUAAAGGCUUUAAAGAAAAGCGCUUGUUGGGAGACAACCCAAUAUUUUUCCUUCCUGUUUUUCAAUAAAUAAUUCAUCUAGCCUCUGGUUAGAUGUGUUUUUGUGUUUUAGUUAGUGUUUGUGCCAAGUAAGACCUUUGGGAUGGCUUACGGUGAUAAUUGAAUUGAUCUUGCUAAAACCAAGAAACUUUUGUGCCCAGGAAAAUAAUUUUCAUUUUUACAGAAGAGUGCUUUUGAUCUCAUUAUUUUUGCACAAGAUUGGUACACAAAUUUCCCAGUGUGUCCUAAUAUUUCAGAAUUUUUGGAGUUACAGAAGUAUUCGAAGUUUCCAGAUUGCCACAGAUUGUUCUGUUUUUGACAGAUUCUGUUUUCUAUGUGUUGUUUGCUUAUUUUGAUGAAUCUAUGGGUAGUAUCGGGGGGUAUGAACCAUGGAAAAGUUGGAAUACAGUAGAUAUUACACAAAUAUAAAUAAAGAAUGAGUUCACAACAGUACCAAAAGUGGUGAUUUAUUUUCUUAUACUAACGGAUCUUAUAUGAUUUUUUGUUGAGUUUUGUGUUUUGAAGUCUUCAAGUUUUGGGUAAGGAUUUGAUGGACUAUGGAAUAAGGAGUGGCAAGAGCCUAAGCUUGGGGAUUCCCAAGGCACCCCAAGGUAAUAUUCAAGGAAAACCAAGAGCCUAAGCUUCUGGAUGCCCCCGAAGGCAUCCCCUCUUUCGUCUUCGUCUAUCGGUAACUUUACUUGAAGCUAUAUUUUUAUUCACCACAUGAUAUGUGUUUUGCUUGGAGCGUCUUGUAUAAUAUGAGUCUUUACUUUUUAGUUUUCCAUAAUCAUCCUUUCUGUACACACCUUUUGAGAGGGACUCGCAUGAAUCAUAAUUUAUUAGAAUACUCUAUGUGGUUCACUUAUAUCUUUUGAGCUAGGAAAUUUUGCUCUAGUUCUUCACUUAUAUCUUUUUAGAGCACGGCGGUGGCCUUAUUUUGUAGAAAAUGUUGAACUCUCAUGCUUCACUUAUACUAUUUUGAGAGUUUCUCUAAGCAGCAUGGUAAUUUGAUUUGGUUAUAAAUUUAGUCCUACUAGUGGAGUAUUAUGAGAAGUUUGAUACUAUGAGAAGUUUGAUUCCUUAUGAUUGUUUAUGAUUGUUUUGAGAUAUGAGGAUGAUGAUAAAGUGCAUUGAAUACUAUGAGAAGUUUGAUUCCUUAUGAUUGUUUUGAGAUAUGAGGAUGAUGAUAUUAGAGUCAUGCUAGUGGAGUAAUUGUGUGUUGUAGAAAUACUUGUGUUGAGGUUUGUGAUUCCUGUAGCAUGCACGUAUGGUGAACCCUUAUGUAACGAAGUUGGAGCAUGAUUUAUUUAUUUAUUGUCUUCCUUAUGCGUGGUGGUCGAGGACAAGCGAUGGUAUUUUCCUACCAAUCUAUCCCUCUAGGAGCAUGUGCUUAGUACUUUUUUCGAUGACUAAUAGAUUUUUGCAAUAAGUAUGUGAGUUCUUUAUGACUUGUGACACCCACGAUUCAAUCGUAGACUAAUCAUACAUGCAAAUGUGUACAAUGAACAUCAGGGACUCACGGGAAGAUAUCACAACACAACUCUAGGCACAAAUAAAAAUUAAUACAAGCUUCAUAUUACAAGCCAGGGGCCUCGAGGGCUCGAAUACAAGCUCGAUACACAAGAGUCAACGGAAGCAACAAUAUCUGAGUACAGACAUAAGUUAAACAAGGAUGCCUUAAGAAGGAUAGCACAAAAGAAAUAUGAUCGAAGAGGCAAGGCCUCCUGCCUGGGACCUCCUAACUACUCCUAGUCGUCGUCGGUCUCAACGUAGUAGUAUCCGUCGACGGUGGCAUCUGGCUCCCAGGAUCCACUAUCUGGUUGCAACAACCGGAAAGGAGAAAUAAGGUGGGAAAGGGGUAGCAAAGCAAUUGUGAGUACUCAUCCAAAGUACUCGCAAGCAUCAGAUCUGUACUAAGUAUGCAUUGGUAUCAAAUGGAAGGUUGUAUAUGUCGACUGGACUACAACAUGCCAGAAUAGAGGGGGAAGGCCUAGCCUAUCAAAGACUAGCAUCUUCAAGCAGCUCCAAGCAACUUGCAGCAUGUAGAAGAGUAAAGAAUAGCAUUUUAAUAUUAAACAAACAUGUUGUAGAACCAACACCCAGAUAUCCUUCCUCGACUCCAUGCGAGGAAGCAAUCCCGGAGCCACAUAUCCAUCACAUAUCUCAAGUGUCCAUAUAUAGUUAUAUAAGAUCAGGAUACAAGUUUGAACGUCCAUUACCACGGACACGGUAUUCGAAUAUAUAUCUUCCCUGCAGGGGUGCACCACGUUACCCAACACGCUGGAUAACUCUGGCCGGACACACUUUACUGGUUUAAUGCCCGGCCUCGGAAGAUCAACACGUCGCAGCCCUACCUAGGCUUAGCAGAGAGGUCCCCGUCGGUCUACAUCCUAAGCACUCCGGGGUCUUGGGCCCAUCGCCUGCAGCACUCUGGGUCGUUUUGUGCAGGGUGGAUACCAGCACCUCCUCGGAUGGCCAACACGAUUCGACCAUGCCACAAUGUUGAACUGGACGUCUAACAAAGCUUCGGCUGGUACUGUGACGUCGUGGCCCAUAACUAUACUCGCAUGGUGGUUAGUGCGUAAAUGCCAGAGGCCAACACAGAACAAAUCCCCGAACCUGUUAGUGUAUUGGGGGCUCGCGAGGACGAGCACAGACUUACAUUAAGGUGACCCCGUCGCCCCGUCUCGUGGACUUACGGCAAGGGCCCAGACUGCCUGGUUGUGCCACGUGGAAAACUCGCGGGUGUGCUCUCUGGGCCCACCCGACAUUCACAUCAACUCGCGGGUACCCCUUAGGGCCGACCCGACUUCAACAAAGGUCUCAAGUAUAGUCAAGGUAACUGUGUGUCCAUAACAUCAAGGAGGAAAACCCGAGGAAUCACCCCCCGUGGAUUCCACUCGAUGUAACCAUCAAGGUGAACGUAAGAGGAAACACCCUCGAGGUUCACACUUGAGGGUUGCUCGACGGAGUAUUAUCGGGAGUGGUCUAGCACUACAAGAAAUAUGUCAACUUGUGACCACCACUAUUGGUCACUGAAAGGUCAUGGUUUGUCAUUUACGACCUUUUUGUGACCAAAAACAGAAGGUCAAAAGCUGGCGGUCGUAAACUAACUAUAGCGACCUUUCUUCUGGAAUGGUCGAAGACGUUUAUGACCAAAAUAUGUCCACUGUGGCGUUUUGGUCACUAGCAACCUCCCUAGGCCACUUAGGCAUCCAGCGUGGCAAGCUGAUGUGGCACAAGAUUCAGCCCGGUCCAAUUUGGUUUUCUACAUGGGCCUAGCCCACCAAUUCGGCCUUUCUAUAUUUUUUUCCUGUGCUUUUAUUAGCUACAUGGGCCUGGCCCAAGAAUUCAGCCUUUUUAUUUUCUAGGCCAUGGCCUUUUUUAUUUUAUUUUUUUCCAAAAUAUGAGCCCACUAGUGAGGUGGGACCCAGUUGUCAGGUUCUAACAAGUGGGUCCCAGGUGUCGCUGUUAUAUUAUUCAAAUCUCAAUUUUCCAGUAGAUAAAUAACAAUAUUUAAAUCCGAACAGAGAGAAAACAAAAUGCUUCAAACAGAGCACGACUAAUCAGGAAAAAUAUGGUACACAUCACGAAUACAAUCAGAAAGAGCCAAACUUGGCACAUUAUUACAAUCAAACUUGUUCAUCCUGGUAACACAGCAAGGAUGGUUCAUCCUAGUAACACAUUAUUACAGCAAAAUAUGGUUCACAUCAAGUUUACAAUAAACAAAAAUGUUCACAACAGGUAACACAAGUAUCACAGUAUAACUUGCUCCAAUGCUUCUCCCAACUUGUUCAUCCUGGACCUCACAACAAAACAUGAAUGAAGGCCAGCAUCUGCAAGUUAUCAAGAAAAAUGCUUAGAACAAGCAAAAUGCGACAUUUUUACCAUUUAAGCAUAGAAGAACAGGGUCAACAACAUUUCGAUCUUUGAAAAUGAACCAAGAUUUCAAUCUUUGAACAGCAAAAAAUUGAUACAGUAGAUCAUCUGCGGUUCAAAACAACCCCUAAGAAGAGACAUGUUGACACAUUCAUUUGGCAACAUCUGUAGAAAUUGAACCUCGUAAACAUGCAAUGUGAAAUUUGUAUCUCAAAGAAGUAUACAUACUUAUCAGAUUUUGAUGACAUUAACAUGCAGUACAAGCAAAGAUGGCAUGAUUGAACCUUGCAUAGUAAAAACUUGCAAGUAAAUAAGAACAACAAUGCUAAGAAGAUAAAACAUGCACAUUUCAGCCUGCAAUUGUGAAAAGGUCGAAUGGAUCCAAAUUAACAUACAAUUCAGAAAACAAUCAAUCUAUCUAUUAUAUACUUAAAACAAUAGAAAAGUAACGGUGGAGAUUAAGCAGUCUAAAGUUAUGGUAUUUGAAUGGCUGGGAUUAAAAGUUCCAAAAGUUUUUUAUAGGUAAAAGUUCUAAAAGUUACUUAGAACAUUAUCCUGUACAGUUCUUAGAAUCCGACACGUAACUGUCACAAAAAAACAGAAGACCGUGUACUUUAAUUAGGUGAAAAAAUAACAUGUACGUACGUCCUAUCAACAGCCAAUCGAAAUAAGUAAAAAAAAACCCUGCAAAUAUCAACAUGUGUCGUUAACACGUACUACUACAAGUUGAGUCCAACACGGAUAAGUAAGGAUUAGAUCACAUAAAGCCAAGUCCAACACGGACCAAAUAGGAACCAGAUCACGUACGUGUUAAAAAGAAACAUGCAUGUGGUGACCGUACCAAUUAGAUAAGAGUUGGAUUAGCAUUGGAUGCAACGACCUCAGGAUGAUGUCAUCGGGUAAAUAACAUGUACUGCUAAUUUGCUUCUAUUCCGAUUCACGUGGCCGGACGUCUGAUGGUGGUUGUACAUUGAGAUUAAUUCACUUCGGCAUAAAUAACUUAAUUAUUAGCAAAUUUACGUAAAAGUAUUUAAAUAAAGUUUUAGAUAAAUUAAUACAGGUAUACUUCACAACGAACACUGACAAUAAUUAGUAAAUAUAUUUAUAUUUCGUAGUACAUGAAACUCAGUGUAAAAUUAUGUGAAAUAAAAAAUUAGAAAGUUGAAUUGAUUGGAAGAAAAAAUAAUUUUGCAUUAAUAAUAGUAAAGUAAAAAAAGGUUUCAUAGGAAUAAAAUUCCACAAAUAGCUUAAUUUAUUACAAUGUUUUAAAUCAAAUAAAGAGUUAAUAUUGCAUAAAAAACUAAUCAUGUUUUAGAUUAUAUAUUAUCACAUAAAAAACUAAUAGUUUAUUAAAACAAGACACAAAAAUCCAUCAUGUUAAUUCAUAUACGCUUAAAAAUACAUGUUCUGUUGAUCCAUAUAACAAAGACUGAGAUUAAAAGAUUUGAAGACUUUAAUACAAGUCCUGUUAGAGAUUAAAAAAAAACUACAUACCGAUGUAUAUAGACAUAUUUUAGAAUAUAGAUUCAUUCGUUUUGCUCCAUAUGUUGUCCAUUAUUGGAAUCUCUAAAAAGACUAAUAAUUAGGAACAGAGUGAGUACAAUGAUAUUGAAGUGUAUACACGUGUUUCAUUGGAAACGUACAACACAUGUAUACAUUUUUUUUUCUAAACACAGUAGCAUACACAGGUUUAUUGGAACGGAUUUGCUAAUAGAAAAGUAAAAACCAUUAUGCUACUCGGAAGGGAGAUACCAUGUCUACGUAUGUGGAUUGAAAUUGGUGUCCGGCAAUAAUUUAGAACUAAUACAUCGUCCAGAAAAAGAAUUACAACUAAUACGGUCACAGACAAGAAUUACAGCUAACUAAUAUAGUUGCAUGAACCUACCAAGAAGUAUAUGCAUGCUCAACUUGACAUGACCUUAACUGAUUCAAAUAAUAUUUUUUAACAUUGUAACAUUACGCAACAAAAACAAACGUCUCAUAGUCGCUAGAGACAAUUUGGAAAGAAAAUAUUGGAAACUGACAUUAGCGUGUAAAAGAAGGGCAAAUUAAAAAAACACUAAUACCUCAAGACGUCCAAACAACGCUAUGGAAUCACAUGAAGCGAUGUGGGGUGGAAAUCACGUUGCGUAAACCUCCGGGCAAGGGAAAUUUCACGGAAUACAAUACAAUUCCAAAAAAACAGACAAGGAAACGAACACACAUGAUGAAGACAUGGAGUGAUUUGGGGCCGAAAUCACGUCGCGCAAAUGUGGUGCCAAGGGAAUGUUGAAUACAAUUUCGGAAAAGAUACAAAGGAAUCAGGACAUCGACACACAUAAAAAUGGAUAAGGACAAAAAUAUUCACUUUCUACAUUACGGAUUUGUAACAUGUACAUUAACCAAGUACCAGGAAGCAAUGCAAUUUUGUAGUAAGCAUCGGGAAAUAAUGUUAUGGCAACAAUGAAUAGUGUUAUGCAUGCAAAAGACCUACAACCGUGGACACAUUUUUAAGUCGAUGCGAAAUAACCUGAGUGCGACAAGGAUUAGCUAUAGAGAGACCGAGUGAGUAAGUGAGAGGUGAUGUUUUACGUAUAUUCAUAUUAAUGGAAACCGGUAUCUAUAUUCACUACUAGAAAAAGGGUCAAAUGUGAGACACAUUAGUCCCGGUUUGUAAUAGAACCGGCACUAAUGUGUCCAUUAGUGCUGGUUCCAACGGCUAGGUGGGAGGAGCUCUUUAGUACCGGUUCGUGGCGAACCUUUAGCACCGGUUCGUGCCACGAACCGGUACUAAAGAAAGUGGUGGCAGGAUGUUGUCAGAGUGGGGCCCUUCCAGCACCUUUAGUACCGGUUCGUGGUACGAACCGGUACUAAGGUCGUCCUAUAUAAACCCUUCGUCCACCCGCACUCUGUUCUUCCCCCUUUCCCCUCUCCCUCUCCUCUGUUCUUCCCUUCUUCCUCUCGAGUUCAUCACAAAAUUUGCCCCAAAUUUGUCAAGAUUUGCAGGCCCUCAUCCAUUCAAAUGAUCACCAAGGUUAGCAACUUUGUCCUUUCAUCUCUCAUUGCUAGAUUAGCUCUUGCAUUGGUUUAUAUAGUGAUUAAUUGUGGGUUUUAGUAAUUUGGGAGGAAUUAUAUGUGGUAGUAUUUGAUUUAUAUGCAAUUUGAGGUCAAAAUAACACUUAGGUUGCAUAUGUAGGUGUGGUUUACUUAGUGCCUUCUAAAUCUCCGUCGUAACCACCGUCGAUCGCCCGCACCGUCCCGUCGCCGGCACCACCUUGUGGUGAGCCUCUUGUUCAUGAAAUUUUAUAUAAAAAAUUGAUGUUUGUGUGAUUUGGAUAUAUAGUUACUCGUAUAAUAAUUAUCUUACCCGUACGUUGUUUGUUAUACAUACUGCCAUGGUUUUGAUAUCCGUCCCCGUUGGCCCUCGUCCUUGUUAUGAUUCGGAUGUGGUAUAUUCUCUUUUAAAACUAUUUGUUGCAUUUCGUGUUUAUGACAAAUUAUGCCCAUCAAGUUGACAUAGAUAUUUUUAUCUAGGAGGUAUGUGAACCGGAAAUUCCAACCGACCAUAUUGUCGAGAGGUUAAAUUUAGUUGAAAGAGAAAAUGAGUACUUGAAAGAAAAAUUGAAAAGAAUUGAGGGGGAGAGGAUGGAAUUGGAGUUGCAUGUUGCCGAUGUCGUCGAUGAUCACAAGAUCAAGAUGGAGAAAAUGCUCUUGAAGAUUAGAAAGAUUAGAAAAUAUGCCAUCGAUAGUGAGGCUUGGUAUCAUUAUGCUGUUGGAUCAAUUGUUACCUUAGUUGCGAUCUUGAUCGCAUUUGUUGUUGCAUUUAAAUGCUUUACCUAGAGAGUUAUUUGUUUGUUGCAUUUAAGUGUUGUAUGAACUUUAUGUAUGAACUUGUAUUAAUUUGGUCUAUUCGGUGUUGUGUAAUGAAGAUGAGCCGGCAAUGGAUGUACGAUGACCGAUGCUCUCCCCAGUUCGUUGAGGGCGUGCAUACUUUUCUGCUUGCGGCUGAGGCAAACAAGCGGGCGGAUGGUUUUAUGCCUUGUCCAUGUGGUGGCUGUAAGAAUGGUCGCAAUUACUCUACGUCAAGAACCAUUCACGUCCACCUGUUUAAGUCCGGUUUCAUGCCCCACUAUAAUGUUUGGACCAAGCACGGAGAAAGAGGGGUUAUGAUGGAAGACAAUGAAGAAGAAGAGGACGACAACAGCUAUCCUGGCCAUGGGUUCCCUGAAUACGAUGAUACAACAAUGGGGGAAGAAGCUGAGCCGAUAAUGCGGAAAGAAGCUGAGCCGGCAAUGCGGGAAGAAGCUGAAGAAGAGGCAUCAGAUGAGCCCGUUGAUGAUCUAGGUCGGGCCAUUGCCGAUGCAAAGAGAAGUUGCGCAAGUGAUUUGGAGAAGAAGAAGUUGCAGCACAUGUUAGAGGAUCACAAAAAAUUGUUGUACCCGAAUUGCGUAGGUGACAAGAAAAAGCUGGGCACCACACUGGAAUUGCUGCAAUGGAAGGCAGAGAAUGGUGUAUCUGACAAGGGUUUUGGAAAGUUGCUGGUAAUGAUAAAGGAUAUGCUUCGAAAGGACAACAAAUUGCUCGAGAGUACGUACGAAGCAAAGAAGGCUGUCUGCCCUCUAGGGUUAGAGGUGCAGAAGAUACAUGCAUGCCCUAAUGAUUGCAUCCUCUACCACGGUGAGUACGAGGAUUUGAACGCUUGCCCCGUAUGUGGUGCAUUGCGCUAUAAGAUCAGCCGCGAUGAGCAUGGUGAUGUCGAGGGCGAGCGCCCCAGGAAGAAGAUUCCUGCCAAGGUGAUGUGGUAUUCUCCUAUAAUACCACGGUUGAAACGUUUGUUCCAAAAAAAAGAGCAUGCCAACGCGAUGCGAUGGCACAGAGAAGACCGUAAGAAAGACGGAAAGUUGAGAGUACCCGCUGACGGGUCGCAGUGGAGAAAACUCGAAAGAAAGUACGGGAAGGAGUUUGCAGAUGACGCAAGGAGCGUAUGGUUUAGUCUAAGCGCAGAUGGCAUUAAUCCUUUUGGGGAGCAGAGCAGCAACCAUAGCACCUGGCCUGUGACUCUAUAUUUGUAUAACCUUCGUCCUUGGUUGUGCAUGAAGCGGAAGUUCAUUAUGAUGCUAGUGCUCAUCCAAGGCCCUAAGCAACCCGGCAACGACAUUGAUGUGUACCUAAGGCCAUUAGUUGAAGAACUCUUACAACUGUGAAAUGAAACAGGUGUACGUGCGUGGGAUGAGCACAUGGGGGAAUAAUUUGACCUAAAGGCGUUGUUGUUCAUGACCAUCAAUGAUUGGCCUGCUCUCAGUAACCUUUCAGGACAGACAAACAAGGGAUACCGCGGAUGCACGCACUGUUUGGAUGAUACCGACAGUAUAUAUUUGAAUAGUUGUAAGAGGAAUGUGUACCUGGGACAUCGUCGAUUUCUUCCGAGCAGGCAUCCCGUAAGAAAGAAAGGCAAGCAUUUCAAAGGUGAGGCAGAUCACCGGACGAAGCCUCACCACCAUACUGGUGCUGAUGUACAUGAUAUGGUCAAGGAUUUGAAGGUGAUAUUUGGAAAGGGUCCUGGCGGACAACCUGUUCCGAAGGACGCUGACGGACGCGCACCCAUGUGGAAGAAGAAAUCUAUAUUUUGGGACCUGCCAUAUUGGAAAGACCUAGAGGUCCGCUCCGCAAUCGACAUGAUGCACGUGACGAAGAAUCUUUGCGUGACCCUGCUUGGCUUCUUGGGCGUGUAUGGGAAGACAAAAGAUACACCUGAGGCACGGGAGGACCAGCAACAUAUGCACGGAGAAGACGACAUACAUCAGGGUCAUGGAAGCUACGCUCUUACCAAAGAAGAGAAGGAAAUCUUCUUUGAAUGCCUGCUCAGUAUUAAGGUACCGUCUGGCUUCUCAUCGAAUAUAAAGGGAAUAAUAAACAUGGCAGAGAAAAAGUUCCAGAACCUAUAGUCUCAUGACUGCCACGUGAUUAUGAUGCAACUGCUUCCGGUUGCAUUGAGGGGGCUUCUACCGGAAAACGUUCGAUUAGCCAUUGUGAAGCUAUGUGCAUUUCUCAAUGCAAUCUCUCAGAAGGUAAUCGAUCCAGAAAUCAUACCAAGGUUACAGAAUGAUUUGGUGCAAUGUCUUGUCAGUUUUGAGUUGGUGUUCCCACCAUCCUUCUUCAACAUCAUGACGCACGUCCUAGUUCACCUAUGCGAACAGAUUAACGUUUUGGGUCCUGUAUUUCUACACAAUAUGUUCCCCUUUGAGAGGUUCAUGGGAGUCUUAAGGAAAUAUGUUCAUAACCAUGCUAGGCCAGAAGGAAGCUUCUCCAAGGGCCAACAAAAUGAGGAGGUCAUUGAGUUUUGUAUUGACUUUAUUCCUGACCUUAAGCCGAUUUGUGUUCCUGAAUCGCGACAUAAGGGCAGACUGGAUGGAAAAGGAACUCUAGGAGGGGAAUAAAUAAUAUGUAUGGACAGACAUUCUCUCACUGAAGCACACUACACAGUUCUACAGAAUUCCGCCUUGGUGGCUCCAUAUAUGGAUGAACACAAGAAUUUGCUAAGCUCCAAACACCCGGAGCGAUCUGAUGACUAGAUUACACGUGAACAAACCAGGAGUUUCGCCAGCUGGUUGCAGACACGUACCAUGCAUGACACCUCUAUUGAAGAUGACCUAUACUUGCUGUCCCAGUUACCAUCUUCGAAUAUAAUGACUUUCAAAGGGUACGAGAUAAAUGGUAAUACAUUUUACACGAUCGCCCAAGAUAAGAAGAGCACCAACCAAAACAGUGGUGUCCUCUUUGAUGCAGAAACCAAGACGGGAAAGGAAACAUAUUAUGGUUAUAUACAGGACAUAUGGGAACUUGACUAUCGACGUGGUUUAAAGGUCCCUUUGUUUCGGUGCAAAUGGGUCAAUAUGACACGAGGCGGGGUAACGGAAGAUCCGCAGUACGGAAUGACAACAGUGGAUCUCAACAAUCUUGCGUAUGCAGACGAACCAUUCGUCCUAGCCAAUGAUGUGGCACAGGUUUUCUAUGUGAAGGACAUGUCUACCAAGCCAAGAAAAAGAAAAGAUAAGGAAGCGAAUGCAUCGUACGAUGAGCCAAAGCGGCACAUAGUUCUUUCUGGGAAGAGAAACAUCGUGGGACUGGAUGACAAGACAGACAAGUCAGAAGAUUAUGAAAAGUUUGAUGAAAUUGCUCCAUUCACAGUGAAUAUUGACCUGAGCAUCCCGUUAAAUGAUGAAGAUUUUCCAUGAUUACGGCGCAAAGGGACACACGCGAAGAAAAAGUUUCACACCCAAAGUUCUGGGAUGUGAUCGGCUUCACUAUCAUCACUUUCUUCUGUGUUUCACACCCAGAGGGGAAUCGCUGUAAUAGUUAGGGUAGUUAUGUGUUUUGGCAUUUGAAACGCGAAGAAAUUUUAUGUGCAAAUAAAUUCUUUCAUGCCUUUACUGAUUUUUAAAGUUAAGUUAUUCACAAACUAGUGAUUCACACUAAUUUCAAAUAAUUCAAAAUUUAAACUAUUCAAAUUUGAAAAGUACGGGCACUAACAGAAAGUUUGUAAUUUUUUGUACCUAAAGCAAAAAUAUUCACAAAGAAACUCUAAAUACACAAAAAAAAAACAACACAAAAAUAAAUAAAGCAAAAAAAAUUAAAAAAAAGCCUGCCUACUAGGCCAGAGCGGCCUACAUACGACUGGAACCCCAACCUGUUGUUGGGCCAGGAUGCAGGCCCGCAAAGGCCAAGUGGGCCCACAUGGCAGCAAAGAACACGUAGGCCCAGUAGGCCUGCUUUGGAGAGGAGCUCGAGAGAGCGACCGCAAGGGGGUUUAUAAACCAGUGCGGUCGCCCCUCGGCUAGCGAGGUGGGACUAAACUUGCCGCACCGCACCUGCGCCAGCGCACCCCCUUCAGUACCGGGUCAUGGCGAAGGGUCAAAUGUGAAGCACAAUAGUGCCGGUUGGAAUUUCAGCCGGCAGUAAUGUGUACACUAGUGCCGGUUCGUGGCGGCGAUGAAUAGCAACGCUUCGUGGCGAACCUUUAGUACCAGUUCAUGCCACGAACCGGUACUAAAGAGGCUGUGUCAGCCUCCGGUCAGGCUAUGGCCCCACCAUCACCAUUUAGUGUCGGUUCGUACCACAAACCAGUAGUAAUGAGGUUGUGUCAGGUAAGGCUGGGGCCCCACGAGCACCUUUAGUACCGGUUCAUGGAUGAACCAGACAUAAGCUGUUUUUUAGUCCCACCUCGCGAAGUGAGAGGGACUAGGAGCGGUUUAUAAGCCCUGAGUGCAGAGACGAUGAAGAAGAGGCUCAAUGCUCACGUUGCUUAGCUUCAAGCCUUCAGGAAUACGGUAGACUACACGGAGCUAUGCGCAGUGCAGUUUACACUAUUCCGAAAGGCUUGAAGCAAAUUAACGAGCAUUGCACCUCUUUUUUAUUUUAAUAACUUAUUACAACUCCGGACUUCUUCUGUUAUGGCAAAAACUAAUUGCACGUCGACAUUUCUUUUUUUAAGUUAUAACUCCAGACUUUGACCAUCAAGUUUUGCAGAAAAGGAAAAAUAGCAGAAAAGAAGAAAAACUAUAGCUGAAAAGAAAAAACUAUAUAAAAAAACUACUCAAAAAUAAAUAGAAGAAAAUAAAUAUAGCAGAAAAGAAAAAACUACUCAGAAAUAAAAAGAAGAAAAAAUAAAGCAGAAAAGAAAAAAAAUUAUAUUUGCUAUUUUUCAAUCAUUUACAAAAUGACCGUGAAAUUGAAAAUCACUACAAAAUGAACUCUGAAAUUGUUGAAUUUUGGCAAACUAGAUGAAAAACUACUCACAAAUAAAUAGAAGAAAAUAAAUAUAACAGAAAAGAAAAAACUAUACAAAAAACUACACAAAAAUAAAUAGAAGAAAAUAAAGCAGAAAAGAAAAAAACUAUAAAAAAAAUUGGGGCGCUGCCCUGUGGGCCUGAUAGGCCACAGGUGUGUAAUUACAGGCCUUAAAGGCCGAGCAGACUCACAGGGCAACGCGCAGAGUUUAGGCCCACAAGCCUGCUAUAUAGAGGAGUUCGAAGUGGUAGGCGCGGCUGGGUUUAUAAACCAGUGUGGCUGCCCUUCGCCCGGCGAGGUGGAACUAAACUUUGGGGUGGCAGCGCGAGGCCUUUAGUACCGGUUGGUGGCUCCAACCGGUACUAAAGACCACCCUUUAGUACCGGUUGGUGGCUCCAACCGGUACUAAAGGCCUCGUCUUCCCGCCUCUUCGCCUGGCCAAAGUUGGCCUUUAGUACAGGUUGGUGGCUCCAACCGGUACUAAAGGCCUCUCCUAUAUAUACAACACUUGCGAAAAUUUCAUUCUCCCUCUGUUUCUUCCUCUGUUUCCCCAUUGAAGCACCGCCCGCGCGCCCCGAUCGAUCGACGCCGUCGCCGUCGCCGCCCCCGUCCCCGUCGUUGCCCCCGUCCCCGUCGCCGCCCCCNNNNNNNNNNNNNNNNNNNNNNNNNNNNNNNNNNNNNNNNNNNNNNNNNNNNNNNNNNNNNNNNNNNNNNNNNNNNNNNNNNNNNNNNNNNNNNNNNNNNNNNNNNNNNNNNNNNNNNNNNNNNNNNNNNNNNNNNNNNNNNNNNNNNNNNNNNNNNNNNNNNNNNNNNNNNNNNNNNNNNNNNNNNNNNNNNNNNNNNNNNNNNNNNNNNNNNNNNNNNNNNNNNNNNNNNNNNNNNNNNNNNNNNNNNNNNNNNNNNNNNNNNNNNNNNNNNNNNNNNNNNNNNNNNNNNNNNNNNNNNNNNNNNNNNNNNNNNNNNNNNNNNNNNNNNNNNNNNNNNNNNNNNNNNNNNNNNNNNNNNNNNNNNNNNNNNNNNNNNNNNNNNNNNNNNNNNNNNNNNNNNNNNNNNNNNNNNNNNNNNNNNNNNNNNNNNNNNNNNNNNNNNNNNNNNNNNNNNNNNNNNNNNNNNNNNNNNNNNNNNNNNNNNNNNNNNNNNNNNNNNNNNNNNNNNNNNNNNNNNNNNNNNNNNNNNNNNNNNNNNNNNNNNNNNNNNNNNNNNNNNNNNNNNNNNNNNNNNNNNNNNNNNNNNNNNNNNNNNNNNNNNNNNNNNNNNNNNNNNNNNNNNNNNNNNNNNNNNNNNNNNNNNNNNNNAUUAGUUUAGAUUAUUUAGAUUAUUAUUUUUUCACUAUUAUAUAUGUAUGAAUGCAUGUUAGAUGGAUAUAAUUAGUGUUUAAUUAGUAUGGAAUUUUUUUAUAUAAUGUUGUUUUUCAGUUUUUUAAUGGAUGUAUAGAAGUUGUGUUUUCUAUUUUUAGUGUUAGAUGCUUAAUUAGUAUGAAAUAGUAUAUAGAUUUUUGACAUAUGCAAUGAUAGCAUAAUUAGUGUUAUAUAGAAAUGUUAGAAAUUUUAGUUAUCAAAAUCCAAUCAUUAAAAAAAUGUUACUUUUUGCGGGCAUAUAGCUAGUAUUUGUUCUCAACGAUGCCCGGCCCGCAUCCUCGCCGUCGACCCGUCCGCGACGACGUCCGGCUGACCCAUGUCUGGGACUGGGCUCCGCCGGGCUGGCACUGGGAGGUGCUGCCUGGAGGGGCGCGCCGCUUGAUGAGGAACCCGGCCCCGGGUCCCGUCGUCGACCCUGAUCUCGUUUGGUGGCGUUCACGUGGGCCAGAUUCGGUGCGGAGGGCCCCGGCCCCGCCGGAGGUGGUACGUCACCGUGUCAGGGAGGAGGACGAGCACGUCCAUCGCUACAUGGUUGCAUUAGAAGGCGGCAGGUUCUCCAAUACCUGGUAGUUUCUUCAGGGAUCUCACUUUAGCUAUGAUCCUGUGAGGGUUCCUUCUCUUUGGGUGUCCACCGCCCGCGCCGCAGGAACCGCGAGUGUCCUAGAUUCUUCUGUAGUAUUUGAUCUUUAAUUAGCUACCUAGCCAGUGAUGUACUAUUCAAUAUUAUAUAUUAUUCGAGACGAUGUAUUCGAGAUUAUAUCUAUUAUUCUAGACGAUGUAUUCGAGAUUAUAUCUAUUAUUCGAGACGAUGUAAUUUGAAUACUAAAUUGUUUUAUAUUUCUUUUGGAUUAGUUAAAUAAAAGCUAUGGCAGACAAUACCGACAGAGAGGGAGAACAGACCAUGUUCGAUAUGAUACGCGGGCCAGAUGAUGAUCAGAAUGAAGAAGAAGAUUAUGACGGCUCCGAAUCUCUAAACAACACCGAAGAGGGUGAUAUGAUAUUCGAUCGCGAUGACCGAAUUGAUGAAGUCCUGAACUACGAUUAUGACGAUGACAAAGAACAUGUUGAUCCUGAAACAACAAAGACCGGCGAGGUAUAUUUAUAUAAGCAGGCAUCUGGUGAUCAUCACAUGUUUUAAAUGACUUGAAGAUAUAUUAACGAAUUGAUCUUUGUUCUUUCAGCCAUCCGGAUCGAGCAAAUCUUCAGGCAAAAGGACGAAACGAGGCCCGAACAAAAAGUUGAAGGAGGGCAUAAAGUACAAUAUCGAGGUAGCCAGACCUAAUGGCGAACCAUUAGCACCUAAGAAGAUUGCGGACAAGUUCGUUCGUCAGUGCGGAGUUCUUGUGAAGGACAAACUCCCGAUCAAACUUCAAGAAUGGAGAGAGCCAGCAAAGCCACGUCCAAAUGUUACUUUCGUCGAUAAGAAUCAAAAAGAUCUGCUUUGGGAUACUCUCAUGGAACAUUUCACCCUACCAGAUCAUUUCACAAAAGCAGAUGUGCAUAAAGUCAAGGACGCUGCUCUUAGGAAGAUGGCGGUUGCAUUCAAGAACCACAAGAAUCGUGAAUGGGACAAGUACGUCAAGGGAGGAAGGAAGACUCCAGUAUUCGAGGGAACACUAGAGAACCAACGUGCUCAUUGGGACGAUUUCGCGAAAUUCAAGGAUUCGGAAUUAGCUAAGGAACGGUCGAGAAUAAACAAGAAGAAUGCCGAAAAAAAUGAUAAGUUCCAUAAGCUGGGGCCAGGUGGCUAUGCGGUGGCAAUGCCUAAGUGGGAUAAGUCUGAGAAAGAGAUGGAGGAUGCAGGUGUCACUCUGGUUACUAAGAGCUGGCCCCCCAGGUGCAGGACUUGGUUCUAUGCGCAUGGGGGGAGUUGGACCCGAAGACAGGCAAUGUUUCGACGAAGGCAAGUCUGAAGGGAGCCGACGAUGCGAUACUUGUUGCAAUAGAAGAGGCACGAUCGGGGGUGUUCCAGCCCAACAGAGAGAACGACGAGCUUACACGUGCCCUGGGAAAUCCUGAUCACCCGGGAAGAACACGAGUCAAGGGCGCUAUUCCGUGCUAUGAGGGGUUUUCAGACUGGAACACCGACUACAGAACCCGUGCGAGAAAGAAGAUUGCGGAGGAGAAGAAGAGGAAGAUGGAGGAGGAGCAGAGGAAGCGGGACUAUGAACGCCUUCAAGGCCUAGAAGCAAGUCAAGCGGAAUUGGCAGUCAAAUUCCAGCGGCAGCAUGAGCAGAUCGACUCACUUACCCAGCAAAGGGGGUCUCAGCAGCUGCAGCAGCUAGCGGAUGAUCCAACAUUGGAUAGCACCGCCCCAUCCAUGCCGAGAAGCAGCAUGGGUUCCGCCCCGGAUAACGCAAUGCUGGGUAGAUACCCCGUGGAUGACAUCACGGAGAACACUAACUGCGAGCUACACGUCAAAAUAACGAACAUAUCCAUGAAGGUGGCGGACGCCGUUGCUUUUACAAAUCCCCCCGAGGCAACCUUCCAUGGCAACCCGAUUCCAGCGGGCUAUGCUCGUGUCUUGGUUGAUGAGGUGGUGGACCCACCAUAUUCGGAGCUACAGCUUGACAUUCCUGGAGGUGACGACGAGCGCUUUCUCGGAGAGUCCAAACAUCGUAUCAUCCUAUGGAAAAAGGAUUGCAUCAUAUUUCGAAGGCCACCGACACCACGUCAGCCGACUCCUCGUCGAAGUCCGUCACCGAGUCAGCAGACUCCCGCUCCUGCAAGUCCACCAAGUCCGGCAAAGUGUCAGGCCACUCCUCCUCCUCCAAGUCCACCACAGCGUCAGACGUCCACUCCUCCUCCUCCAAGUCCGGCACAACCUCAUGCCACUCCUCCAAGUCCGGCACAGCUUCAGGCCACUCCUCCUCGUCCAACUCAGCACCGUCAGCCGUCUCCGCCGCCUCAGCAAUCGCAAAAGAGACACCCCGCAGCUAUGGUGCGUAGCGGUACGAGUCGAGGUAGUACAGGAAGUACAGGCGGAGGCAAGCGAUAUAAAUAUGGUCCAAGCCUCACGCCUCUUCCGCAGAGGCCUUAUGACAAGUCCGAGGAGGAAAACGCAGUCAUAUCGAAGGCCGAGGUGGAAGCCCAUUUUGCACCGAAACCGCCACCGCCGCCAAGGGAGAAAGUGCCUGAGGAAACGAUUGACCACUUCAUUCGUAUGGCUCAACCACCAGCUCCCAAGCCUGUUGACACAGACUGUGAGCGCCACAUCAGGAAAUUAAAUCGAGCACGUCUACGUAAGGAGGCGAGCUCGGGAUCGAGCAAACAACAAGCAGCUGUCAAAAAAUGCGGGAAAACCAUUCCCCGGCUGGGAGAACAGGCGGCGCAAUCGAUCCCCUCGCUUGUUGUGCCAACAACACGUGACAAUACGCGCGCCCAAUAUUAUUGUGGGCAAACAGUUUACGUUCCCAAGGUGGGCAAUGUGGUAAUAACCAAGGACCAUAUAAUGCAGGCUGAAGUUCUCAACAUCACUGUUGGACAACUCCUCGAGAUCGAGCCCAUGCCUGUGCUUAGAGAGGAUGAAAUAAAACGGAAAUAUGUCCGGGGCCAACCUUUAGUCGAGCCAGACAAGGUCAAGAACCUCCCAACGAGAAUGUAUGAUUUGCAUCAAUGGUACAUGAACAUUACCAAGAUUUCAGAUCGAUUGUCCCUCAUGGUGAAUGUCAAGGAGGAUCAUUACUUCCAUGAGAAAGCUCUGUCCGUUGAGUAUUCUGAACUGUUUCAGUUAUACAAUCAAGACGCACUCGACAAAUCUAUCGUCAGUUGCUAUUGUCUAUAAGUGAUUUCUUUCUGUAAUUUAAGUCUCAAGCUAGCUGCAGUGAUCCUUUUGAUCAAUCAUUACCUGUAAUUAUCGUCACUAUAUUCUUUUCUGUGGUAUUAUGCAGGAUGAAGAUGUAUGAAAUGAGAAAAGGUGGACGCUUUGGCAUUGGGUUCGUUGACCCAAACACUGUUAAUGAAUACACAUGGCGGAUAAAUCCACAUCAUCAAAAGGACGUAGAGGACAACAUGCUAGAGUUCUUGAAGCGCCUCAAAUACAAUGAAGAUAUACUACUUCCUUACAACUUCUAGUGAGUCAAACUGUCUUGUACUACAAAUUCUCUGUUUUUGCCUACUAGCUAGCUACAUGUUUUUGCUUACAUAUGCCCGCUUAAUUAAGACAUGCAAACGUGUGUGCAUGCAGAUUUCACUGGGUCUUGUGUAUCAUUAAAGUUGACGACGGAACAGUUGAAAUACUGGACUCCCUACUCAAAGUGAAAACUGACUAUAACAUCUUGUUUGGGAGAGUCAACAGGUAAUUUCAAUCAUUAUUAACUAUAUAUCUCGGCCUAUUUAGUUCUUCAUUUCAUGAUAUGAACUAUUUAAUAACCCCUUUAUUCAUUUUCUUUGUCGGCGGGCAGGGCUUGGGCAAGGUUCAUCAGCGUCACGGAAGGCGAAUGGAAAAAAAGUUUCAAUAGUUUCGACCCAAGGUAAGUAAUUAAGUAGUACUAGCUAGCUAGCUAGCUGCCAUCUCUUUAAUUAUCAUGCUUGAUUAAUUAUUAUCUGAUCAAAUUCCAUUCUCGUAAAGGCCCUGAAGCAGGCGCAGGGGACUGAUCUGUGUGCAUUCUGAAUUUGCGACAACAUUCGCAUGAUGGCGUCCGAAAGGAGCAGAUCUCAAAGACAAGAAUGGGUACGCUUGUCAGAACAGUAUUCACAAUUUUUACACCAUUAUUGAUAUCUAGUCACACAAGUAAUACACAUGCAUAUGGAUCUCCUUCUUAACAGUUCAGAGAGGUGCGGGAGAAGCUCCUAGAAACGGAGCGCGUAGAAGCACUUCAAGAGGAAAUAGUGGGAUUUUUGCUCGACUAGGUCAUAAAUCCGAAGGGAGAAUACUAUUACCCGCUACCGCCCCCAUGAAAACCACUUCCAAUUGUCAUCGUGCUCCGAAGGCACCAAUUAGGCUAAUGCCACUGGCUCCGAAGGCAACAUGCAUAUGUAGGAGAAAUUGUAUAUAGCUAUACAUGUGUGUAUGUGUGAAUUAAUUAAUAUGAUGGUUUGUGAGACAUUGAUGAUAUAUAUAUGCAUNNNNNNNNNNNNNNNNNNNNNNNNNNNNNNNNNNNNNNNNNNNNNNNNNNNNNNNNNNNNNNNNNNNNNNNNNNNNNNNNNNNNNNNNNNNNNNNNNNNNNNNNNNNNNNNNNNNNNNNNNNNNNNNNNNNNNNNNNNNNNNNNNNNNNNNNNNNNNNNNNNNNNNNNNNNNNNNNNNNNNNNNNNNNNNNNNNNNNNNNNNNNNNNNNNNNNNNNNNNNNNNNNNNNNNNNNNNNNNNNNNNNNNNNNNNNNNNNNNNNNNNNNNNNNNNNNNNNNNNNNNNNUACCAGCAAACGAAAAAGAAUUAAAAUAGAAACACAAAAUUAAAUGAAAAAGAAAUCAUAAAACUAAAAAAACCCCAAAGCUUAUAGUACCGGUUGGUCUUACCAACCGGUACUAAAGGGCUCCAGGCCCCCGGAGCUGGCUCGUGCCACGUGAUUGCCCUUUAGCACCGGUUCGUGCUGAACCGGUACUAAAGGAGGGGGGGGCUUUAGUGCCCACACUUUAGUGCCGGUUACGGAAUCGGCACUAAAGGGCCUUACGAACCGGUGCUAUUGCCCGGUUCUGCAUUAGUGAUUGUCUUAGAUGGGCGAGGGAGAUAGUGUAAGAUUAUCAUGUUUUCAAGCUUCAAUAUGAGAGAUGACGAGUCAAGUGGAGAAAGAGAAAGCAAGUAUACGAACUAUAAGAGUAUAUAUUUAAUAUUAUUAAGUAAUCCGUAUUAAAUUAUAGACGGUCUCCACGAUAAUUGAUGCAAAGUUUAUAUUUAAGAACCGAUGUACAUUUAAUUAUUUGAACGACAUGGAUCAUUAGUCAUACAGAAAAAGAGGCUUAUAUUUUCUGUAGGCAAUAACCAUUGAGCGGUUACAAUUUUAAAAUUUUAACAUUUUAAAAUAUAUUUAUGAAUGAAUCUAAAUUCCAUGACACAUGCUAAAAGAUGCUUUAAACUAUUUAUUUCCAACAAAAUAAAAUUUCACAUUUAAAUACCAAAUAAAAUAAUAAUACAAUCUAGCCGUGCAAAUGCGCAGGUGACCCUGCUAGUUUAGAUUUGAUUUUCAAAAAUUGAUCGUGAUUGAUUCUUUCACAUAAAGAUAUUACUAACUUGGGCCAACAUGGAAAGUUCUUCCGCUCUCUUUUGUUGUGUGAGAGGCUCACACGAAACUAAACCGGUGGGGUGAGGGAGGGGCAAAAAAACUAGCAAAAUAAAAUGGUUGAAAAUGGUGGGACGAAAAUAAAUCGUGGAUACUAUUCUACCAACUCGGACAUUAGAAAUAGAGAUAUUGAUGUCACUGGCAUGUUGUCAGUCAAGCUAGCGUAUCACAUUACAUCACCAAACGUACAUGCCUUGAUUGUACGUAAUAUAUUGUUGUCUGAUCCACGCUAAGAGCAUCUCUAGCAGACCCCAUAUAUCGCCGACCCACAAAACUCAUUUAAAGUUUGCUGAAAAACAGUUUCGCGGGCCGGCGCGGGUCGCGGUCGAGCAGACCCCGCAUAGCGGAACUGUAAAACGGGAUAUUCACGAAUAUUCCGUCUUACAGUUCCGCUAUGCGGGGUUUGCUCGGCGCAGCCCGCGCUAACCCGCAAAUCACAUGUGUUUUUAUCCGAAUUUGACACAGAUGCCACAUAUUCAGAAUUAUUAAUUCAAUAUAAGAUAAAAUUUCAAUAUUACCAUACAACAAUCAUCCAAAUUACAAUAAUUAUUGAAAUCACCUAAGCAAACUAAAUAAUUCAAUAGAAAACUUGCCUCGAAUACAAAUCAGACAUGAAUUAAAUGAAAUGAAUGCAAAAAUGGAAUGUCUUACCGCCAUCCCUUUGUCAAUCACUAGUAGAAAAACACCUAAUAGUCCCGGUUCGUAAGGGUCUUUAGUCCCGGUUCAUGAACCGGGACUAAUGGGUCGUUACUAAUACCUCCACCCAUUAGUCCCGGUUCAAACACGAACCGGGACCAAUGUGCCUCCACGUGGCCCUGUGCGCCGAGCCCAGUCAGGGGGCCUUUGGUCCCGGUUGGUUGUACCAACCGGGACCAAAAUGCAUCCACGCGUCAGCAUUCCAGUGGCUGGGGUUUUUGUUUUUUUUAAAGGAGGGGGGUUGGGGAUUUUGGGGGGUUAAUUUAGGUGUUUCAUAUAUGGUGUUAGCUAGCUAAUUAAUAGAGAGAAGUGUCCUCUCUUACGUCCGUGCUUGAUCGACGCUACGUACUAUAUAUACAUAAGUGAUGAGAGAACCAUUGAGUACAGAAGUUUGUCAUGCAUACCGAGAGAAGUGAUUGAUCGACCUCUCCUUCUCCGAGAGAUUGGUCGAACAACAAGUUUUCGUAUCAUGUAUCCAACGCUACUGGCUACAUACAUGUACAAUAUGUAUAAGAUCUCUUAAUUACAAUCCCCUAGCAAUUGAAUUCAAUUUCCACAUGGUAUUCUCCGACUUUAUUGAUGACGUGGUCAAGAAAGAAUCCCGCCAAUUCCUCUUGAAUUGCUUUCAUGCGAUCUGGUUCUAGGAGUUCAUUCUGCAUCUGCCACAUCUAAUUUGAAGAAGGGGGUUAAUUAAUACAUAUAUAUGAAUGAAACUCAACAGAAAUGAUGGUGUAAUAAAAUGAAAUUGUGAAUAUUAUUGCUUACGCACUUCAUAUUGUCUUUUAGAGUAGCCCCGCUUGUUUUUCAAAGUCGCGUUGUGGAUGAACUCGCACACGUAGUAUCCACAUAAAUCAUUCCCUUCUUCCUGCCACAAGCACUUUACGAGAAAUAGAGGUCAAUCAAACUGAUAAUGAAGCAUUAUAAAUGGCAUUGAUGAAAGUAUAGCUAUAGAAUCAACGGGAGAUGCGUGCAACUAGCUAGCCAGUAGUACUUACUUUCGGGUAUGUAUAUCGCAGCUCCUUCGGCAGUCCCGGAGCUUCUGCGGUGAACUGUUUCCAAACCCUGCAAGACAAAGCAAAUAAUUAUUAUUACUUGAUAUAUCAGGAAAUGAACAAAAAGUUGCCGAUAUGGUGCGAUAACGAUCGAUUGAACUUACUUGUUGAGAAAUUCAGUCAUGUCCGCAUAGGUUUUGGGAUCUUUCCGUCUCGAGUCUAAGACGGUUACUAGUCCCCGCUCAAUAUUAAUCUCCAGAAGAACAUAGUGGUACCUGCGCACGCAUGCAUUACUCAUCAAUUACAUUACUAUAACCACGCUGAAGUAAUAAGGGAAACCGAAUAUGCACACGACAGUAACACUCACUUGCCGUUGUAAGGAAAGAGUAUGGUAUCUUUGUUUUGUUUUUUGAUCAACGAUCGUAGCAAGUUUUCCUCAGCCUCUUUGACGUCCUUUUUAACCAGAAAUUCAUCUAUGAUAUUUGUGUUAAUGAACCCAAUAUCAUAAAUUUCUUGUUUUUUGCACUCGACGAUCUUCAAUCUGCAUAAUAUAUUGAGGAUAAUUAAUUAUAAAUACAUGAAAUGAAAGAGCCGAGCUAUAUAUAGAGACUUAAUGACAGAAAUAGUACUUACAGACAGUAGCAAAAGACCAUUAGUUUAUCGAGGGCCUUUUGAUUGAAGAACGCGAAGAACUCAUCAAAUGGAACAGUCAACAGAUCAGUUGCAACGAGGUCUUGCUCCUCUUUAAUAUUCAGAUACAAAGCAUUCGUACCCCAGACUCUCUGCAGGUUUCCAUGUUCCAAUUAUGGAAUCUUCGCAUCGUUGUUGUCAGAGAUUUUUCAUCUUUGACGAGAGGCUUCCCGUACUCGUAUCUGUGUUCGUCCACCUCCAAGAAAUCAGGAAGUUGAUCGUCAGGAAGGUAAUCUGCAAGAUUGCCAUAACCGGCCACCGUCCCCGGAGCAUUAGACACAUUGAGCGGGGGGCACGAUUGCUGUGCUUGUUCACCGAGCUGGGCAAUUUUUUCCCCUUUGCUCGUUUUUUUAUCCUUUUAGCACUGACAGUAGUUCCCGACCGCUAGGCUUGGAGAUAUGUCUGUUCAGUAAUGCGCUCAUAGUUGGUUCUCGACGGAGACUUUGGUGGUUUCCUCAGGGCAUCGAUAGUGCGCUUUGCUUUCACCGGAUCUACCUUCUCCUCCGGAGGUGGAUGUCUCUUUGCUUUCACCCCUUCAAAGAACUCCUUCACGUGAGUCCGCACAAUCGUAUCGUUUUUCUCCUCGGUCCUCUCGUACGGUAACUUCUCUAGAGGCUUGAGAGGUGGACCGUAUAUGUAUUGCCUCCCUCCUCUGGUUGUGCUGCCAGACGCCGGAGCAGACGGAGCGGCUGCGGCGUCUGUCUUCUUUCGUGCUUGCUUACGAGGCGGAGGAGAAGGAGUACGACGCGCCGGAGCAGCCGGGGCGGCGGUGGGUCUCUUCCGCCCUUGCUGGCGAGGCGGAGAAGAAGGAGGCUGCUAGCUGCUCCGGAGCGCCGGCGUAGGCGGAGAAGGAGGCAGAGUGCCGCCACGCGCCGGAGAAGGAGGCGGAGUGCCGCCACGCGUGCCCUGAUCGUCACUCGCCGGAGGAGGAGGCGGUGGAGGAGGCGAAGUGCCCUGACUCGCCGGAGGAGGAGGAGGAGGUGGAGGCGUCCAGUUCGGAAGGUUGAUGAGCUCCUUCCGCCAUAGGCAUGGAGUCUUCAGAGCAGAACCCAGCCUAGUCUCCCCUUCACCGGUAGGGUGGUCAAGCAGGAGGUCCUCAAAUCCCUCCAUUAUUUCACCCACCAUCACCUUAGCAUAUCCUUCUGGAAUCGGCCGGCAGUGAUAAGUUGCUCCGGAUCCAGUAGGAUAAACAGAGCCAACAGCCUCCUUGACCUUCAAAUUCAUCCAUCACGCCAUAAUGUGGCAAUGUUGAGACUUCGUGAUAGCAUCCACGGGAUAGCUGGCAGGAGCCGUCAAGACAUGCUCCGGCUGAAGCAGCUUGGUGGAAGCCACGCCGCUUCUCCGCUGAGAUGGCGGGGUAGCUUCGGGGGAAGCUUUGGCAGGUCGUUUGCUGCGAUCUGCUGCUUCUCGUUCCUCUUCUCGUUCCUCUAGCCCCAUUACCCUUUCGUGCAGCGCCUGCAGUUGGCCCUGCUCCAGUUUCUUCCUCCUCUCGUGGGUUUUGUAACCCCCUGCGUCCGGAAAACCAACCUUCCACGGAAUGGAGCCUGGCGUGCCUCGUGUCCGUCCAGGGUGCUAAGGAUUCCCGAGGGCCAUUGUGAGCUCGUCCAUCUCCCUGUCUGGUACGAACGUCCCUUUCUGCGCUGCAUUGAUAUAGUGUCGAAGGUUCUUGACUGGUAUUUCCAGUUGCUCGUCCGUCCAACGGCACAUCCCUGAUACGGGGUCCAAGGUUCCGCCAGCCCCGAAGAACCAAGUCUGGCCAUCUCAUUGUCUCUGGUUCGAUCCCUUUUUCAAGCAGAUCAUUCUCCUCCUUGGACCACUUAGGCCGGGCUUUGAGGUAGCCACCUGACCCCGUGCGAUGGUGAAGCUUCUUCUUCGCAGCAUUUUGCUUGUUCGUCGCCGACAUCUUCUUACUCUUUUCCGAUGUCUUGUGGGCCACAAAUGCGGGCCAGUGAUCUUUGAUCUUCUCAUAUUUGCCGAUGAAUUCUGGUGUCUUUUUUUUCGACAAAAAUGUUUCAACUCUUUCCUCCACCUUCUUAAGAGCACGAGACUUGAUUAAUUGCUCUUUAACUGGCUUCUCCGGAUCCUCCUCUGGCGGUAGGGUGAAAUUUGCCUUCAGCUGAGUCCAAAGAUCUUCUUUCUGCAUAUCAUUGACAUAAGACACCUCAGGGUCGUCCUUAGGAUUAUACCAUUGUUGGAUGCUGAUCGGGAUCUUGUCCCCAACAAGAACCCCGCACUGAGCAGAAAAUGCGUUCUUUUUCCGGAUGGGUUCAAUCGGUUCGCCGUCGGGUGCGAUUUCUAUGAUCUCAAACCUUUCAUCCGAGCUCAACUUUUUCUUCGGGCUUGGUCUCCUUACCGAAGUUGUGCUCGAUCCGGAGGGCUAGAAAUGAAAAGGAAGAAAGACGAGAAUAAUUAAUAUGUGUACAUAUACCAAAACAAUGAAUGCAUCAAUUAACUAGUCAGCACGGGCUUAACUUAUAUAUAUAUACCUGGCCGGACUCGGUUCGGUCACCGGAGCAGUCAGCACGGUCUCCUUCUUGUACCUACAUUGGGUCAUCAUCGGAGCCAUCACGAACAUAGCACUCUUCUUGUACCGGCAUUAAUGGGCCGGAUCCAUCAUGAACAUAGCCCUCUUCUUCACCCAGUCCUUCCUGACCAACGACGUCGUUGAAAAAUGACGCAAUGACAUCAGUUCCUUCUGCAAUCAUCUCCCCCAACAUUGCUUCUGUUGCUUCGUCUUGGUAGUGCUCCAUAGUUUCUGCAAAUAUUUACAACAUGUCAAUUAUUAUUCAAACAUGGUACAGAUGGAUACAUAUUAGUGGCAAACAUAGAACUAGCUAGCUAAUCACAAUAAGGAAUCAUGUUAGUGGCCUCGACGCUGCUUCUCUAGGGUUUGGGAUCGCCUUGACACAACGCUUCAAGGGUUUGGGGUGGCCUCGACGACAACGCUCUUUUAACUUGGUAAAUUUGGGUGGCCUCGAGAGUUUUGGUCGAGCGAGAGGGCCGAGGGGGGUGCUGCCGUUGUAUAGGUUAUCACGGUCGAGAGGGGGUAUAUAUAUCGACCGCCCCUCAUGUCGAAGUUAUCUCGAGGGAGCGGCGAGGGCGAAGGCGAGCAGCUUGACGGUGAUAGACCCGAUAAAACAUAAGAAAACGAAGAAGAAAUAAAAAGAGGAGAAGAAGAAAGGAAUAGAGGAGAAGAUCGAAGAAAAAAAAAGAAGAAAAAAAAAGAGGAGAAGAAGAAAGGAAUAGAGGAGAAGAAGAAAGGAAUAGAGGAGAACAAGAAAGAAUAGAAAAAUUCUAUUUUUUCUUCUUCUCCUCUAUUCCUUUCUUCUUCUCCUCUUCCUUUUCUUCUUUUUUGUUCUUCUUAUUUAUUUCUCCUCUAUUCCUUUCUUUCUGCUUCUCCUCUUGCUUCUUUUUCUUCUUCUCCCUCGAGAAAGGAAAACAAUUAAGGAAAAGGAAGAAAAGAGGAAGAAGGAAGAAGGAAGAAGAAGAAGAAAGGAAUAGAGGACAAGAAGAAAAAAUAGAUUUUUUUUCUAUUUUUUCUUCUUCUCCUCUAUUCCUUUCUUCUUCUCCUCUUCUUUUUCUUCUUUUUUCUUCUUCUUAUUUAUUUCUCCUCUUCUUUUCCUCUCCUCUUCUUCCCCUUUCUUCUCUUCUUAUUUUCCUUUUUCCUCUCAUUCUUUUUCUUCUUCUUCUUCCUUCUUCCUUCUUCCUCUUUUCUUCCUUUUCCUUAUUUUACUUUUUCCUCUACACUAACCUAAUUAAAAUGCACUAACCUAAAAUCGAUAUCUACUAACAACCUAAAUAAAAAAUUAAUACAUAUAUGAAAAAACNNNNNNNNNNNNNNNNNNNNNNNNNNNNNNNNNNNNNNNNNNNNNNNNNNNNNNNNNNNNNNNNNNNNNNNNNNNNNNNNNNNNNNNNNNNNNNNNNNNNNNNNNNNNNNNNNNNNNNNNNNNNNNNNNNNNNNNNNNNNNNNNNNNNNNNNNNNNNNNNNNNNNNNNNNNNNNNNNNNNNNNNNNNNNNNNNNNNNNNNNNNNNNNNNNNNNNNNNNNNNNNNNNNNNNNNNNNNNNNNNNNNNNNNNNNNNNNNNNNNNNNNNNNNNNNNNNNNNNNNNNNNNNNNNNNNNNNNNNNNNNNNNNNNNNNNNNNNNNNNNNNNNNNNNNNNNNNNNNNNNNNNNNNNNNNNNNNNNNNNNNNNNNNNNNNNNNNNNNNNNNNNNNNNNNNNNNNNNNNNNNNNNNNNNNNNNNNNNCAGGGGCAACGACGGGGGCGUGCGGACGGCGUCGGGGCGGCGCGUGGACGGUGCUGGGGCGGCGGGCGGCGUCGGGGCAGCGGACGACGUCGAUCUGGGCAGCCUGGCGGCGUCGAUGAGCUCGGCGUCGUCGGGCGGGCCGGGGGAAACUGGCGAUGUGUUCGUCAAAUUUUCCUAAGUGUUGUAUAUAUAGCAAGAGCAUUGGUUCCGGUUCGUGAGACCAAUCGGGACUAAUGCCCCCUUUAGUCCCAGUUGGUACCACCAACCGGGACCAAAGGCCUCAUUUCAGCAGCCCAAAGGGCGGGAAGAGGUGACCUUUGGUCCCGGUUGGUGGCACCAACCCGGACUAAAGGGUGGGCAUUGGUAUCGGUUGGUGCCACGAACCGGUACCAAAGGACCCUGUGCUGCCAGCGUCGGGGCCAAAAUUUAGUCCCACCUCGCUAGUUGAGAGGGGCGCACAAUGGUUUAUAAGCCCCACUGCCGCACCCCUCUCGAGCUCCUCUCCACCGUAGGCUUGCGGGCCUAUUUCCUACUGCUUUGCCUGAUGGGCCUUCUGGGCCUACUGCGGGCUUGAAUCCUGGCCCAUGGUAGGGUUUCUAGUCGUAUUCAGGCCGUGGGGGCCCAGUAGGAGGCAUUUUUUUGUUUUCUUUCUUUCUUUAUUUAUUUAUUUUGUUUCUACUUACAACAAAAUACUUAUUGUUGAUAUUUUAAUUAUUUUCCAGUUUUUUUGUUUUAUUUUCUACAUUAUUUAUUUUCUUUUGUUUUUUGCUUUAUUUUUUAAUUCUUUUUGAUUUUAGUUUUAGAAAAAUUAUAAACUUUCUGUUAGUGCCAUUAGUUUUCAAAUUUGAAAACACUUUUUUUGUUUUUUGUUUUUUUGUUUUCUUUCUUGCUUUAUUUAUUUUAUUUUGUUUCCACUUACAACAAAAUACUUAUUGUUGCUAUUUUUACUUAUUACGAGGGCCGAACCAUAAGACAUUAAAGCAUUUCAAAUGAACUAUGAAAAAGUUGAAAGUUGGCAUGGUAUCAUAAAUUCACCCACAUAGCAUGUGCAUGUACAAAAUGGACAAUGGUAUCAUAUUCGUGUGUUACAAAGUUGGCAUGGUAUCAUCAUAAUAGUUGCGGGAGAAAGUCUUCACUUUUUCUUCGCUUGUGUCAUUUCUUAUUGCGCCGUAACCAUGGAUAAUCUUCACCGCUUAUCAGGAUGCUGGGGUCAGCCUUGACUUUGAAGGGAGGAGUUUCAUGAAACUUUUCAUAAUCUUCAGAUAUGUCUGUCUUGCCUUCCACUCCCACGAUGUCCCUUUUUCCUGAAAGAACUGUGUGGCGCUUUGGCUCAUCGUAUGAUGUAUUCGCUUCCUUAUCUUUUCUUUUUCUCGGUCUGGUAGACAUGUCCUUCACAUAGAUAACCUGUGCCACAUCAUUGGCUAGGACGAACAGUUCAUUAGUGUACCCAAGAUUUUUCAGAUCCACUGUUGUCAUUCCGUACUGUGGGUCUACCUGUACCCCGCCUCGUGACAGAUUGACCCAUUUGCACUUAAACAAAGGGACCUUAAAAUCAUGUUCGUAGUCAAGUUCCCAUAUGUCCACUAUGUAACCAUAAUAUGUGUCCUUUCCCCUCUCGGUUGUUGCAUCAAAGCGGACACCGCUGUUUUGGUUGGUGCUCUUUUGAUCAUGGUCAAUCGUGUAAAAUGUAUUCCCAUUUAUCUCGUAUCCUUUCCAAAUCGUAACAGUCGAAGAUGGUCCCUUGGACAACAAGUACAACUCAUCACAAACAGUGUUGUCACCUCUGAGACGUGCUUCCAACCAACUGCUGAAAGUCCUGAUGUGUUCACAUGUAAUCCAGUCGUCACACUACUCCGGGUGUUUGGAGCGCAGACUGUUCUUGUGUUCAUCGACAUACGGGGUCACCAAGGUAGAGUUCUGUAGAACUAUGUAGCGUGCUUGAGACCAAGAAUAUCCGUCCCUGCAUAUUAUUGAGUCCCUUCCAAGUGUGCCUUUUCAGUCAGUCUCCCCUCAUACUGCGAUUGAGGGAGACCUAUCUUCUUAAGGCCAGGAAUGAAGUCAACACAAAACCCAAUGACAUCCUCUGUUUGAUGGCCCAUGGAGAUGCUUCCUUCUGGCCUAGCGCGGUUACGGACAUAUUUCUUUAGAACUCCCCUGAACCUCUCAAAGGGGUACAUAUUGUGUAGAAAUAAGGGGCCCAGAAUGACAAUCUCGUCAACUAGAUGAACUAGGACGUGCGUCAUGAUAUUGAAGAAGGAUGGUGGGAACACCAGCUCGAAACUGACAAGACAUUGCACCACAUCACUCCUUAGCCUUGGUAUGAUUUCUGGAUCGAUCACCUUUUGAGAGAUUGCAUUGAGGAAUGCACAUAGCUUCACAAUGGCUAAUCAGACGUUUUCCGAUAGAAGCCCCCUCAAUGCAACCGGAAGCAGUUGCGUCAUAAUCAUGUGGCAGUCAUGAGACUUUAGGUUCUUAAACUUUUUCUCUGACAUAUUUAUUAUUCCUUUUAUAUUCGACGAGAAGCUAGUCGGGACCUUCAUACUAAGCAGGCAUUCAAAUAAGAUUUCCUUCUCUUCUUUGGUAAGAGCAUAGCUGGCAGGACCUUCAUACUGCUUUGGAGGCAUGCCGUCUUUUUCGUGCAAACGUUGCAGGUCCUCCCGUGCCUCAGCUGUAUCUUUUGUCUUCCCAUACAUGCCCAAGAAGCCUAGCAGGUUCAUGCAAAGGUUCUUCGUCACGUGCAUCACGUCGAUCAAAGAGCGGACCUCUGGGUAUUUCCAGUAGGGUAGGUCCCAAAAUAUAGAUUUCUUCUUCCACAUGGGUGCGUGUCCCCCAGUGUCACUCGGAACAGCUAGUCCGCUGGGACCCUUUCCAAAGAUUACGUGUAAAUCAUUGACCAUAGCAAGUACCUGAUCACCGGUAUGCAUGGCGGGCUUCCUCCGGUGAUCUGCCUCGCCUUUGAAAUGCUUGCCUUUCUUUCGACAUUGAUGGUUGGUCGGAAGAAAUGGAUGAUGGCCCAGGUAAACAUUCUUCCUGCAGCUUCCCAGGUAUAUACUAUCGGUGUCAAGUAAAUAGUGCGUGCAUGCGUGGUAUCCCUUGUUUGUCUGUCCUGAAAGGUUACUGAGAGCGGGCCAAUCGUUGACGGUCACGAACAGGAACACCUUUAGGUGAAAUUCCUCCUGUUUGUGCUCAUUCCACGUACGUACACUGUUUCCAUUCCACAGCUGUAAAAGUUCUUCAACUAAUGGCCUUAGGUACACAUCAAUGUUGUUGCCGGUUUGCUUAGGGCCUUGGAUGAGAACUGGCAUCAUAAUGAACUUCCGCUUCAUGCACAUCCUUGGAGGAAGGUUAUACAUACAUAGAGUCACGGGUGAGGUGCUGUGAUUGCUGCUCUGCUCCCCGAAAGGAUCAAUGCCAUCCGCACUUAAAGCAAACCAUACGUUCCUUGGGUCACCUGCAAACUCAUCCUAGUACUUUCUCUUCAUUUUUCUCCACUGCGACCUGUUAGCGGGUGAUCUCGACUUCCCGUCUUUCUUACGGUCCUCACCGUGCCAUCGCAUCAACUUGGCAUGCUCUCCGUUUCUGAACAGACGUUUCAACCAUGGUAUUAUAGGAGCAUACCACAUCACCUUCGCAGGAACCCUCUUCCUGGGGGGCUCGCCGUCAACAUCACCAGGGUCAUCUCAUCUGAUCUUAUACCGUAAUGCACCGCAUACCGGGCAUGCAUUCAGAUCCUUGUACGCACCGCGGUAGAGGAUGCAGUCAUUAGGGCAUGCAUGUAUCUUCUGCACCUCCAAUCCUAGAGGGCAUACGACCUUCUUUGCUGUGUAUGUACUGUCGGGCAAUUCGUUAUCCUUUGGAAGCUUCUUCUUCAAUAUUUUCAGUAGCUUCUCAAAUCCUUUGUCAGCCACAGCAUUCUCUGCCUUCCACUGCAGCAAUUCCAGUACGGUACCGAGCUUUGUGUUGCCAUCUUCGCAAUUGGGGUACAACCCUUUUUUGUGGUCCUCUAACAUGCGAUCGAACUUCAGCUUCUCCUUUUGACUUUCGCAUUGCGUCCUAGCAUCGACAAUGACCCGGCGGAGAUCAUCAUCAUCGGGCACAUCGUCUGGUUCCUCUUGAUCUUCAGCAGCUUCGCCUGUUGCAGCAUCAUCGUGCACAUCGUCUGGUUCCUCUUGAUCUUCGGUAGCAUCACCGUAUUCAGGGGGCACAUAGUUGUCAUCGUACUUUUCUUCUUCGCCGUCUUCCAUCAUAACCCCUAUUUCUCCGUGCCUCGUCCAAACAUUAUAGUGUGGCAUGAAACCCUUGUAAAGCAGGUGGGUGCAAAGGAUUUUCCAGUCAGAGUAAGACUUUGUAUUCCCACAUAUAGGGCAUGGACAACACAUAAAACCAUUCUGCUUGUUUGCCUCAGACACUUCGAGAAAUUCAUGCACGCCCUUAAUGUACUCGGAGGUGUGUCUUGAACCGUACAUCCAUUGCUGGUUCAUCUGCGUGCAUUAUAUAUAAUUAAGUGUGUCAAAAAUCAUUACAAAACAUCAUGAAUAGAUAAUUAAGUGACCAAAUUAAUAGAAGUUCAUCAUCACAUUAAAACCAAAGUACAUACAUAGUUCUCAUCUAACAACAUAAAGCUCUACAGAGCAUCUAAAUUAAUUAAACCAUACAUUGAAACUAUGUAAAACAUUUCAAUGCAAAAACAAAUGCGAUCAUAAUCGCAACCAAUGUAACAACUGAUCCAACGGCAUAAUGAUACCAAGCCUCGGUAUGAAUGACAUAUUUUCUAAUCUUUCUAAUCUUCAAGCGCAUUGCAUCCAUCUUGAUCUUGUGAUCAUCCACGACAUCUGCAACAUGCAACUCCAAUAUCAUCUUCUCCUCCUCAAUUUUUCUAAUUUUUUCCUUCAAGAAAUUGUUUUCUUGUUCAACUAAAUUUAACCUCUCGACAAUAGGGUCGGAUGGAAUUUCCGGUUCAACAACCUCCUAGAUAAAUAAAAUCUAUGUCACGUUGGUCGGCAUAAUUGUCAUAAACAAUAGAUGAACCUAUAGUUAUGAAAAUAUAAUAUAUACCUCAUCCGAAGCAUAGACAGGACGAGGGCCGACGGGGGCGGAUACCAAAACCAUCGCACUAUAUAAGAUGCAAUAAUAAAAGUAAGAAAAUUAUACAAGUAUCUAUAUAAACAUACAAGUAAGAAUUUUUUUCCCUUUUAGAAAUAAGAUAAGAACAAGAGCCUCACCACGGAGGUGUCGGCUACGAGAUCGGCGCGGGCGAUCGACGACGGUGAAGACGGGGACGGGACGUGACGGACCGCUAAACCUAGACAAAUAUUGAGGAAAAUGGAGCUUGGAGGUUGAGCUUGGAGAGGAGAAAGCUUAAGUAGUGUGGCUCGGGCAUUCCAUUGAACACCUCUUGUGCAUAGGAGGUGAGCUAGAGCACCACAAAGCUCUCUCCUCGCCGGCCAUGAAAAACAGAGCAGUGAGAGUGCUCUGCUCGAGGGCGAGGGGUAUAUAUAGGCAAUUAAUUGGUCCCUUUUCAUUGCUUGAACCGGGACUAAAGGGAAGCCUUUGGUCCCGGUUCAGGCCACCAACCGGGACCAAUGGUGGUGGGCCAGGACCAAGGCACAUUGGUCCCGGUUCGUCCCACCAACCGGGACCAAAAGGUCCAGAGGAACCGGGACCAAUGGCCCAUGUGGCCCGACCGGACCCUGGGGCUCACGAACCAGGUCCAAUGUCCCCAUUGGUCCCGGUUCUGGAUUGAACCGAGACUAAUGGGCUGACCCGGCCAGGACCAUUGCCCCCUUUUCUACUAGUGAAUGGUGCUCAAUGAGAUCCUCUUGAAGCUGAAAGUGGGUGUUUGCAUCUUCAAUCUUCCGGUAGGUUUGAAGAAAUUCUCUAAUGCGGUUAGAGUCUCUAGCUAGCUUCACACGGCUACCCACAUUGUCGUAGAAGAACUCCAAAUUCAUGCCUCUCUCAUCUUCGAGAAUCAUAUUGUGAAGAAUCACACAUCAUGUCAUGAUGUUUUUGAGGGAUCACUUGUCCCAAAAACGAACAGGACCAUGAACAAUGGCAAACCUAGAUUCCAAAACCCCGAAUGCUCUUUCAAUAUCUUCUCGGGCUGCCUCUUGUACCCUUGCAAAUUCACAAUGUUUCUUAGUUUUGGGCUUUUUGAUGCUCUUGACAAAUGUGCACCAAGAAGGGUAGAUACCAUCUGCAAGAUAGUACCCCAUUGAUAGUGUACUUGCAAGCAGGAGCAUCACCAGUAGCAAGCCUAGCAAACAAAUGAGAUCGUUGCAACAUAUUGACAUCAUUGAGAGUACCCGACAUACCAAAAAAGCAACGCUAAAUCCGUAAAUCAUCAUAUGGUACGGCCUCUAGCGCAAUUGUUGCAUCACGAGACUUGCCACAAUACAUUCCCUGCCAUGCCCUCGGGCAGCUUUUCCAAGUCCAAUGCAUACAAUGAAUGCUUCCUAGCAUGCCAGGCCAACCUCUACUCAUACUUGAUGCCAUCAACUUUUUUGUGUCCUCCUCGUUGGGUGACCGAAGAUAUUCAAGAGUAAAGACAUGGAUGAUUACUUUGACAAACAUAGUCACUGACUUAAUUGUAGUAUCUUCAACAAUGCGAAGGUACUCAUCGGCAUAGUCAGCCGGAAUGCUGUAUGCAAUUACCGGCAUAGUUGCCGAGAUUUUUUGAUAUGCACUAAAUACCUUCAAGCCCACGACAUUUCUUUUUUGAGUAAAAUAGCGACAAUUAGCCUCGCAAACUUGCACUAUUUUUACAAAGAGGGAUCGACGCAUUUGAUACCUUCUCUGGAAGAGGUGCGGCGGAUAUGUUGGAUUGUCUGCGAAGUAAUCGUCCAUCAACAUCUCGUUCCCGAGAUAGCGAUUGCGAGGAAUGCAAAGACGGCUGAUGGCCAAUCCUCGUCAUCUCUUUCAGUUCUCAUCAUUGUGCUCCUUCACGGUAAGGGCCAUCGCCAAGAUCUUCUGCUGAUGGUUCUCAAGAAGCAUCUCAACAUUCGAGUCGUCCAAAUCGGACGAAUCCUCGAGAAAAACCUCUUGCAAGGGCUCAGUUCCAUCUAGAAACAAAAAUAUGAACACCGCAUGAACCAAUUAUGCACAUCGCAUCCGAAAGCACAAGAACAUGUACUCAUCGACGGCUCGAGGCGGUGGCUCUGCGAUGGUCGAUCCCAGGGCGGUGAUGGCGACUCGGGGCGGCUCGGCUCACCGGAUCCGGGGAGCCGGUGAAGCGGCUAGGUGGAACCGGGUGAGGGGCGGCCAGGCGGCGUGAUUCCGUCCGUAGAUAAGGCCGGAAUCACUGGCGGUGUACAGGCAGAACCGAUGGCGGGCGACUGUGGAAGGGGGUGGGGAACGCGCACGGGCUAAAAUGUCCCUCUCGCCAACCGCUUUUCUAAGAUACAGGGCACCGUCGGGUCGAGGGGAAAACCUGUAUUUUUGCGGGUUGGAGGUUGGAUUUUAGCGCCCCCUAAAAUUUUUUCACGGGUCCGACGCGUUUACAGUGUCGGAUCGAGCGGCUUUUUUCACGUGGACCCAUAUUUUAGCGGUUAUUUUGCUAGUCGGGGCAUUAUACGGGGCUGCUAGAGAUGCUCUAGCCAUAGUGGUGGUAUAUAGCCGGUAUCAUGCACUCACAAGGAAAUACACUGAUGUGGCAGAUAAUUAAAUAAGAGAGGGUUAGGCUACUCAUAGUGGGGAAUAUCAUAUACUAGUAUCAUGCACAUGAUAUUAGUGUAUGAUACUAUCUUCAUAGUGCAUAGUAUCAUAGAGUAGUAUCAUAUUUAUUGCCAUGCAUGACUUAAAGUAUCAUAGCAUUUAACAUGAUAUGGUAUCUACCUAUGUUAGGCUGGCCAUAGUUUGUGGUAUCUUAGCGAGUAUCAUGCACUUGGGAAUAGCAAAUAUGCUAAUGUGGCAGAGAGUUAAAGAAGAGAGAGAGGGUUAGAGUAACAUAACUAGAUAUUGUAUCGUAUUAAAUGCUGUGCUACUUUGUGUCAUGCAUGACAAUAAAUAAGAUAAAUAAAUGAUAUGAUACUAUAAACUAUGAAAAUAGUACUUCCUCCAUCUAGGUGAAUAAGUCUUCUUAGGUUGUGCACCGUGACCAAGGUGGAGAGGAAAAUGAGAGAACUUAAUGCUUAUUUGCUAAUUAACACCAUUGCAUGCAACGAAAUGACCACUGCAAGUCAUGUCUGGUAGUCUCAAGUCAUUGAAAGUAUACACGCCCCACGUCUGUUAUUGGUUGAUUCCUUUAUUUAUGUCAAAAAACAAGAAACAAUGUGUCAAUUAAUGCACCAAGCCUAUGUGUUUUGGACUAUUUCGUUUUCGUAAAAUGACUUACUCACCUAGACGGAAGAUCCUUUAUAUUUCCCAUGCAGAUCCAGAUCAUCCCAACUACCCAAUCCACAGACACUGUUGAUCACCAAAUUCUCACCGCAUUAUGUAAAUAUCGCAGGAGCUCCACUGCACCCAUCAACCCUAGAACCUCGAUAAAUGAGGUUUUUCCCUUUCGAAUAGAUGAUGCAAUUAUUUUUUGGGGUUUAGAAAGAGGGUGUGAUUAUUGCACUUGAAAGUUUAAAACCCAGCAUCUCACGGGGGGUACAAAAGGCCAGAAGGCUAAAACAGCCAAAAGGAAAUAAGAUUUUUCUUUUGAGGGAAAAAAGAAAUAAGAUUUUAUGAUGUCGACUGGCACACAGUGCUAUGCAUUAAUUGUGGCCACUGAUGCAGACCUGCUAGUGUGUGGAUCAUGCAGCAGUAUUUCACCAUCAGCCAAGCUUACGUCCAUGACCAAAGUUUUCAAUUAGUAUUGUCUCCAAGGCGGACAUUCAAACGCCUGUUGCAUGUUCGGACCACUUUUACCAUUUAACGGGGAAUUGUCCGCUUAGCAGUCCGGACAUACGGAUUCUGGUAUCUUAGAGACCAACAUGAUAGGCUUUGCCGAAGUCCGGACAUGCACUUGACAAUUCACAUGGAUGCCCCCCCCCUCUUCUCUCCUUCUCCCAACCACAUAUGCAUUGCCCCCUCUCCUCUCUCCUUUCAACCAGACACCAAACCAUUAAUAUCUUAGCACAUGCAUGAUCUCAUCUACUUUCUCCCCUUCCAAUUAAAUUACUUUAUGAUUAGCAUUAGAUGACUCCUUCCGACAUCAUUUCCGCGUGAUGGUGUCCUGGACUAUGGGUACUGACCAUGUCGUCUCCUGACCAGUGGGUCAAGCUGAGGACCCCCAUGGCGGUCCAUUAAUGGGCCAGUUCAGAUAGCCGAUAACAUAUAUGAGGAAGAUUCCACAAGACUUGGUGAUCAAUACAAGGACUCCUAUCCACCGACUUAUUCGACUAGGACUCUUGUUAUCCUAGGCCUCUGGUAUAUUAUAUAAGCCGAGGCUAGGCUAGUCGAUAGAUCAUUAUGAAAUUACUCAACACGCCCCUAGGGUUUAGAACACAACAUAUUAUCUCGAGGUAGAUCAUCUCUGUAAUCAUACACAUCGAAUAUAAUUGAGCAGGAGUAGGGUUUUACCUCUUAGAGAGGGUCCGAACCUGGGUAAACACCGUGUCUCUCGUCUCCUCUUAUCCAUCGAUCCUAGGACACACAGCUUGGGACCCCUACCCAAGAUCUGUCAGUUUUGACACCGACAUUGGUGCUUUCAUUGAGAGUUCCGCUGUGUGAUCGGCAAAGGAUCAAUGGCUUGCCUGCAGAUCAACUGCAAGGUCGGUAUCUUCGUCUCCGGCUCAACUGUUUACCUUGGCUCGACCGAGGACUGUCCUCUGCCACCGAUCGUCAUGUUCGGAUGAGGGCCUUCAACAACAUCAACUCCGAUCUCUAUCAAGAUCGUGGAGGAAUCAUCCAUGCAGCUCGGGGCUCAACUUUGACAUUUCCCUCGAGCAAUCGUGCUGUUUUUUUGGAAAGCGAACUCAUAUCCGCUGGCACCGCCUCCUCGAGCAUCGCUUUGACAAUUACUUUUGUGGAACUGUGUGGAAUUGAGUCUAAUAACCCUGCAAAAUUUCGCCGCGUGCCGAUGAAGCAAUCUUCGUUGAUCUCUGAUAUACCGGAGCCCCGACGAAUCUGGACGAGAAACCAGACCAGUUUGGAGCGUGGUGUCCAGCAUCUAGCUCGGACGUCCUUUGGAAGAUCCAACCGUUUAUCGGCUGCGGAAUUCCGAUAUGUACCGCCCCUCAAAAUUUCAGCUCGAUCUGACCGUUCAAACUCCGAGGAACCUCCGAUGAGCGCACCAAUUUUCAGAUAUGUUUACUGCGCGAAAAUGAAUCCAACCCAAGUUCAUCUUUCUUCAUGAACAGGAUAUUGGACAACCUUUUUUGAGGAAUCUCUUUCUAGGGUAUUGUGUUUUGUUUCUGAUAACAUGCUCAUAAUUUUUUCUCCUUUUCGGAGGUAACAUUCACCGUUGCGCCGGUGUCAAACCAGCCCGACAACGUUGCUGGCCGGCUGCCGACCUACGCUAGAGGGGUCGUCGCUUCAUCAACUGGACUUAACCUCUUCGGAUCAUUAUCUCGGCAAGACGAACAAGAGUUCGGCAUUGUGAAGGGUAAAUCAUCACCAAAUUAUGCGGAGCGGGCACACUGGCAUCAUUGCAUGGCCACUUCAUCAAGUGGGCAUCGACCGCGUCGCAAGAUAUGGUCCGCGUCGGCAUCGUUGCACUAUUGCUUCUUCAAGCCUGGAUGGACCUCUACGUCCGAAGAUCGGGAGUCACUUCCGGCCGGACUCGCCUCUCUUAUCCCGUAUCCAGCUUCAAUCCUGGACGAGACUUCGGUGUCCGAACACCAGGAGUCAACCCUGGCCGGACUCGCCCCUUGCACCAUAGUACAUGAGGACGAUUCCGAAGAAAUCCCGAAUACUAAUCCGGCUGACCAAGCCGAUGUCCACCAUGCCGACUUGCUUCGACACCUUGGCCGGCAUGGGGUUGCAAACAUCAUAAUACCGACCUGCCCCGUCACCUCGGCUAGAUCGGGGCUUCGCCAUCUCUUCAUCAACUUACUCCGGUGACUUCCGCGUCACCAGCCGACCAGCUUCGUCACGUUAGCUGGACCAGGGGAUUCGCCUCGCCACAUCGACCGUGUGGCAUCACCACCUCAUCAAGUCGAACUCCUCGCUCGGUUACCUCGGGCUUGGGGGCUGGGACCUUGGCUAGGCUGCGGACUACGUCUUCGUCCCGCCAUGAUCUUGGACCUCGUCAACAAUACCGAGCAUAUUAACCAGCUAAGUCGCCUCCAUGCUCUGGUUUUUUCUUUAAUUUUUUUAUUUCUUGUUCGGUUCAACCAAACAUUAUAUUUGUGUUAAAAAAAGUUGUUCAUUCAAACAUUGAUUGUUAAACACUUCUUUUUUCCGCCAAGCUCUUCAUCACCUCUAUCAUGAGGGUUUUUGUCACCUCGGCUGGACCAGGGGCUUCGGCUCGCCACGCUGAUCUUGCGCCAUCGCCACUUCAUCGAGUCGAGCUCUUCGCUCGGGCACCUCGGGACCGGCUUGGGGGCUAGGACCUCGACCCGCCGCAAGCUCGGCCCACAUCAUCAACACCGAACCCAUUAACCAGCUAAGUCGCUUUCAUGCUCAAAGCUUUUUCAUUUUCAAUUUGUGUUCAGUUCGACCAUGCUCACAUUCGUUGUUUGUUAAGACACUUCCUGUCAUAGGUUAACUGGGGGCUCUUAAAUUUAUACGAGCCAUUUUAUAAUGAAUGUUUUUCUUCUCAGUCGUUGCAAAGUCUUUUUCUACCACUCCUUUCUCGGCUCGAGUGUGUGGUCAAAUGCCGGAUAGCCUGGUUUCUCCAUAAAGCCGCUCGAUUUUAGUUUUCUAAAGUGGCCUAACGAGAAGUACUCCGCCUUCGGGAUAGGAGGUUGAAGCUGUAGGCUGACCCACUUGAAGUCUUGAGAUCGGAUGUGUCAUGUUACAACACGACAGAAGCACAAACUAAUUUAAGACCAAUCUUCGGAUUGGCACCAAAAAACCUGAUUUAGUUCGGCGUCAAGUUUUUGCAUAAGUUUUUUGGCUUUUCGAGCUUAUGGCACUUUUUAGCUAUUUGUAUAUUUUUCUUUCAGGAAGCAGGAUAUCCUCAUGAUCGAGGUUCCCUGCACAAUAAUUCUGCUCGGGAGAUCUUUUCUGACCCAUAGCUCGACAUCUUUCGCACCAAACUAUACCUCGGGCGCCACAUCAGGACUACUUCCUGAGUAGUGCAAUGGUAGACGCCUUUAAAACAUUGGCAAUAUUAACGGGGGGGCUGCAACUGAAGCUGAACCCACCAAAAGCCAAGGUGCUCCAUGGACUCCUCGGCAAAAUGUUCUCGGGUAUUACUUUGUAUGCAUCGGUUUCGAAUUGUGUCUUUGGUCAAUAUUUGGAUUGUCUGACUCCUGUUCUUGCCUUCUACGUUUCGCUUUGUUCCGCUAGGUGUGCAAAGGAGAACCACUGUGAUUGUGCUUCCAUCUGCAUGGUUAAAGUGCCUCAUUGGAGAAAGCCGAAAACUGUCUGUCACAAUAAGCACAAACUGGUCAGCGAUCCGAUGACAGUGUUAAACUAUAAGAUCGAUAGGGGUCACUCCGUGUUAAAUGAUGGGCAGAUCAUAGCAUUGGCCGAAGUGUUUACAACUUGACUUCGGUUGUCUCCGAACACUAACCGGGGCUAGUAACUGGCCUCCCAACUUUACGCUCCUAUGACUAAGUGAAAGUUAUAAAGCCCGCAUAUAUGAUUGCCUCGUUUCCGCUAACACAACCGCCUUCGGGCACCGAGACGUCGGCUAAGGGUUCUUUUUUUUAUUGUGUAUACACCCUACAUAGCAUCUACAAAGGGGUAGAAGCCGACGAUGGUCCACUUUCAACUGAUAAGCUGUCACAACGGAGUCAAAAUAAGCAUAUCAUCAACAUUUGCUUUCAGUAUGGAAGCGUUGCCUUCCGUAAUUAUCGUUAUAAAGCCAUAAAUAUGCAUCAAUUUGACUUAAGAUUUUGGACAAGCUGGGUUGCCUGGCUGCUGUGCUUACCCCUACAUUCCCGAUUGUUCGGCUAGGCGGUAAAGGGAGCUCCUCUAUGAUUGUUACUAUCGGGUCAUUCGAGUUAGUACCUCAGACUAGGUGAAGCCAAAAGCUAGCCAUCUUAAAGGAUAUAAUUGGUCGACAACGGCGGAAGUGAAAAUCUCGGUUCAUUAGACCAUAGAGUUUGGGAACUUUCCCCAAACUAAAUCCUCAAUAUUUUUCUCACACAUUGAUCGGAGGUGAGGUUUCAUUAUCAUGGUCAGCAUGACAAGCCAAAGAAAGGAACCGAUAGUGGGACUAUUUUCUUUGGAAGAUGUUUCUUACGUUAGUAGUAAUAUAACAUAUCUCUCCAUGUACCUUUGUUUAUAAAACCAUAUCGCCGGAUUGCCUUGUUUGCUGUAAAUCUUUGCCCUUAUAAAGGCUUUGUAAAGUAGGACAAACACUCCUCGGCUACUGACCCAGGAGGUUGAUUCCAAUGGUCGGUCAACAAAGUUUUGUAUUGUGCGGAUCCGAGCAUUAAUGAUGUAGAGUACUUGGAUACAUAGAAUCAUUGAACAUAAUUUGUGAUUUUACUCCGGAUAUCAAUCCUUCAUUCGGCCACCCAUGCCCACAUUAAGGCUCGGGGGCUAUUGGGCUUCGCACUUAUCAUUUAAAAGUAGUAAAUGGACUAGUGUUUGGGGGCUACUGCAUUGCCUAUUCAAUGGAGAAAAUUCAAAGUGUCUGUUGUUCGGCUUGACUGAACUAUGGGCAAACGUGUCUUCGAACAACAAUAGAUACCAUCUGGACCUAUCCGGCAUGAAGCUAAUAUAUUACGGAACUUCUCAAGACCCUCUCUCAAAGGCCCGUUCGCUGAUCGCUAUUUCCUCUAAUAUAUUGCAUCGCAUUUCUAUUGCUAAGUAUGUUGUCGAGAUGGGAAUUGGUCCUCGGGCCGAUUUCAUGAAUGACUCAGUGCUAUUGGGGUCUGCAGUUUGAUUUUAUCCUUCAGGUGCAUCCCAGAUAUUAGGCCAACACGCACCUUGAGGGCUACUGGCUAUACAUCUCGGCAGAAAAUACAUUGCACAAAUUGGAAUUAAAUUCAUAAAAAUCAGCCCAAACCCGAGAUGGUGCAUCACCUCGGAAGCAGUCCGGCAUAAAGCUUGGUUGCAAGUGGCUGGCCACAUAGAGGGCAUCUCGAGCAUUAAGCUCGUUUGAACCCUUUUAACUCUUUCAAGAUCGAGGUAAUCUAUGACACCUUGGAUACAGUCGGGCAUUGGAGCUCGGAUACAUUCCGACAUUGGAGCUCGGAAGCGGUCUGGCGGUUGUACUUGGCUCCAAAAAGAUACCUCAAAUGCAGCCCGACGUUGGAGCUCGGAUGCAAGAGGACACUGCCGCACGAGAAACACUUCGAACCCAAGGUGUGGCCUAAAAAAUAAUAAAGACAUUGAUAAAGGCCGAUAACUUAAAGGGGCUCCUCGGAUACCUGGCGUGUAAGCUCUUCGGAUUCACUUCUGCGAUCCUCAAGAUCGAAGAUGAGAAGAUUUGUUGAACCAGUUUUCAAGACCGACGGCCGAAGAUGAAGAAUAGUUCGGAAGAAUCGAGGAGCGUCCCCAACUUGAAGACCGGUUCAGGGGGGCUACUAAUAGUGUCCUAGACUAUGGGGUACUCACCAUGUCGUCUCCUGACCAAUGGGUCAGGCCGGGGACCCCCAUGGUGGUUCAUUAAUGGGCCAGUUCGGGCACCCGAUGACAUAUACGAGGAAGAUUCCACAAGACUUGGUGAUCAAUACAAGGACUCCUUUCCACCGACGUAUUCGACUAGGACUCUUGUUAUCCUAGGCCUCUGGUAUAUUAUAUAAGCCGAGGCUAGGCUAGUCGAUAGAUCAUUAUGACAUUACUCAACACACUCCUAGGGUUUAGACCACAACAUAUGGACUCGAGGUAGAUCAACUCUGUAAUCAUACACAUCGAAUAUAAUCGAGCAGGAGUGUGGUUUUACCUCCUAUAGAGGGCCCGAACCUGGGUAAACACCGUGUAUCUUGUCCCGUGUUACCCAUCAAUCCUAGGACACACAGCUUGGGUGCCCCUACCCGAGAUCUACCAGUUUUGACACCGACACCGCGGACCACGCCUAGACAUAAAAACUAACAUAUACCGAAGACAUUUGCGUGUCAGCUUUGGAGAUGCCCUUGUGAUCAAAAUUAGACUUGAAAUAUGAGAGGCACAAUAAACCAAGGAGGAAGUAUGUGUCAGUGUGGAUCACAUAAUAAGGUAUUAGGCCAACUCUAAUGAACGACCCCAGACGGACGCCCGUUUUGUCCGGAUUCUGUCCAUUUAGUUUGGCUAGAGGCGCAUUGUCCGGCCGCGCCUGACCAAACCUGGUCAGUGCGACCAACCGUCCGACGUAUUUCGUCGGGCGCCAGAAUUAUUUGCAAUAAAAUAAAAUCUGAAAUUAGGGCUCGCGACCAUAGUCAUGCCAAGAGCCGUCAUUCAUGCUAGCCUACAACAAGAUCACCCCUAGCUCGCGUCGAAACACUUGCCAGCAACCGCACACUUACCAUCGCACAUAAAAUGACCAUAGUUUUUGCAUUGCGGCCCUAGUUCAUGACGGCCAUACAAAAUGAUGUCGCUCUCGGCCAUAGCUCAAUCAUCUAGCUCAAGCAUUUCCUUCUGCUUCUUCUAAAACCAAACUCUUCUCCUGAGGGACACCUUUCUCAAGUCCCCUCCACCUCCUUCGCCAAAAAAGCGAGUGCCAGCUCUUUUACUUUGGUCUUCGCAUUGGUUGACUCAAUCACAAGCUUCUUGGUUUGGACGUUCUCCUCCAUCUUGAGUUUCUUCUUUUGUAUCUCUAUGUAGGCCUUCAUUUGCUCCUAUUUCUCUUGGCGCUUCCUCUCCUACCUUGCUUCCUUUUGGGUCAUCAUGCCUUGCAAUGUUUCUUGGAAGGCGAAUAUCUCCACAUCACCCUUCUCAUCCACCUUGGACUUGGUCUUGCCCCUCGUUCGCUUCUCCCCUUCUUCAUUCUCAAUGAUGGUCGUUAGCCUUCCAUUCUUCUUUUGGGUGACAUAUUGCUCCUUGAACUAGGGGCAAUUGCAAAUGAUCGUCCAACAGUGGGUGAUGUUGAAUGGCUUGUUCCCAUGUUGGGAUUUGAAGGCUUCUAAAGUUUGGAAUGCCUACAAAUAAAAGGGAAGGCCACAAUGUAAUAGUGAAGGGCACAAUGCAACAAACAUGAAUAGGCAUAUGAACAAAGAGAAGAAAUUGUAUACCAUAUGGCUCAUGCCUAGGCCACUCAUGGGACAGCCUUGGAUGCUCUCAAGGGCGACACAAAACUUGUUGCAUUCUUAUUGGAUGAAACCCCCACCACUUUUGAAUUGAACCAAACUUGGUCAGUAUCUUUCAUACUAGAUAGGUUAUUCUCACAAUGAGUGUUUAUUCACUUGUCAUUGCACGAGAAAGUGGUAGGUAAUAGGGAUUUUCCAGUCUCAUAAUCAAUCAAAAAAUAUAAAAAAUAAAUACCCCCCCAUUGAAAGUUUGGAAGGCACCUGUGGAUACGGCUAGCCAUGAAUUAUGGAAGAAUGGUGGAGGGGGAGUAAAACUUUAUUUUCUGUUUGAGAACUGCAUAUAAUGUGUCUAGCCUGGGAGAUAUUGGAAACUUUUGGUCAUGACAUUGACAGGAAAAGCAUGCCUCUCAAAAUAAUUCCUCUCUGAUAUAGGGUGUGAGCUCUAGCACCUCUAUAAAUCGAUGCUUCCCUCUGCGUAGGACCCAUCUCACUAUUGCAGGAAUGCCUAGCAGUGGCGGGUGGGAAAACCCCAGUAGUGGCGGGCAAGGCUCUGAGGGCUGCCCGUCACUCCUAGAAUGCCAUCAGUGGCGGUCGCCCACCCGCCAUUGUUAGGCCAUGAUCAAUGGUGGGCUCUAGGUCGUGCCCUCCACAACACUCCGUGUUGCCCGCGAAAUGAUUUUCAUGCUGUCAUGGUGGUCCUUUUCUACCGCUUGCCACUGCAAUUGUUGCAUGUCGACAUGAUUCAAUUACAACAUAUUGCAGCUGGAUCAUAUCAUCAGGUUACAUUUGGUACAUAAAUUCUGGUUUGAACCUUCAUCCACAUAUAUGCACCACAUUACAAUGAUUUCAGUUUAAUGAAAUGUAGUAGUCAUAAAAUAUAACAAGUGCAUUAUAGUAAUUAAUAAGCAUAUAUAUUUCGCGAUCAUCACAUAAUGAAUGGUUUGAUGAGUUUUUUUGGAGUGAAGUGAGUGUUGGCCAAUGUUCGUCAUGUAGACUGUUAGUAUAAGCCGCACAUACUACAUGAAUUAGUACUUGAUGGAAUGAACGGGGACCAAUGGGCCGCCGGCUCUAGAAUUGGAAUUUUUUCUUCUCGAAGAGGCCAUUGCACAACCUCGGCGGGCGUGGGUACAGUGGUUGGACUCAUACCCAGCCAGAUCCUCAGUAUCUCAUCCAGGGUCGCCUCCACAAGGAUGCACACUAGGAGGUCAGUGGGCCGCCUCUCUACAAUCUUGUCAAUCGCUGGGAGAGAACAAUGGGCCAUUGGAACACUUUUGACCCAAGCUAACAUCACCUCCUUGAGGUGCUCUAUGGGUCCAUAGCUAGUAGCUAGAUGGCUUCUUCUCUCUCUUUGAUUCUCAAUACCAUGUUCUCCGCGAUGUUCUUGGAGAUCUAUCUGAUGAAAUAUUCUUUUGCGGUGUAUUUGUCGAGAUCCGAUGAAUUGUGGAUUUAUGAUCAGCUUAUGUAUGAAUAUUACUUGAAUCUUAUCUGAAUUCUUAUAUCCAUGAUUUUAUAUCUUUGUAAUUCUCUUCAAACUAUCUGUUUAGUUUGGCCAACUAAAUUGUUUUUUCCUGCAAUGGGAGAAGUGCUUAGCUUUGGGUUCAAUCUGGCGGUGUCCUUUCCCAGUGACAGUAGGGGAAGAAAGGCAUGUAUUGCAUUGUUUCCAUCGAGGAUAAAAAUAUGGGGUUUACAUCAUAUUGCUUGAGUUUAUUCCUCUACACCAUGUCAUCUUACUUAAUGUGUUACUCUGUUCUUUAUGAACUUAAUAUUCUAGAUGCAGGCAGGAGUCAGUCGAUGUGUGGAGUAAUAGUAGUAGAUGCAGGCAGGAAUCAGUCUACUUGACACAGACAUGAUGCCUAUAUUUCAUAAUCAUUGCCUUGGAUAUCGUCAUAACUUUGCACUUUCUAUCAAUUGCUCGACAGUAAUUUGUUCACCCAUCGUAUUAUUUGCCUUCAUGAGAGAAGCCUAUAGUGAAACCUAUGGCCCUCGGGUCUAAUUUCCAUCAUAUUAGUUUCUGAUCUACUAUUUUGCAAUCUUUUACUUUCAGAUCUAUCAACCAAAAAGACUCAAAAAUAUUUUAUCUUUUGUUUAUCUAUCUCUAUCAGAUCUCACUGUUGCAAGUGAUCAUGAAGAGAUUGACAACCCCUUUAUCGCGUUGGGUGCAAGUUGUUUGAUUAUUUGUGCAGGUAUUGGUGGCUUGUGCGUUGUCUCCUACUGGAUUGAUACCUUGCUUCUCUAACUGAGGGAAAUACUUAUCUCUACUUUGCUGCAUCAUCCUUCCUCUUCAAGGGAAAAACCAACGCAAUAUCCAGAAGUAGCAGACAACAUACUUAGUUCCAUUUCUCCGUCGGUGUGUUACUUUAUCUCGGUAUCGGCAAGUCUCUUUCCUCUUUCCAUAAUAGAUUAUCAUGUAACUAACUCCUUAGUCAUUUCAUGAUGUUGUAUUACCAAGAGGGCCCAGAGAUACCUCGUACAGAGUGAAAAAUCCCAGUCUUGACCCAUGCCGACUCAACAAACACCUUCAGAGAUACCUGUAGAGCACCUUUAUGAUCACCCAGUUACAUUGUGAUGUUUGAUAGCACACAAGGAACCUCCGGAGUCCGGAGUUGCAUUAUCUAGUGGUCGAAGAAACAUCUAUUUGAAAUUACGAAAGUAGUAGCAAUAAACUGAAAGAUCAUAUGCUAUGCUAACGGUUGGGUCUUGUCCAUCACAUCACUCUCCUAAUGAUGUGGUCCUGUUAUCGAAUGACAACUCAUGUCUAUGGUUAGGAAACCUUAACCAUCUUUGAUCAAUGAGAUAGUCUAGUAGAGGCUCACUAGGGACAUGGUAUCUGUUUAUGUAUCCGCACAUGUAUUUAAGUUUCGGGUCAAUACAAUUCUAGCAUGAAUAAUAAACCUUUAUCGUGAAUAUGGAAAUAUGAUAAUAACAACUUUAUUAUUGCCUCUAAGGCAUAUUUCCAUCAUUUGAAUUGAUCUAUGAGUGCUAAGUUUGAUCUCCACCAGAAAGAGCCAACCUUAUGAUAUCCUGGGAGUUGUCCAUUACUAUAGUCUCUCUCCCAAAUUAAAUUAACCGAGGGUAUGUCAUGCCUAUUGAAGAACUUAUGAAGGUUUGUUAUGAGCAGAGUCUUGUUUUGUUUGUAGAUAUCCAUAACUCCUAGGCCUCCUUGAUAUUUGGGUCUACAAACAGUGUGCCAUGCAACUAAAGCUGGUCUGUGAUCUUCCAAAUCAGGGCUUCUCCAUAGACAGUGUCUCAAGUACUUAAUGAUCUGUUCCUUGAUGGUAAUAGGUAUGUCCAGGCAACACUUGCAGAAAAUUGGUAAUGAUGCAAGCACUAAUUUUGACUAGGAGCAACCUUCCUACGUGAGUCAUAAAAGUAGAAAUACCUGCUAAUCUCUUAGCAAUUCUGUUGACUAGGGGCAAACAUUGUUCCACAGUUGGUUUAUAGAUUCCUAAAGGAAGGCCCAAGUAAGUAAAAGGGAAUUGUCCUCUUACACAUUGCAGUGUGUGAGUGAAAAUAUUUAUUCUGUCUUCUGCAAUGUUUAUGGGCACCAUGAUUGAUUUCCAAUAAUUGACUUUUAGUCCAGCGGCUGAGGCAAAUGUGUUUAACAGGGCUUUGAGACAUAUCAGCUACUUUGCAUUUGCUUGCAUAAGAACCAGGGUAUCAUCUACAUACUGUACUACUCGAGAAUUAGGACAGGAGUAGACUUGCAGUGGUGGAGUAAUUAUACUCAGUAUGCUGGCCUUAUUAAGUAUUGAUUGUAGGAGAUCAGCAGACAACACAGAAAUCAAUGGGGAAAGGGGAUCACCCUGCCUCACUCCUCUUCUAUAGUAGAAUUUUAUUGGCAUGGAAUCCAUUCAACAUCACAGCAUAUGUGGCAGAUGUGAAAACUAAGUGCAUCCAGAAAAUCUACUUGUCUCCAAAUCCCUUUACUCUGAGUAUAUCAACAAUUUCCUGAUGUUCGAUAGUGUCGAAAGCUUUCUCAAAAUCCAUUUUAAUCACCAGCAUCACUUCUUUUGAUUUAUGACAUUGAUGGAUAUAUUCAUAUUGUUGGGGAACGUAGCAUGCAAUUUCAAAAAAAUCCUAUGCUCACGCAAGAUCUAUCUAGGAGAUGCAUAGCAACUAGAGUGGGAGAGUGUGUCCAUGUACCCUCAUAGGACGAAAGCAGAAGCGCUAGCUUAAUGCGGUUGAUAUAGUCGAAAAUCUUCUCGAUUCAACCGAUCAAGCACCGAACGUAUGGUACGUCCGUGUUCUGCACAUGUUCAGCUCGAUGACGUCCCUCGAACUCUUGAUCCAGCAAAGUGUCAAGGGAGAGUUUCGUCAGCAUGAUGGCAUGGUGACUGUGAUGGUGAAGUGAUCCGCGCAGGGCUUCGCGUAAGCACUACGACAAUAUAACCAAAGGAGUAAACGGUGGAAGGGGGCACCGCACACGGCUAAGAACAAUUGAUGUCCGUCGAGGUGCCUCCCCGAACCCAUAUAUAAAGGAGGGAGAGGGGAGGAGGCCGGCCUAGGGCGCGCCAAGUGGAGAGGAAUCCCACUUGGACUCGUAGUCCUGUUCGCCCCCACCCCUCUUUCCUUCUAUCAGAGGGGAAAAGAUGGAAGGAGAGGGAGUAGGAGAAGGAAAGGGCGUGACGCCCCCUUCCCUUGUCCAAUUCGGUCUCCUUUCUUGUGGGGGCACACCAGCCCCUUGUGGGCUGGUUAGCCUCCCUCCUACGGCCCAUAUGGCCCAUAUCUUCCACCGAGGGGUUCCAGUAACCCCUCCGGUACUCCAGUAUGUACCCGAUACACUCCGGAACCCUUUCGGUGUCUGAAUACUACCUUCCAAUAUAUCAAUAUUUAUCUCUCGACCAUUUAGAGACUCCUUGUCAUGUCCGUGAUCUGAUCCGGGACUCCGAACAACCUUCGGUCACCAAAACACAUAACUUAUAUAAUAUAUAUCGUCAUGUCAACAUACGUUAUUCCCUUUGUCAUCGAUAUGUUACUUGCCCGAGAUUCGAUCGUCGCUAUCUUCAUACCUAGUUCAAUCUCGUUACCGGCAAGUCUCUUUACUCGUUCCGUAAUGCAUCAUUACGCAACUAACUCAUUAGUCACAUUGCUUGCAAGGCUUCAUAUGAUGUGCAUUACCGAGGGGCCCUAGAGAUACCUCUCCGAUACUCGGAGUGACAAAUCCUAAUCUCGAUCUAUGCCAACCCAACAAACACCUUUGGAGGUACCUGUGGAGCAUAUUUAUAAUCACCCAGUUACGUUUUGACGUUCGAUAACACACAAGGCAUUCCUCCGGUGUCCGGGAGUUGCAUAAUCUCAUAGUCAGAGGAAUAUGUAUUUGACAUGAAGAAAGCAGUAGCAAUAGAACUGAACAAUCAUUAUGCUAUGAUAACGGAUGGGUCUUGUCCAUCACAUCAUUCUCCUAAUGAUGUGAUCUCGUUCGUCAAAUGAAAACACAUUUCCAUGGCUAGGAAACUUAACCAUCUUUGAUCAACGAGCUAUUCAAGUAGAGGCAGACUAGGGACACUAUGUUUUGUAUGUGUAUUCACACAUGUAUCAAGUUUCUGGUUAAUACAAUUCUAGCAUGAAAAAUAAACAUUUAUCAUGAAUAAGGAAAUAUAAAAUAACAACUUUAUUAUUGCCUCUAGGGCAUAUUUACUUCAGUCUCCCACUUGCACUAGAGUCAACAAUCUAGUUCACAUCGCCAUGUGAUUUAACUCCAAUAGUUCACAUCUUUAUGUGAUUAACACCCAUAGUUACAUCGCCAUGUGACCAACACCCAAAGGGUUUACUAGAGUUAAUAAUCUAGUGUCACACCCUGAUUUUCAUGGCACCACACUUAAGCUAAUAAAUCAUGAUAAAUUGUGGUUUGACUAAAAACUUUUGUGUGUUUUGGUCUUUGUUUGAUUUGAUUCUUUUCUGUUGUUUGCAAGUGCUCUAAAAAUCAAAUACAUCCUCCAACUCUUAUACUCCUUCUCCUUGAUCCAGAAACCUUGCCCAGUGAACAUGCCAUGUGUAUAGGACAUAAAAAUAAUUUCUUAUAAAAAUAAUUUGGCCAAAUAGUAUUUUCAAAAAUUAGUUUUCCAAAAACCCCUGAAUUGAGAUUUGCACUGCAAGUACUUAAUUAAGGGCAGUAAAAAUCUUUACAAAAAUAUAUUUGACUCCUAUGAGGUAUAGGACACCCAUAAACCCCAAAAAUAUAAUUUUAAAACUUAUUUUAUUAUUUUAUUUAAAGGAUUUUUCUUUAGGCCAGAAAUGAUCUUUAAUAGGUUAAAAUUGUUUUAAUGGUUUAAAAAUAUUUGUGAAAAUUUAGGGAAACGAAGUGGACAUAUAUUGUCCAGAUAUAAGAGUUUCAAUAUAGGGUCAUGUUCAAAAUAUUGGUCAAAUCUCUCAAAAACCCUUUCUGGAUAUUUCAAGCUUUUGAAAUAUUUACAAAGGAAAUAUUCUCCAAAAAUUCCAAGAAAAUUCUAUCAUGUCACAUAUGACACGUUGGAUGAUCUUGACAAGUCUCAUGUCAUGCAGAAUAGUAUAACCCCAUGAAACCCUCUCAAAACCAUUUCUGCCCUUUUUCAAGUUUGAACAACUUUGCAUUAGAAAACUUGUCCAAAUACUCUCAAGCUUGGUCCACAUGCUACAAUGGUCCAAUAAAUAAUCUAGACUAAGUAUAAAAAGUUGGAGAACAAGUUAACUUGCUCAAAGUGCCCUAAAACCCUUCCUAUCCAGAACCAAAUUUGAACAACUCAACAUUGGAAACUAUCUCUUUUUGAUCUCAACUUUUGUGGACAUGUUCAGAAUCUCAAAUGAUGACACUACACCAAGUAGUGCACCAAUGAGAAGAGUUUAGCUUAGCUAGAUCUAAGCAAGUCCAUUUUUGUUAAUUUCUAGAGUUUACAAAAGUUGCAUUGGCAACUUUGCCCAAAUGGACUCAACCUUGGUGGAACCUAUUAUUAUAUCAUGCCAUUUGACCCUGUCAAUCCUCAUGACAAGAGGAGUUCAUCUUAUUUCCCAAACCAGCAACAAACACCUUCUCCCAUUUUAUUAAAACCCCUGUUUUGACCAUUUCCACUCUUCUCCUUCCUCUCUCUUCAUCCACUGGCCACCCAAAGCAUCCAAGGAGAAGAUCCCUUCCUUAGCACCCCCAAAGACUACUGGACAUGCAAGGGCGCGCCCACAAGCAUAGAAAAUGGCCUGGACAGCCAUAUGGGCGCUCUGGAGCGCGCUACAGUGCGCCCUUGCACUGUAGCCGCUCUCUGCCCAAGCCACCCGACGACCUCGGGGGCCGGGAGCGUGUCCCUCGAGUCUGUCUCGGCGUGCGUGACACGCCUAGCUGUCGGGCCCGUCGCCCAUCGGCCUCCUUUGCCCCUGUCGAGCUCACCCGAAUGCCGCCCAAGCUCACCGGUCGUUGCACUCGUGCGGGACCUUCUCUGGCGUCGCCCCGCUCCCCCUCUCACCUUACUCGCUCCUGGAUGAACUCCACGAGUGCCACUGACCCAUCCAAGAACCCUCCCUCGACCACCACCAUGAUUUCCGCGAGCACCCGUGAGCUUGGCUCACGGUGCACCAUGGCCUCGCCUUAUAGGGCCUCCCCUGGUCUCUCCCUCGUCUCCAUUCACUCUCCCCCUCCCCUAGUCCUGCUGGACCAACCCUCUCUCUCUCCCGCGUCCCCUAUCCUCCCCCACAGCCAAAGAAUCGCCGCCGGCCGCCGCCAAAAUUCGUGGUAUCCCGAGCUCCUCCGCGGGUGUGAAGCACAUGGACGGGAUCGGCGCAUUGCGCUGAGUCCUCCGGUGUGCUGGGCACCGUCGCAGGUGACCGGAGCCGCUGCAACGGGCACCGGUGCCGCUCGGCCGCGCCUCCCCUGUCGCUCCUCUCCCUCAGGUGCAAGGUAGGGCACGACCACUCCGCCAGCUCGCAGGGGGCCCGCCCGUCAGCGGCAGAGGUGACCGAGCCGGCCCACCAGUCGGGUUAAGUUGAAACGGCUUCGGGCCGACCCGCUUGCCCCGCUGGGUGGCGCCCUCCUGCAGUGCGCCUUCGACGUCACCUCCUCCCUCGCGCAGCUGAGCCACUGGGCCGAGCCCAGUAGGCGCUGUUUAGCUGGGCUUCGCCCAUGCGCUUUAUAAGCUUGACAUCUUUUCUUCCUUUUUCUUUUUUUAAAUAUUGUAAAAUCUCUAGAGAAUUCAAAUGGACUCCAUAUUUGAUGAUUCAAAUUUCUGGUAGCUCAUAAAAUCAUGGUGUAUCUUAUGGUGCAACUUGCACAUUUUUCCAGAAACCUUUUUUUCACAAAUAUUUAUAAUAUCCUAUUUUUCCUAUUUUUGUGAUAAACUUUAGAAAAUCACAGAGAGCUCAAAAUUGAUUCAAAUGCCUUGAUUCGAAUUCCUAGAUGCUUCUAAGUUCAUAACUUAGUUUAUGAACAUUUUUAUUAAUAUUUUCUGUGCCCCACAAAAUAAUGAGCCAUUUCUUCAUAUUAGCCAACUUUGCCAAUUCCUAGGAAAAUCAUUUGAACUCCAAAUCCAGUAAAACCAACUCCGAGAGGCUUCUAAAAUCAUGCUUUGUUAAAUGGGUGCCUUUGCUCAUUUUUCAAUAUAAUGUUUCUAUGCACUUAUUGCAAAUGCAUAAACCCCUUGAUUCCAUCAUAUCGAAAUGUUUCGAAAUAUCCAUUGAUCCACUUCCAAUGAAACCACCUUGGUCAUUCCUCAUAUGACCAGAGGUAUCCUAGAAAAGUCCAACUCACAUUUUUUUAGAGCACUUUUAUUUUGCCUGGUCGUGUUGCUUAUUAUGGUUGUUUUCGGCGAUAUUUGACGAAGUAGAUGAAAUGCUCGGAGUUAGACCAGAGAUAUUUGAAGACCUCGAAGACUUUGUUAAAAUAGGAAAGCAGCCCUUUGACCAUGUCUAUGAUACCCUUUUUAUGCAUGUCAUAUAGCACUUUUAUUGCUUGCAUCAGAGACAUGAUACUGUGGUAACCACAUGGGGUGGUUUGCCACCGUUACUUCCUCGUUGAUACUUGCAUUGUGCAUGACCCUACCUUCUUAUGAGGGUUAUGCCGGUGGGAGUAGAUAGGAUGCUAAAGUAGAUGCUACGCAAAAAGGGACGGGUAUAUGCAUGGUGAAGGAGACAAAGUAUUUUCAAAAGACUUUUCGAAAACCCCGUCGGGUGCCACUUAUGCCCGAGGGAGAUGAUGAGAUGGGUAACCACUUGAUGACAAAGUGGUGUACCGAGGCAAGUGUGUUUUGUUUUCGAAAACGGAUUAGAUUUAAGAUUUGUCGACUGUCCCAACCUUACAUGCGCAACCACUCUACCCUUGUAUGGGAAAGGGCAUUAUUGAUUUCCUAGGCCGAUACUAGCUUGGAGCCCGCAUUACUAGUGACGGCGGAGAGUUGGUGCUCUCCCUCGGGACGGGGUCGUGCCAGGUAGGGCGGCCAUGACUGUUUUCAUAGGGCACCAGAUACACCGUUGUGUCCCCUCUCGGAUGUUACGAUCUCGAGUGACUCUCGUAUGAUGUACAUCGUGAGAAUACGGAACAACGAGUGGACUGCUUGUUAGUGUCGUCUAGGGAAAGAUAGUGAUCGGGUGCUUACUCCGGGUACUUGAGGUAUCGCGGGUCGUGGAUGACACGGAAGUUCCCCGGAUCUUGUGGGUAAAGUGUGCAACCUAAAACUAUUCGAAUAGCCGUGUCCACGGUCAAGGACAGUUGGGCGGUGCUGCUUAAACUACAUCCAGAGCUUCACAAACCAGUGUGUGUGUUCGGAUAAUUGGGGAAAACUACUUGGGUCAAGUCAAGGGACUUGACAUGAUUGAGUUGGGUUGAUGCCCACUCUAUUUAUGUUGAUAUCUGUAACCUGUCCUCAUGGUUACUUGAAUUCUCCUGAUGCAUGUCUUACAAGUUGUUGAACAUGUCAUUGCACUCAAAACUAGCUUUCUGCAAAAUUUACCUAUAUCAUGCAUUGUUACAUCUUGGACCAAAACAUGGGUUGCUUGCGAGUACAUUCAAAGUACUCAUUGGCCUGCCACUAGUUAUUUAAUUGGCCAGGCAUGGAAGAACCAGAGUUUGAAGAAGAGUUCUUUGGAGACGAACAUGCUUUAACUAGGAUGUUUCCCAGUCAGAAUACCUUUAGGGUUAAGGCAGAUGGCAUGGGUUCUACUUAUCGACAAAGAGUUCCGCUGCUUAUAUUUCAUUUGAUGCUCAACCCUUAAGGCUUUAUCAAUGUAAGACUUGACCAUAAUGGUCAUAAUUUGUGUAAGACGGUAUGAAUGGAUGUAAGACUCUUGUUAUUCAGCUUCUGUGUGUUCAGUGAGCAUUGAUCUCUGGGAUCACUGUACACUUGCAUUCGGUGAUCAUGACUUAUGAGUCGGGGUCCCCACUAGUUCACAUCGCUAUGUGAUUAACACCCAAACAGUACUAAGGUGUGAUCAUGUUUUACUUGUGAGAGCAGUUUAGUUAACGGGUCUGCUACAUUCAGAGCCGUAUGUAUUUUGCAAAUUUGAUACGUCUACAUUUCUCUACAUGGAUAUAGUCUAGCUAAUUGCUCCCACUUUCAAUAUGUAUCCAUAUUGAGACUUAGAGUCAUCCGGAUUGGUGUAAAAGCUUGCAUCAACGUAAGUCGUUACGACGACCUCUUUAUCACCUCCAUAACGGAGAAAUAUUUCCUUAGUCCUCUUAGGUAACUAAGGAUAACUUUGACCGCUAUCUAGUGAUCCACACCUGGAUCACUAUCGCACCCCCUUGCCAAACUCAUACCAAGACACACAACUGGUCUGGUACAUAGCUUGGCAUACUUUAUAGAACCUAUGACUGAGGCAUAGGGAAUGACUUUCAUUCUCUUUCUAUCUUCUACCAAGACACACAACUUUACACCUUGUAAUACAGGCAAGAACUCCUUCUUUGACUGGUCCAUUUUGAACUCUUUCAAAAUCUUGUCAAGGUAUGUACUCAUUGAAAGUAUUAUCAAACGUCUUGAUCUAUCUCUAUAUUUUCUUGAUGCCCAAUAUGUAAGCAGCUUUCACCGAGGUCUUUCAUUGAAAAACUUUUAUUCAAGUAUCCUUUUAUGCUAUCAACAAAUUCUACAUCAUUUCCAAUCAACAAUAUGUCAUCCACAUAUAAUAUUAGAAAUUCUAUAGAGCUCCCACUCACUUUCUUGUAAACACAAGCUUCUCCAAAAGUCUGUAUAAAACCAUAUGCUUUGAUCACCUCAUCAAAUCGUAUAUUCCAACUCUGAGAUGCUUGCACCAGUCCAUAGAUGGAUCGCUGGAGCUUGCACACUUUGUUAGCACCUUUAGGAUCGAGGAAACUUUCUGGUUGCAUCAUAUACAACUCUUCUCAGAGAUAUCCAUUCAAGGAUGUAGUUUUUGACAUCCAUUUGCUAGAUUUCAUAAAAUGUGGGAAUUGCUAACAUGAUUCAUGCAGACUUAAGCUUUGAGAUGGGUGAGAAAGUCUCAUCAUAGUCAACUCCUUGAACUUGUCGAAAACCUUUUGCAACAAGUUGAGCUGUGUAGACAGUAACACUAUCAUCAGCGUCAGUCUUCUUCUUGAAGAUCCAUUUAUCCUAUGUGGGUCGCCGAUCAUCGGGUAGAUCAACCAAAGUCCACACUUUGUUCUCAUACAUGGAUCCUAUCUCAGAUUUCAUGGCUCAAGCCAUUUAUCGGAAUUUGGGCUCAUCAUAGCUUCUUCAUAGUUCGUAGGUUCAUCAUGGUCAAGUAAGAUAACCUCCACAACAGGAUUACCAUACCAAUCUGGUGCGGAUCGUGCUCUGUUUGACCUACAAGUUUCUAUAGCAACUUGAUCUCAAGUUUCAGGAUCUGUAUCAUUAUUUUCCUCUGCAUUUGGUGUAGGCAUCACAAGAACUGAUACGUCUCCAACAUAUCUAUAAUUUUUUAUUGUUCCAUGCUAUUAUAUUACCCAUUUUGGAUGUUUAUGGGUUUUACUAUACACUUUUAUAUCUUUUUGGGACUAACCUACUAACCGGAGGCCCAGCCUGAAUUGUUGUUUUUUGCCUAUUUUAGUGUUUCGCGGAAAAGGAAUAUAAAACAUAGUAAAAAUGGAAUGAAACCUUCGGGAGCAAUCUUUUUGGAACAAACGCAAUCCAAGAGACUUGGGGUGGACGUCAAGAAGCAGUCAAGGCGGCCACGAGGGUGUAGGGCGCACACCUAGGGGUGGGAGCCCCCUGCCUCGUGGGCCUCCCGUGCCUCCCCUGACCGACCUCCUUCGCCUAUAUAUAUCUAUGUACCCCGAAAACAUCCAGGGGCACCACGAAAAACUAUUUCCACCGCCGCGACCUUCUAUACCCAUGAGAUCCCAUCUUGGAGCCUUUUCCGGCGCUCCGCCGGAGGGGGAAUCGAUCAUGGAGGGCCUCUACAUCAUCAGCAAGGCCUCUCCGAUGAGUUGUGAGUAGUUUACCACAGACCUUCGGGUCCAUGGUUAUUAGCUAGAUGGCUUAUUCUCUCUCUUUGAAUCUCAAUACAAAGUUCUGCUUGAUCUUCUUGGAGAUCUAUUCGAUGUAACUCUUUUUGCGUUGUGUUUGUCAAGAUCCGAUGAAUUGUGGGUUUAUGAUCGAGUUUAUCUAUGAGAAAUAUUUGAAUCUCCUCUGAAUUCUUUUAUGUAUGUUUGGUUAUCUUUGCAAGUCUCUUCAAAUUAUCAGUUUGGUUUGCCCUACUAGAUUGAUCUUUCUUGCAAUGGGAGAAGUGCUUAGCUUUGGGUUCAAUCUUGUGGUGUCCUUUCCCAGUGACAGUAGGGGAAGCAAGGCAUGUAUUGCAUUGUUGCCAUCGAGGAUAAAAAUAUGGGGUUUACAUAAAAUUGCUUGAGUUUAUUCCUCUACACCAUGUCAUCUUACUUAAUGCGUUACUCUGUUCUUUAUGAACUUAAUACUCUAGAUGUAGGCAGGUGUCGGUGUCAAAACCGGCGGAUCUCGGGUAGGGGGUCCCGAACUGUGCGUCUAGGCGGAUUGUAACAGGAGACAAGGGACACGAUGUUUUUACCCAGGUUCGGGCCCUCUCGAUGGAGGCAAAACCCUACUCCUGCUUCAUUAAUAUUGAUGAUAUGGGUAGUACAAGAGUUGAUCUACCACGAGAUCAGAGAGGCUAAACCCUAGAAGCUAACCUAUGGUAUGAUUGUUGUUCGUCCUACGGACUAAAACUCUCCGGUUUAUAUAGACACCGGAGAGGGCUAGGGUUACAUAGAGUCGGUUACAAUGGGAGGAGAUCUUCAUAUCAUAUCACCAAGCUUGCCUUCCACGCCAAGGAAAGUCCUAUCCGGACACGGGACGAAGUCUUCAAUCUUAUAUCUUCAUAGUCCGAGAGUCCGGCCAAAGGUCAUAGUUGGCCAUCCGGACACCCCCUAAUCCAGGACUCACUCAGUAGCCCCUUAACCUGGCUUCAAUGACGACGAGUCCAACGCGCAAAUUGUCUUCGGCAUUGCAAGGUGGGUUCCUCCUCCGAAUACGUCAUAGAAGAUGUUGAACACAAGGAUAGUGUCCGGCUCUGCAAAAUAAGGUCCACAUACCACCGUAGACAGAAUAAUAUCUGCACAAAUCUAAUCUGUUGACGUAUUCUGCAGCGUGACAUCACGCCACGGCCAGGCCUUUAUUUGAAUCAUUUUACUGUUCCACCUCAGCGCGUUUAGCGAGGCGGUUUCCUAGGCACGUCUUGUCAAAGCAGAGAUCGUGUCCCCUUAUUCCGGGAUUCUCAUCAAUACGAGCGUGGGUAACCCAACCGUGCCUUUGGUAUGACUCCCUAAUUGAAAGUGCGUCCCAAACGGUUACGGGGAGGGCUCUUGGUAUUCAACCCCUAUAUAAAGAGACCAAGGCUCGACUCCUUUCUUUUCAAUUCAAUCGAAUCCGCCCCUCGCCUCGAGUUCCAACACUCAAAGCUCCAGUUUUAGGCGCUUCGGACCUUCGAAGAUGUCCGGCUCCGACCUUCAAGGCCGGUGGAUGCCUUCCUCCGUUACGAAAGAAGACGUGCGAAAGCUGAGAGAUCCCAGGUAUCUAACCGGCGAAAUCUCGCAUAGGCUGCCUGCUCAAGGGCAGGCCAUUCCCACUCCCCAGCCCGGUGAGAGCGUGGUGUUCACAUCUCACUUCCUUCGGGGGCUAGGCUUCCCGAUUGAUUCCUUUGUGAGGGGGCUUAUGUUUUAUUACGGGCUGGAAUUUCACGACUUAGCUCCGGAGUCCAUCCUCCAAAUCUCAUCGUUCAUUGUCGUGUGUGAGGACUUUCUCCAUAUUACUCCUCACUUCGGAUUGUGGCUUAGAACCUUCAAGGUGGAACCGAAGAUGAUCGAGGGGCAGCACGCUGAGUGCGGAGGAGCUAUCAUAAGCAAGAUGGCCGACGCUCCAUGGCCCGAGGGCUCUUUCCAAGAGAGUUCGGCUUAUGGCAACGGGACUAGUUUUACAUCACAGCCCCCAGGGGCACCACAUGGGUGGCGCCACCUGCUUUUCGGUCGGGUCCCCCACCACGGCUAGCGUCAUGGGUCAAUGAAGGGCUUAUCUGGGGGACGUCCCAAGACGUGCCCUUGCUGCAGGACCGCAUUCGAGAUCUCCUAGAAAGAGAUAUCAACUUGACCGUAGUGGCGCAAGUUAUGCUGAUUCACCGCAUGCUUCCCUACAAACGUCGCCCUCUCCGCCUGUGGGAAUUUAAUCCGGAGGGACCGCGAGUCCUUCAACACUUUAUGGGCACGACGCCCAUGGAGAUGUACAAAUUGUUCUUCGGAACAGAAGCAAGGUGUCCGGACUUGUCCGAGGACGCAGGUCUGAGCUGCAAUCGCCCGGAUGCUCAAGUAAGUCGCCCCGUAUUUGGACACGCCAUCCGUAUUUUCAUCAUAGAAUUGCCCUUAACAGAGCUAUCCUUUGAACAGGAGUGGAUAGCGAAGGCAAAGCUUAUCAGGUGUCCAGCCCCCCUGCCUGAGACCGUGCCGGAUCCCGUGUUAACCAGGAUGCUGGAGAUUGUGCUUUCGGCAAAAGGAGAAGAGGGGAACCAAGGAGCUACCGCCUCCAUGAAGGAGGCUGUCAGGAAGGGAGGAAUCGAGAAUUCCCCCAACCCGGGAAAGAAAAGGACUGCCUCUGAAGACCCGGAGGGGAUGGCCUCAAAACGGGGGAAGAAAUCUUUGCCAGAGGAUCCGACGCCGGAGAAUGCCCCGGCUGCAUUGCGCCCUCAAGGGGAUCAGCUCUCCUUCGAGACGUUAGUAAAGAGAGGGGUUCCAAAAUGAGUGGCAUCCCUGUUUUAUUUCUGAGGAAGAUAACUGAAAUAUUACCUUGCAGUUCGGAUCUCAACCCUUCUCAACAGAGGUCAUCUUCAGGGGAUCUUCGUCCAGAGAUGAUGGAGAGCGAAACGUCUCCCCUAGCUGCACCAUCUUACGAGGCAGGCGACCCUGAGGUGUCGUCCCGGGGGGGUUUUCCAAGUCCGGACCCUAAAAAAGGUCGUCAGGCUAGUCCGGCACCCUCUGGUGCGCGGUCGGAGGGGCUGAAGGGUAUGCUCGGGCGAGCGUACAUCUCAGAAGAACACCGUAUGUUGAUGAACAUGGUGAUAGGAAGGAUUUCAUCCGCGGAAAGCGGAUUGUACGAGGCCGCCAGGAGUUUACUGACAGGCUUUGAGGUACGUGGAAAGGUGUACCUUUUGGUGGAGCCGCAUAUAUAAAAUGCGCCCUGUAUAAAUAGUAGCCCCUGAGACUCUGUGUGUCGUCAAAAGUGACGGCGCACAGAGGAUCAUAACCCCAGGUAUAAUAUGUCACCUUUUUAUGAAAGUGGCGAGGCGUUCGGUGGCUAGCCGGACUGAUGAAUCUGUCGAGCUAAAGCGGCAACUUAAUGUGGCAGAUGCCGACAUCGCGCUUGUAAAUAAGUGGCUAGACGAGGCACAAGGUAUGUUCCAAAUACAUCUGAUAAGAGGAGUUCGAUUCUCGUGCCUUAUAGGAUAUGUGCUUAAUGUAGAUGGUGCUGCUGCCGUGGAGAACCUUUGGGCCGAACUUGCCCGAGCCAAGGAGCAAGCCAGGAAAAGUGAUGCGGCUGCCAUUAAGGCGGCUGAAGAGCUAAAAGCCGAACAGGCUGCUCACUGCCAGAGCAAGAAAGUAAUAGCCGAGAUGGCUAUAAAAUUGAAGGAUGCUGCCGAUCGCUGUAAAUUUCUUGAACAAGAAGAUAGGGCGGCUCAGAAGGACCUUGAAAAGAUCACUGCCGAGGCCAAGGAUACUCGGUCUGCAAUAAGAGUUAUGAAGGAGGAGCUACGUCAGGCCGGAGAUAUCAUGGUUGGAAAGCCCUAUAUGCUGCGGAUGAAGUUCGGGGAUCCUAAGUAUGUCCGUUAGACCGGCAGUGGAGUGCGGAAAACACUUAUCUGGAUUUGGCAGCGAGUGCGGCAGACGCAACCGAACACUUCCGAGGUCGAGGUGACCAUGAAUUGGUAGAACUUUUUUGGUCGUAGUUCCACAAUCCAGAACACCCACUUUCGGUAUCCGACCGUUUGGCCGCCUGGGCGGAGCUAAACAGGUUAUCCGGACUCGCCACGAGGUAUGUUGCGAGUCGUUUGUGGCCGGAAGAGCCAGAGCCGAAGAGUUAGUUUAGCUUGGUGCAGCAGUUCCUUGGUUCGGUGCCGCAUGUUGAUGCAAUGAAGAGGUCGGCGUGCAUAGAGGGUGCAUAAAUGGCUCUUGCCCGUGUCAAAACAUACUGGGCGGAUAUGAAGGCCAGUGUUGUUGCAUCCCGGGAUUCGGACGAAAGCCGAGUACCUUCCAAGCACUACUUUGAGGAAGUUCUUCCUGGCGCUCGUUUAAUAGAGGCGCAGUGCUCGAAGGAUGUUGUGUUCGAAUAGCAUGUGCUAUUGUAAAAUGAAUAUUUUGAUAGAAUAUAAAAGCUUUUUAUACUUGUGCUUGCAAGAAUUAUAAUACCUCCUGCGCGGCCGUUAAUGUAUAUGUGUAUAUAACCUGAAAGAUGGCAGUCGUUGGCUUCAGCCCCCACGCAUAUAAUGCAGGGGUGUUUGCAAAAAGGCGUCUUUUCACACAUAAUAGAACGUCUUGGUCCUACAAAGGAGGUGAUAGCGCAGCGAACUAGGCAACCGGACUAUAAUGCUUUAUCACUUUCACUUAGCCAUAGGAGUUGGACAGUGGGGCUACUUAAUAGCCCCUAGGGGCACCGCGCUCGCCCGAAUUCAGGGCGCGUGUGUGCCUGACCGGAAAGCGGCCCUUCGUUAAUGCGGAGGAAUCCUAAAUAUUCCGAGAGUCAUCGAGUGGUUGACCAGUCUCUCGCUAUAUCAUGACAGUCAGUUUUCGGCUUUUCUCUACUGAGGUGCUCGCCUGGCUGAACCGGGGCACAAUCGCAGUAGUUCUCCUGGUGCCGCCUUAGCCAAUAGAGCGCAACGUAAGGUAGCAAAACACAGGAGCCGGGCAAACCCAACAUUUGACCAAAGACAUGUUUCGGAGCUGAUGCAUAUAAGGCCAAACUCGCGACGCCGAACACUCCCUAAGGUAUUCGGUCUUUAUGAAGACGGGCCGAACCAAAGCCCUUGGUAAAAAAGCCCCUGGUGUCCAGGUACGCGCAAAAUUCUGGCAUGGCCACAUGCCAAGACGCCAGCCUCCUCCUCGGUUAUAGUGAAAACCAGGGGAUUUCAUCAACAAGAGAUAGUAAAAAAGGUUUACACAGGAUCUUAAUCUGAAAAGAAUCCUUAAAACGGGUCCCUACUGCACGUCUGUGCCUGUGUCUCCGUUGUGCCGUAUCCUGGACGGGCGUAGCACGGUGUUCAUCUGCGAAAGAGAGGAACUUAGUAAAAAGUAAUCAUGCGAGAAAUCUGUAUUAAAAUAAACAAAAUAUAAUCCAGAGACAUGAGCAAAAUUGAGCUGUGUUGUCUCCUGGUGUAAACACGCGGAGCCCCUUGUACAGGGUUAUGCGGCUAUUAAGCCUUUGUAUGUUUACGCCGGACUCGUCGAGCCGUGUCCGGGGUAGUAGGGCUGGAUUAGUGUGCGGGUGUUCAGGCGGCCGCACCAUUACCCGUACUUUGGGGAUCAAUUGAUAUUUCCCUUUAAAGAGAUGAUGCCUCGUGGACCGGGCAUUUUGAGUGUAAGGGAUGCAUAAUGCAGUAUUGCGUUAAAGCGGGCGAAAGCUUCACGUCCCAGUAGUGCUUGAUAGCGACUUAUGAAUGGGGCGAUAUGGAAGGUUAGCUUUUCGCUUCGGAAGUUGUUGGGUGAGCCGAACAUGACUUCUAACGAAAGGGAACCCAUAAUCUGGAUAUCUCGGCCCGGCGUGACUCCUUGAAAGGAUGUGUUGCCAUGGCGAAUUAUUGCUGGGUUUUGUCGCAUCCCUAGUUCUGGUAUGACCUAGACUAGCUAGCCAGUUGUGCAUCAUUUUUAAAUUCCUUUUAAUUUUGAAAUGAGGACUUGUGAAACCCUCAGAAUCAUCUCUGAAAAUGACCCAAAUAAAAAAUUGUUCCAAAAAGGUCCAAGAAAAUGUUCAUGUUGCUCUCUGAAAAUAUUGGUCAGAGGUAAAAUUCAAACAAAUAUUUUAGGAGCUCAUGGAUAUUUAUUUUGGCCAUUUGGAUUAAUCCGAUAAUUAUUUGCAUUGGAUAUAUAUAUGUCAUAUAUAUAAUAUAUGUCCAAAAAUUAUGCCAUUUGCUGAGGAGCUCUGGAAUAAUAUAGUUAGCUCCUGCAAAAAUUGGCAUAAGGUAAUAAAAUGAUUUUGUAUUUUAAUUAAAGCAAAACAAAUGUCAGAAAAAUAGAAAAAGAAAUAAAAGAGGAAAACCCUACCUGGACUUACCCGCGGCCUGGCACUGUGUGGCCUGGCCUAGCGGGCCAGCAGGCCGGCCCAGCCAGCUGGCCGACGCCAGUCGCCCCCUUCCUCGCGCCAGUCGUCCCCUUCCAACGGCUGGGGCCACGUCUCCCCGCCACCUCCUGCUUCUCCCCCUCGUCGUCUGGAUGCCCUGGGCGACGCCACGUGCCCUCCCGACCGCUCUCACUCUCCCCCUGUUCACUCCCUCGCCGUUUCCCACCGUGCCCGAACGCUGCCGUCGCCGCCGCACGCCGUUGCCGUAGCCACCGCCUCCCCCUCGCCUCUCCGACACGCGCAGGAGCUCCGCCUCCUCGCUCUGAAGCUCUCCGCCGAGCCACACAAGCCGGAGCGCCUGUGGAGCCGUCGUCGUCGCCUUCAUCACCUCCGGCCGCCGCAGAUCGCCAUCGCCGCUUUGUCGCCUCCCGCGCGUCCCUGGCCACAACGAGCAGCCCUGCAAGUCCACCGUGAGCCCUGCUUCUUCUCCCCUCUCUCCCCUGGUCGCGCUCUCCCUCUAGCUAUCGUCUCCACCGUGGCUGAACCUUCGCCGCCACUGAGCUCGCCGUCGACGCAGCUCCGGUGACCAUUUGGUCACCCCGGCGAGUCCAACAAGCUCGUAAGGCCCCGUAGAGCAUCCCUAGCGCUUUGCUUCUCUCGUCUUCGAGCUCCAAACGCGCUCUCGUGCACGACCAAACUCCGGCGCCCGCAACCGAGAUCGCCGCCGCCGACUCCGGCCAUCCCAGGCCCAGCCACGGCCACCGGCCGACACGCCAUCGAGCUGGCUCACCAACGCGCCUAGCCGCGCGUCAUUUGGAGCACCACAGAGGAAACCCGGGGCCCAAGUACGCCGCGGAUCUCGCCGGCGACUAACCGCCAGCGGGUUUGACUUGUUUGACCUGGGGUUUGACCCGCCCAGGGUCACUGACACGUGGGCCAUGCCCCUGUUUAGUUUAGGUGUUAGUUUAGUUAGCGCUAAUUAACUUAGUUAAUUAGUUGUCUCUCUGACAGGUGGGCCCAGGCCCUAAUUAACCUAGGUUAGUGCUAACCUAACACAAACUAACUCUGUUAGUUAGAUGUUCCACUGACAUGUGGGUCCCAGCCAUCAGGUUUGACCUGGUCAGCACCGUUGACCUGCUGACGCAGGCAUGACGUCAUGCUGGCGCAAUAAUAUAUUUUCUGGAAUUAAAAUAAAUCAGGAAAUUCCAGAAAAUGUUCAAAACUUCAAAAAUUCAUAUCAAUUCCACUGUAGCUCAGAUUGAAAUAAAUUAUAUAUGAAAAAUUAUCAGAAAAAUGCAACUUAUCCAUCUGUACCAGUUUCAUGCAUGAAAAACCAAGUUAUACCUGCUGGAUAAGUGAAACACUAAAAUGGCUUAUAUGAAGAGCUUAUUUGGAGAUGCAUUUGAACCUUUGGUUCAAAUGGACUUCAAACCAAAUGAAUACUAGUUGCAUUAGCUCAAACAGCAUCACAUCUUCAUGCCAUGUUCAUGCAUCAUAUUGUUGCAUAUGCUUGUGUAUUGAUUGUUGGCACCGUUCCUUCUCGAUAGGUCCUGCUCCGGAGACCGUUCCAGAGUACCUGUCUGAGGAGCAGUGCCCCCUUGUUGAUCUACCAGGCAAGCAAAGCCCCUUGUUCAUUCCGAUACAAUCCUACUCUCUCGCUCCUGCUCUUAGUUAUUGCAUUAGGACAACAACGAUUCAUCUGCUACUUUGUGCUGCGGUAGUUGAACCCAUUCCUCUGCAUGACCCGUCAUUGCCAGAGUAAAUAGUUGAAACCCACUAGCAUGUGUAGGAGUUGAUUGAGCCAUGUUGUGUUCCUACCAUGCUAUGCCUGCUAUUGCUUAGAGUUGUGUCAGGUCUGGUUCAUUGGGAAUGAAUUGGAGUGUUACGAUAUGUUCUGAUGCUGAGAGUUAAGUGUGUGAACACGAUUUGGUAAAGGUAGCGGUGAGAGGCCAUGUAGGAGUACAUGGUGGGUUGUCUCACUGGAACCGUCCUUAAGCACUUAGUUCUGUGUAUGUUGUCCAAUGACCAGCUACUACCACACAUUGGAAUGCUUAAGUGCCCCUCUCGACUUGUUAACCAACUUGGUCUCUGUCCAGGAGUCGCAACUAGUUUCUGGUGUUUGUAGGUAGUGUUAGUAGUCUACCAAGUGGCACACGGCCAGGUGGGCUUGGGACAAACUAGGCACAGUGGCAUGGUGUACCAAGUGGCACCCGGAUGGUGGGCUUGGGAACCCUGCACACAUCGUUUGGGGCCAUGAGCGACACCCCGGCCGGAUCUCCUUGCGGAUAGAACCCGAAUAGGCGAUAAACCUGGACUAGAGUCUUGUGUGGUUAGUCAGGUCAUGGCCGACACCCUCGCCAGGCUUCCGCUUGAAGGUUGCCGAGAUACAUGACGUGUACAUGGUGGUAAGUGGCGAGAGCGUGUGUGAAGAAGUACACCCCUGCAGGGUUAACAUGAUCUAUUCGAAUAGCCGGGUCCGCGGUUAUGGACUUCUUGGAUGCUUACAUGGUACAUAGACAACUUGUAGUGGAUACUCUAAAAUGCUCAAGACAAGUGUGUGUACUAUGGAUGGCCUUCUCGUAGGGAGACGGGGAUGAAUCCAUAGUAGUGUAUUGCAUGGUGAUUAGUGGACUCGUGUGUGCCAUAUCACCUCAAAGAAGUUCUGGUAGUCGUAGAACAGGAUAGCCACAGAGUCAAAGCUGGCUUGCUGCAACUAAACCCCACAUUACCCUCUUGAUACAAAUGCAUGUAUGAUAGGAUCUGAUGUAAGUCUUGCUGAGUACCUUUGUACUCAUGUUGCUUUAUUUAUGCUUUUGCAACGGAGACUUCGGUCUUACUAGUGUUCUCGUGGACUUCAACGAGUAGCUUGUACCUCAGCUACGAUCUUGAUCGGAUGUUGUAGAUAGCCAGACUCUUCAGCCUUUUUCAUUUGUAGAUGUAUGUACUCAGACAUGUAAUGCUUCCGCUUGUUGCUUGAUUGCUCUGAAUGUUGGGUCAUGUGACCCCUGUUUGUAAUAAAUGCUAUGAUGGUUCUUUGAGCCUUAUCUAUAUGAGUUGUUGAGUUAUGUGGUGAUGCCAUGUUGUACAGCACAUACUUGCAUGUUAUGCGUACGUGUAAUGUGUAUUGCUAUGUGUGGGAUCUAACUAUCUAGUUGUUUAUCCUUAGUAGCCUCUCUUAUCGGGAAAUGUCUCCUAGUGCUUCCACCGAGCCCUGGUAGCUUGCUACUGCUCCGGAACACUUAGGUUGGCCGGCAUGUGUCCUUCUUCGUUCCUGUGUCUGUCCCUUCGGGGAAAUGUCACGCGGUGUCUACUGGAGUCCUGUUAGCCUGCUACAGCCCGGUUUACCGGAGUCCUGCUAGCCCAGUUGCUACAGCCCGGAUUCACUUGCUGAUGACCGACACGUUCGAUGUUGGGUCAUGUAUGCCUGUCCCUGUAAGUUAGUGCCACUUUGGGUUCACGACUAGUCAUGUCAGCCCGGGUUCUUUAUCAUAUGGAUGCUAGCGACAUUAUCAUAUACGUGUGCCAAAAGGCGCAAACGGUCCCGGGCAUGGUAAGGCGACACCCGUGGGAAUACCGUGCGUGAGGCCGCAAAGUGAUAUGAAGUGUUACAUGCUAGAUCGGUGUGGCAUAGAAUCGGGGUCCUGACAGCUUUGGUAUCAGAGCCUGACUACCUGUAGGAUUACCAAGCCAAACUGGUCGAAGUUGAGUCUAGAAAUUCUUUAGAUAUGUAAGGGAAUUGAUUGUGGGAAGGAACGUAAGGCUCUUUUUACUCCUUAUACCUCAUGGCCUUCUGAUCUGAGUCAUCCUAUCUUUCCUACGGGGUUAAGGAAUUAGGCAUUCUCUUCCGUCUAUCAGGAUCACGUGUUACUACUCCAUAGUCCCAUAGGAUUGGUUGAUCAGAGUCUUACCCCAGUUUCGAGUACUUCCGGUGUAGCCUGUUUAGUAGGAUCUUAGAACCUUGAGUGAUGAUGUUGAGUAUGUUACUACCCCAUCUUAGCAGGAUGUCUCAUUCUGAGCAUUUUACUGCCGUUAUGCCGCCGGAAUUGCCCUAGGAGUUCGAGAGAUACUAAUUUCCUUGUCCUACAUUCUGUAGCCUAUAGUUGAUGCUGAUUCCGUCCUUGGUUUCGUUUCUCAGGAUGUCAUCAGCUAAGAGAAGUUCCAUUGCUCGUAAACAGAACCGCGGAGAUGGUAGGGAUGAGGAUCCUCCCGACCAGCCUUCGUUGGCAGAAUUCAUGUUAGAAAUGGAGAGGAACAAGCGUGAGUCUAACCGCUUGUUGGCACGUAUCGAGGAGAACACCGCACAUCAGUUCAAAGGGCCUGCUAUCAUUCAUGACUUCAUUCGCUUGCACCCACCCACCUUUCAUCAUUCUAUUGAGCCACUCGAUUUAGAUGACUGGCUCCGUAGCAUCACUCAUAAGUUGCGUUCCGCAAACGUAUCUGAAGAUGACAAGGUCACCUAUGCCACGUUCCACCUGGAAGGUCCUGCUAGUCUUUGGUGGCAGAACUAUGAGGCUAUGCUUCCUGCUGGUCAGAUUCCUACCUGGAGAGAUUUCACUGAGGCUUUUCGCGAGCAUCACAUUCCUGAAGCCCUCAUCGAUCGCAAGAGAGAAGAGUUCUGUAGUUUCACCCAGAGUAAGAUGGCUGUUGAUGCUUAUAGUAGAGAGUUUGAGAACCUCGCCCGCUAUGCCACAGAAGAGGUGUCCACGGACGCCAAGAAGCAAGCUAGGUUCCGGAAGGGUCUCAACCCCAAGUUGCGUCGUGAUCUCCACCUGCAUCAUUGUGAUACAUUCCAAGCCCUUGUGAACAAGUCCAUUAAUGCAGAGACAACUCAGCUCACUUACGAGGAGUCUCAUAAGCACACCCGUGAUCUGGGAUCUUCCUCCGGUUCUAGUUCUUAGAAGCGCCGGAUUUGGGUUCGAAACUCCGCUCUUCCUUCCAGAUAUGCACCGAGACCAUCUUAUGUGGUGCCAUCCCCAGCUCAGUCAUAUGUUCCACCCAGGCCUAUUGGUAGACCGCUUGUCAGUGCGGGUCAACGUCCAACUUCAGGGACUUGCUUCACAUGCGGGAAGCCAGGACACUAUGCACGUGACUGCUCUCAGACUAGUUAUUCUCCACCCCAGCCCGAGAAGUCUGUUGACUAUGUUAAGCCAUCACGCAAGAUGAUCAAUGUUAAGUCAGCUCCCACUGAACGUGGGCGUGUGCAUCACGUCUCAGCUAAAGACGCUCAUGAUGAUCCGGAUGUCGUUCUUGGUACACUCCUUGUCAACUGUCAUCCAGCAUCAGUUUUGUUCGAUACUGGAGCGUCUCACUCCUUCAUUUCUGAAAGCUAUGCUAACUUGCACAACAUGUCUUUUUGUGUUAUGCCCUCCCCACUAGUCAUUCAAACUCCUGGAUCCAAAUGGCAAACUUCUAGUGUAAGCCAUGGUAACGGAAUCCUUGUAGACAGACUUGUAUUCCUUGCAUCUCUUAUAGCCCUCAAGUCUACAAAUAUUAACAUCAUCUUGGGUAUGGACUGGAUGACAGCUCAUUAUGCCAAGAUUGAUUGUUACGCCAGGUCCGUUCAGCUUACACACCCAUCUGGCCAGAUAGUCACUGUCUCCACUAGAGUUGCAAGGCGUCAACUCUAUUCUGUUAAUGCCAGCCCUCUUCCAGACCUUGAAGAUAUCCCGGUUGUCCAUGACUUUCCGGAUGUCUUUCCAGAAGAACUGCCAGGUGUUCCACCUGACAGAGAUGUAGAGUUCAUCAUAGAUCUUAUCCCAGGAACUGCUCCAAUCUCUAGGAGACCUUACAAGAUGGCACCCUUAGAACUAGCCGAGCUUAAGAAACAACUUGAUGAGUCCUUGCAAAAGGGUUUCAUCCGCCCUAGUUCUUCCCCUUGGGCUUGCCCCAUCCGCUUUGUCAAAAAGAAGGAUGGUACGGACCGGAUGGUUGUAGAUUAUCGUCCCGUUAAUUUGGUCACGAUAAAGAACAAGUAUCCGCUCCCCAGGAUCAACGACCUGUAUGAUCAGCUCGCUGGAUCCUCAGUCUUCUCCAAGAUGGAUUUGAGGUUAGGCUACCACCAAAUCAAGAUCAGAAAUGGGGACAUCCCCAAGACGGCCUUUGUCACUCGUUAUGGCCAGUACGAGUACACCGUCAUGUCCUUUGGUCUAACCAACGCUCCAGCUACUUUCUCCCGCUUGAUGAACUCGAUCUUCAUGGAGUACCUAGAUAAAUUUGUCGUGGUUUACCUCGAUGAUAUUCUUAUUUACUCGAAGAAUGAGGAAGAGCAUGUGGAACAUCUUAGACUUGUGUUAGAAAAACUCAGAGAGCACCGUCUUUAUGGCAAGUUCUCCAAGUGCGAAUUUUGGUUGCCAGAAGUGACCUACCUAGGCCACGUAAUCUCUGGUAAGGGCAUUGCUGUCAAUCCCGAGAGAGUUAAGGCCGUUCUCAAUUGGACUCCACCUGAAACAGUCAAACAAGUUAGGAGUUUCCUUGGUCUAGCCAGUUAUUGUCGCCGCUUUGUUGAAAACUUCUCUAAAGUGGCCAAACCUCUCACGGAACUUCUCAAGAAAGAUAAAAAGUUUGAGUGGUCCCCACAGUGUGAGUACAGUUUUCAGGAACUGAAAAGACGCCUGACUUCUGCUCCCAUACUUGUGCCACCGGAUUUCACUAAAGACUUUGUUAUCUAUUGUGACGCCUCACGACAGGGACUAGGUUACAUUCUUAUGUAGGAUCGUCAUGUGAUUGCCUAUGCAUAUCGGCAGUUGCAUCCACAUGAGGAGAAUUAUCCUUCACAUGAUCUAGAGCUUGCAGCCGUAGUCUAUGCACUAAAGACUGGCCUGGCGACAUUACCUCCUUGGUAAACGUUGCGAGAUCUACACUGAUCACCAGAGUCUCAAGUAUAUCUUCACCCAACCAGAUUUGAGCCUUAGGCAAAGACGUUGGUUGGAAGUGAUCUCAGAUUAUGAUCUAGGGAUUACUUACACUCCAGGCAAAGCUAAUGUCAUGGCUGAUGCGCUAAGUCAUAAAUCCUAUUGCAACAAUCUCAUGUUGCAGCAGGGCCAACCACUUCUGCAUGAGGAAUUCUGUAAGCUUAACCUUCACAUUGCUCCUCACGGAUUCCUUUCUACCUUGGUGGCGAAACCUACCCUCAAGGAUCAGAUCAUUACUGACCAGAAGUUUGAUAGGGGUGUUAUCCGCAUCAAGAGAAACAUUAAGAAGGGAGUUGGUGGAUGUUUUUCUAUGGAUGAUCGAGGUGUUGUUUUCUUUGGGAAUCCCUUGGUGGUUCCCAAAAAUCAACAUCUGCGACAAUUGAUUCUUAAGGAGGCGCAUGAAUCCCCUCUCACGAUUCAUCCCGGUAGUACGAAGAUGUAUGAAGACCUACGCCAAAGGUUCUGGUGGACUAGGAUGAAGAGAGAAAUCGCUGAGUUCAUUGCUAAAUGUGAUGUCUGUCGUCGCGUUAAGAUAGAGCAUCAAAGACCUACUGGCACUCUUCAGCCUCUAGCCGUUCCUGAGUGGAAAUGUGAUAAAGUUGGUAUGGACUUCAUCACCGGCUUUCCCAGGACCAAAAAAGGGAAUAAUGCUAUCUUCGUAGUCAUUGAUCGUCUCUCCAAAGUGGCUCACUUCCUUCCUGUUUGAGAGAGUAUCACUGCUAGUCAGCUCGGUGACUUAUAUAUUUCUCGAAUAGUGUCACUUCAUGGUGUUCCAUUAGAGAUCAAUUCAGACCGUGGCAGUCUUUUCACUUCUCAUUUCUGGGAGAGUUUCCAAACUGCCAUGGGAACCCAUCUUUCCUUCAGUACCGCUUUCCACCCUCAGUCGAGUGGUCAGGUGGAAAGGGUCAAUCAAAUCCUGGAAGACAUGCUUAGAGCUUGCGUUAUCUCAUUCGGUAUGGAUUGGGAGAAAUGUCUUCCUUUCGCCGAGUUUGCUUAUAACAAUAGCUAUCAAUCCAGUCUCAAGAAAGCUCCUUUUGAGGUUCUCUAUGGACGAAGAUGUCGAACACCUUUGAACUGGUCAGAAACCGGUGAAAGACAAUUCUUUGGACCGGACAUGAUCCAGGAGGCAGAAGAGCAAGUUCGCAUCAUUCGUGAGAAUUUGAAAACAGCCCAGUCUCGUCAAAAGAGCCAGUAUGAUCGUCAUCAUAAGGAUAUGACUUAUGAAGUUGGCGACAAAGCUUACCUUCGGGUUACUCCUUUGAAGGGUACCCAUCGUUUCGGUAUCAAGGGCAAGUUGGCUCCUCGUUACAUUGGUCCUUUUCGUAUUCUCGCUAAACGAGGAGAGGUUGCCUACCAGUUGGAACUACCCACACAUCUUUCUCGAGUUCAUGAUGUCUUCCACGUCUCUCAACUCAGGCGUUGCUUCUCGGAUCCUAUCCGCGGAGUGGACCACGAAACGCUUGAUCUCCAAGAUAACCUCACAUACCGAGAGUACCCGGUUCGCAUUCUUGAUCAAGCAAAGCGUGUUACCCGACGUCAGAAAAUCAAGUUUCUCAAGGUUCAGUGGUCUCAUCAUUCCGAGAGAGAAGCUACUUGGGAGCGAGAAGAUCGUCUUCGAUUGGAGUACCCCACCUUCUUUCCGUCGACCCCUGAAUCUCGGGACGAGAUUCUUUCAAGUGGGGGCGAGUUGUCACAUCCCUAGUUCUGGUAUGACCUAGACUAGCUAGCCAGUUGUGCAUCAUUUUUAAAUUCCUUUUAAUUUUGAAAUGAGGACUUGUGAAACCCUCAGAAUCAUCUCUGAAAAUGACCUGAAUAAACAAUUGUUCCAAAAAGGUCCAAGAAAAUGUUCAUGUUGCUCUCUGAAAAUAUUGGUCAGAGGUAAAAUUCAAACAAAUAUUUUAGGAGCUCAUGGAUAUUUAUUUUGGCCAUUUGGAUUAAUCCGAUAAUUAUUUGCAUUGGAUAUAUAUAUGUCAUAUAUAUAAUAUAUGUCCAAAAAUUAUACCAUUUGCUGAGGAGCUCUGGAAUAAUAUAGUUAGCUCCUGCAAAAAUUGGCAUAAGGUAAUAAAAUGAUUUAGUAUUUUAAUUAAAUCAAAACAAAUGUUAGAAAAAUAGAAAAAGAAAUAAAAGAGGAAAACCCUACCUGGACUUACCCGCGGCCUGGCACUGUGUGGCCUGCCGACGCCAGUCGUCCCCUUCCUCGCGCCAGGAGGACAGGGGCACGCGCCGGCGCACGCGGCCACGCGUCCGGCUGGGGCCACGUCUCCCCGCCACCUCCUGCUUCUCCCCCUCGUCGUCUGGAUGCCCCGGGGGACGCCACGCGCCCUCCCGACCACUCUCACUCUCCCCCUGUUCUCUCCCUCGCCGUUUCCCACCGUGCCCGAACGCUGCCGUCGCCGCCGCAUGCCGUUGCCAUAGCCACCGCCUCCCCCUCGCCUCUCCGACAUGCGCAGGAGUUCCGCCUCCUCGCUCUGAAGCUCUCCGCCGAGCCACACAAGCCGGAGCGCCCGUGGAGCCGUCGCCGUCGCCUUCAUCACCUCCGGCCGCCACAGAUCGCCUUCGCCGCUUCGUCGUCUCCAGCGCGUCCCCGGCCACAACAAGCAGCCCUACAAGUCCGCCGUGAGCCCUGCUUCUUCUCCCCUCUCUCCCCUGGUCGCGCUCUCCCUAUAGCUGUCGUCUCCACCAUGGCCGAACCUUCGCCGCCGUCGAGCUCGCCAUCGACGCAGCUCCAGUGACCAUUUGGUCACCCCGGCGAGUCCAACAAGCUUGUAAGGCCCCGUAGAGCAUCCCUAGCGCUUUGCUUCUCUCGUCUUCGAGCUCCAAAUGCGCUCUUGUGCACGACCGAACUCCGGCGGCCGCAACCGAGCUCGCCGCCGCCGACUCCGGCCAUCCCAGGCCUAGCCACGGCCACCGGCCGACGCGCCAUCGAGCUGGCUCUCCAACGCGCCUAGCCGCGCGUCAUUUGGAGCACCACAGAGGAAACCCGGGGCACAAGUACGCCGCGGAUCUCGCCGGCAACUAACCGCCGGCGGGUUUGACUUGUUUGACCUGGGGUUUGACCCCCCAGGGUCACUGACGCGUGGGCCAUGCCCCUGUUUAGUUUAGGUGUUAGUUUAGUUAGCGCUAAUUAACUCAGUUAAUUAGUUGUCUCUCUGACAGGUGGGCCCAGGCCCUAAUUAACCUAGGUUAGUGCUAACCUAACACUAACUAACUCUGUUAGUUAGAUGUUACACUGACAUGUCGGUCCCAGCCGUCAGGUUUGACCUGGUCAGCACCGUUGACCUGCUGACGCAGGCAUGACAUCAUGCUGGCGCAAUAAUAUAUUUUCUGGAAUUAAAAUAAAUCAGGAAAUUCCAGAAAAUGUUCAAAACUUCAAAAAUUCAUAUCAAUUCAACCGUAGCUCAGAUUGAAAUAAAUUAUAUAUGAAAAAUUAUCAGAAAAAUGCAACCUAUUCAUCUGUACCACUUUCAUGCAUGAAAAACCAAGUUAUACCUGCUGGAUAAGUGAAACACUAAAAUGGCUUAUAUGAAGAGCUUAUUUGGAGAUGCAUUUGAACCUUUGGUUCAAAUGGACUUCAAACCAAAUGAAUACUAGUUGCAUUAGCUCAAACAGCAUCACAUCUUCAUGCCAUGUUCAUGCAUCAUAUUGUUGCAUAUGCUUGUGUAUUGAUUGUUGGCACCGUUCCUUCUCGAUAGGUCCUGCUCCGGAGACCGUUCCAGAGUACCUGUCUGAGGAGCAGUGCCCCCUUGUUGAUCUACCAGGCAAGCAAACCCCCUUGUUCAUUCCGAUACAAUCCUACUCUCUCGCUCCUGCUAUCAGUUAUUGCAUUAGGACAACAACGAUUCAUCUGCUACUUUGUGCUGCGGUAGUUGAACCCAUUCCUCUGCAUGACCCGUCAUUGCCACAGUAAAUAGUUGAAACCCACUAGCAUGUGUAGGAGUUGAUUGAGCCAUGUUGUGUUCCUACCAUGCUAUGCCUGCUAUUGCUUAGAGUUGUGUCAGGUCUGGUUCAUUGGGAAUGAAUUGGAGUGUUACGAUAUGUUCUGAUGCUGAGAGUUAAGUGUGUGAACACGAUUUGGUAAAGGUAGCGGUGAGAGGCCAUGUAGGAGUACAUGGUGGGUUGUCUCACUGGAACCGUCCUUAAGCGCUGAGUUCUGUGUAUGUUGUCCAAUGACCAGCUACUACCACACAUUGGAAUGCUUAACUGCCCCUCUCGACUUAUUAACCAACUUGGUCUCUGUCCAGGAGUCGCAACUAGUUUUUGGUGUUUGUAGGUAGUGUUAGUAGUCUACCAAGUGGCACCCGGCCAGGUGGGCUUGGGACAGACUAGGCACAGUGGCACGGUGUACCAAGUGGCACCCGGAUGGUGGGCUUGGGAACCCUGCUCACAUCGUUUGGGGCCGUGAGCGACACCCUGGCCGGAUCUCGUUGCGGAUGGAACCCGAAUAGGCGAUAAACCUGGACUAGAGUCUUGUGUGGUUAGUCAGGUCGUGCCCGACACCCUCGCCAGGCUUCCGCUUGAAGGUUGCCGAGAUACAUGACGAGUACAUGGCGGUAAGUGGCGAGAGCGUGUGUGAAGAAGUACACCCCUGCAGGGUUAACAUGAUCUAUUCGAAUAGCCGGGUCCGCGGUUAUGGACUUCUUGGAUGCUUACAUGGUACAUAGACAACUUGUAGUGGAUACUCUAAAAUGCUCAAGACAAGUGUGAGUACUAUGAAUGGCCUUCUCGUAGGGAGACGGGGAUGAAUCCAUAGUAGUGUAUUGCGUGGUGAUUAGUGGACUCGUGUGUGCCAUAUCACCUCAAAGAAGUUCUGGUACUCGUAGAACAGGAUAGCCACAGAGUCAAAGCUGGCUUGCUGCAACUAAACCCCACAUUACCCUCUUGAUACAAAUGCAUGUAUGAUAGGAUCUGAUGUAAGUCUUGCUGAGUACCUUUGUACUCAUGUUGCUUUAUUUAUGCUUUUGCAUCGGAGACUUUGGUCUUACUAGUGUUCUCGUGGACUUCAACGAGUAGCUUGUACCUCAGCUACGAUCUUGAUCGGAUGUUGUAGAUAGCCAGACUCUUCAGCCUUUUUCAUUUGUAGAUGUAUGUACUCAGACAUGUAAUGCUUCCGCUUGUUGCUUGAUUGCUCUGAAUGUUGGGUCAUGUGACCCCUGUUUGUAAUAAAUGCUAUGAUGGUUCUUUGAGCCUUAUCUAUAUGAGUUGUUGAAUUAUGCGGUGAUGCCAUGUUGUACAGCACAUACUUGCAUGUUAUGCGUACGUGUAAUGUGUAUUGCUAUGUGUGGGAUCUGACUAUCUAGUUGUUUAUCUUUAGUAGCCUCUCUUACCGGGAAAUGUCUCCUAGUGCUUCCACCGAGCCCUGGUAGCUUGCUACUGCUCCGGAACACUUAGGUUGGCCGGCAUGUGUCCUUCUUCGUUCCUGUGUCUGUCCCUUCGGGGAAAUGUCACGCGGUGUCUACCGGAGUCCUGUUAGCCUGCUACAGCCCGAUUUACCGGAGUCCUGCUAGCCCAGUUGCUACAUCCCGGAUUCACUCGCUGAUGACCGACACGUUCGAUGCUAGGUCAUGUAUGCUUGUCCCUGUAAGUUAGUGCCACUUUGGGUUCACGAAUAGUCAUGUCAGCCCAGGUUCUUUAUCAUAUGCAUGCUAGCGACAUUAUCAUAUACGUGUGCCAAAAGGCGCAAACGGUCCCGGGCAUGGUAAGGCGACACCCGUGGGAAUACCGUGCGUGAGGCCACAAAGUGAUAUGAAGUGUUACAUGCUAGAUCGGUGUGGCAUAGAAUCGGGGUCCUGACAGGUUUACCCCCAGUUUGCGGAUUGUGUCCUGAUAUAACAGGUUUAGGUCACUGUUGCCGUCGAUUAGGACUUGUGUAUAUUGGAGUCUGUCAAUAAUCGAAUCCAAGACCAAGUCAGUCCAGCCUGUGUUCCGGACCCCUCUGGAGUAAUCAUGAUGAUCGAAGAUGAUUGGUUGUAACAACCAGUGGCGGUGCUCCUCUGGGGCAGGCCGUAUGGUGCGUAUCUUCGCAAGCGCCGUUCUGUUUUUCCCUUUUGUCAUCUGAAGUGAAUUUACUGUUUUGACUUCGCGUGGGAACUUCUUUUGUUCUCUGGUGUUCUGCUUGUGGGGUGUGUCGUCAUCCUCGUUUGGUGUGUCGAGCCCCUUGUGUGCGGCGUGAAGUUUGCCGGACUGCUUGAAGACCCAACAAUCUCUGUAGGUGUGGUUUGCAGGUCUCCCGGGAGUACUGUGGAUUUGAAAUAUUUUGUCCAAGAUUUUGUUGGGGUUAGAUAGCUCGUCCCUGUCAUCUUUGGGGGGUGGCUUUUUCUGAUUUGCCGAGAGCUUUUGAAUCCGGCAUUGACUGUCGUGCUCAUUGGGCUGUUAUCCUUGAUCCGGCGCUGUUCUUUGUUACGGCACGGUUUCCCAUUUCCAUCUCUGAGUUCGGAUGUACUUGGGUCGCUGGUGCUGCUUCUUGCCAACCAGCUAUCCUCUCCUGCGCAAAAGCGGGUCAUGAGGCUUGUUAAUGCGGCCAUUGUUCUUGGCUUUUCUUGGCCGAGGUGUCUGACGAGCCAUUCGUCUCGAACGCUAUGUUUGAAAGCUGCUAGGGCCUCGGCGUCCGGACAGUCGACUAUCUGAUUCUUUUUAGUAAGAAAUCUGUUCCAGAGUUCCCGGGCUGACUCUCCGGGUUGGUGAGUUAUAUGACUCAGAUCAUCUGCAUCCGGAGGUCGGACAUAGGUCCCUUGAAAAUUUGCCCGGAAAGCAUACUCGAGCUCUUCCCAACUUCCCAUGGUGUUUUCGGGAAGACUUUUAAGCCAAUGCCGGGCUGGCACUUUGAGCUUAAGGGGUAAGUAUUUUAUGGCGUGAAGGUCAUCUCCUCUGACCAUGUGUAUGUGGAGGAUAUAAUCCUCAAUCCAGACUCUAGGGUCUGUUGUUCCAUCGUAUGCUUCUAUGUUUACGGGCUUGAAUCCUGCUAGAAAUUCAUGAUCCAGUACCUCAUCGGUAAAACAUAGGGGAUGUGCGGCGCCCCUGUAUGUUGAUGUGCCGCGAUGUUCGGAUAUUUUUUGCGUUGCAUUGCUCACUAGAGCUUGCUUUCUUGGCCCAUAGAUGGAUCUGGUUGGACCGGUUUUUUGAUGCGAAUCCUUGGGCGGAUCGCGUGCCGUAUUGAGUGCGGCGCCCUUUGUCGCUUGAGAUCGAUCGUGGGGUCAUCUAUCCGACCUGGUGGCUUCCUUGUUUUUUGACUGUGGGGCCUCUAAGGCCUCUUCAUCAAAUUCCGGUAGUAAUUUCCGCUUCGGAUAGCUCUUUGUGUGAUGACUGUUGCCGUACUUGUGUGCGGUAUUGAGUACUUUCCCCCAUCUAAUUCUGAGUGCAUCUUCCGCUGCCUUGAGCUUCCGCUUCUGCUUUUUCAGGCUACGUGUAGUGGCGACGAGCCUUUGGUGGAGGUUCUGGUGUUCGAGCGACUUGUCCGGCGUGAGGUCGUCCGGACUAUUAUCUUUCCCGGGGACGGAUUGUUCGGUUUGUCCGCCCUGUUUGGACGGUUGCUCAAUGGCAUGUUCGUCUUCCGUUGAUUCGCCCUGCUCUAUGGCUGGGUCUCUGUCAAGGUGGGGCUUGGCGCGGUGCUUACGCCGCCGCUUUGAUUGUUUUUCGAGGGAGCGAUCCCUGGUUGCGCCCUUUUGAUCCUCGUCGUUGCUUCUUUCAGGUGUGUCCACCAUGUAUACAUCAUGUGAUGAGGUGGCUUUCCAGUGCCCUAUAGGUGUUGGUUCUUGGUCGUCUCCUUCAUCGGCGUCCAUACCGUCGAUGUCUUUGGAGUCGAAGUCGAGCAUGUCGGUUAGAUCGUCGAUAGUGGCUACAAAGUGGGUGGUGGGUGGGUUUCGAAUUUCUUUGUCGUCCGCAUCCCAACCAUGCUGACCGUAGUCCGGCCAGGGCUCUCCUGACAAAGAGAGAUACUUUAGUGAAUUCAGGAUAUCGCCAAAGGGAGAGUGCUGAAAGACGUCCGCGGCGGUGAACUCCAUGAUCGGAGCCCAAUCGGGUUCGUUCGGAAGGGGUGCGGAAGAUUCGGAGUCUGGAACGAAGUACGGCACCUUGGAGUCACGGGCCUCGCGAAGGACUAGGCUAGUAUUUGGCUCUAUCGCCGUAGAGAUUGCGGCUCCUGGGACGGCGUCCAACCGUCCGUCUCCGACUGCCGCAGUCGACUCCGAGCUAAUGGUCGGAGCGGGCACCUGAUCGGUGCUCUGGGCGCUGUCCGGCGGCACAGCUAGAUCAUGCUCAUCGUGACAGUGCGGCGCACUCGGCCGUGGCUUGAAUCCAUCGGAGAUCAAGUCCCCGCGGAUGUCGGCCGUGUAGUUUAAGCUUCCAAACCUGACCUGAUGGCCAGGGGCGUAGCUUUCGAUCUGCUCCAGAUGGCCAAGCGAAUUGGCCCGCAGUGCGAAGCCGCCGAAUAUGAAGAUCUGUCCGGGGAGAAAAGUAUCACCCUGGACCGCGUCGUGGUUGAUGAUCGAAGAAGCCAUCGGGCCUAAAGGUGAGGACACAUAGGAACUCUCAAUGAAAGCACCAAUGUCGGUGUUAAAAUCGGCGGAUCUCGGGUAGGGGGUCCCGAACUGUGCGUCUAAGCGAAUGGUAACAGGAGACAAGGGACACAAUGUUUUUACCCAGGUUCGGGCCCUCUCGAUGGAGGUAAAACCCUACUCCUGCUUGAUUAAUAUUGAUGAUAUGGGUAGUACAAGAGUUGAUCUACCACGAGAUCAGAGAGGCUAAACCCUAGAAGCUAACCUAUGGUAUGAUUGUUGUUCGUCCUACGGACUAAAACUGUCUGGUUUAUAUAGACACCGGAGAGGGCUAGGCUUACAUAGAGUCGGUUACAAUGGGAGGAGAUCUUCAUAUCAUAUCGCCAAGCUUGCCUUCCACGCCAAGGAAAAUCCUAUCCGGACACGGGACUAAGUCUUCAAUCUUGGAUCUUCAUAGUCUGGGAGUCCGACCAAAGGUCAUAGUCCGGCCAUCUGGACACCUCCUAAUCCAGGACUCCCUCAGUAGGAGUUAGUCAAUGUAUGGAGUAAUAGUAGUAGAUGCAGGCAGGAAUCGGUCUACUUGACACGGACGUGAUGCCUAUAUUUCAUAAUCAUUGCCUUGGAUAUCGUCAUAACUUUGCGCUUUUCUAUCAAUUGCUCAACAGUAAUUUGUUCACCCACCGUAAUAAUUAUGCUAUCUUCAGAGAAGCCACUAGUGAAACCUAUGGCCCCCGAGUCUACUCUUUAUCCUAUAAGUUUCCAAUCUACUUUAUUUUGCAAUCUUUACUUUUCAAUCUAUAUCAUAAAAAUACCAAAAAUAUUUAUCUUAUCAUAUUAUCUCUAUCAGAUCUCACUUUUGCAAGUGGCCGUGAAGGGAUUGACGACCCCUUUAUCGUGUUGGUUGAGAGGUUCUUGUUUGUUUGUGUAGGCGUGAGGGACUUGUGUGGAGCCUCCUACUGAAUUGAUACCUUGGUUCUAAAAAACUGAGGGAAAUACUUACGCUACUUUGUUGCAUCACCCUUUCCUCUUCAAGGGAAAAACCAACGCAUGCUCAAGAAGUAGCAAGAAGGAUUUCUGGCGCCGUUGUUGGAGAGGUCUUCGCUCAAGUCAAGACAUACCAAGUACCCAUCACAAACUCAUCUCCCUCGCAUUACAUAAUUUGCCAUUUGCCUCUCAUUUUCCUCUCCCCCACUUCACCCUUGCCGUUUUAUUCGCCCUUCUUCCGUUUGAUCUUAUGUUUUCUUGUCUCUCCAUGUGCCUACUAUGUGCUUCCAUCUUUGCUUGCUAAAAAUCUACUGAUAAGGAUCCGCUUAAAGUGUUCUACUUGGAUCAUCUUCAAUCCUUAUGCGCUCGUGCUGAAACCCCAACUAGCCUAGUUGAUGGAAAAUCUUUAGAUGAGCAUGCUCAUUUUGUGCGUCAUCGUUUGUCUGAAAAAGGGAAGCUCUUAUGGUAUCACAUAAGUAGUUUGAUUUGCUAUGAUUGGAAUCUUUGUGAAAUUUAUGAUUAUACUUGUUGCUCUAAGAACCCUAAAAAACACUUUCCCUACCUAUGUGAGCUUAAUGAAAAUGAAAUCUUAUCUUCUUAUGCAAUGGGUGUUUAUAGUUACUAUGAUGUUAAACAAAUUGAAGAAUUUCUUGCUUUUAAGGGUUCUUAUGAAGUUGCUUCUUUGAUGGAAAAGUAUGAUAUUACUCUCUACGAAUCUGAAAAUUAUGACAUACUUAAAUAUUGCUAUGAAAACUAUGCUCAUAAUGCCUAUGUCAAAGAAUUUAUUGAGAGAAUGACUGUUGCUUUGGAAGAAAAUAAUGAUAUGCGUGAAUCUAUAGAUAAUGAUUCCAUUGAUUUGAUCGAAAUAUCCCUUGAUGAACAUGAUGCUUGCUAUUCUUGUGGCCAGGAUGCUAAUAUUUAUGAAGAUGAAUUUGCUAUAGUUCCUUAUGUUAAAUAUGAGAUCGUUGCUAUUGCACCCAUACUUGGUAGUUCCUUCAAUGAAAAGCAUGAUUGCAAUGAUGUUAAUAUAAAUUCUCUUGAUGUCAAUUGUGCUAAUAAUAUGCAAAACCCUAAGCUUGGGGAUGCUAGUUUUGCUAUGUCUACUACUUGUUGCAAUGAUCAUGAUUGGGGUGAUUCUUCUUUUGGUCUUGACAAUUUAUUUAAGCCCCGUGAUGAAUAUGAGAUUGAUAAUAGUGUUGGCAAUAAUAUUGGAAGUGGGUUUGGAGAGGUCAUGACUUUAGUUAAUGUUAAUCCCACUAUUUAGGAAGAGUGUCAACUUUGCAUGCAUGUGGAUCGUGUUGAAAAUAUUUUAUGUGAUAGCUAUUUUGUUGAAUUUGCUUAUGAUCCCAUGUGUAAUUAUUAUGAGAGGAAAAUAUGAUUGUAGAAAUUUUCAUGUUACAAAAUUUCCUCUCGUUAUGUUGAGAUUGCUAUUGUUCCUUUCUUCUUCCUUUCAUAUGUUAGUUUUUAUUUGCCUUGAUAAUUUGUUUGCUUAUAAAAUACCUAUGUAUAGGAAUUAUGUUAGACUUAAGUAUGUUUGUCACAUGUUUUAUGAUGCUCUCUUUGUGCUUCAGUUCUUGUCUUUCAUGUGAGCAUCAUUGAAAAUUUAUGCCUAGCUAGGGGCGUUAAACGAUAGCGCUUGUUGGGAGGCAACCCAAUUUUAUUUUUGUUCCUUGCUUUUUUCUCCUGUUUAGUAAUAAAUAAUUCAUCUAGCCUCUGUUUAUAUGUGGUUUUAUGUUUUAAUUAGUGUUUGUGCCAAGUAGAACCUAUAGGAUCAUCUUGGGUGAAAGUUAAUUUGAUCUUGCUGAAAAACAGAAACUUUUGCGCUUACGAGAAAAAAAUCUAAUAAAUCACAGAAACGUGAUUUUGAGUUGAUUAUUUUUGAAGUAGAUCAGUAGGAAACAUACCUAGGACUCCCUAUUUUGGUACGAUUUGUAGAGUUCUAGAAGUAUUUGAAAGUUAUAGAUUGCUACAAACUAUUCUGUUUUUGACAGAUUAUGUUUUUCCUGUGUUGUUUGCUUAUUUUGAUGAAUCUAUGGCUAGUAUCGGGGGGUAUGAACCAUAGAGAAGUUGGAAUACAGUAGGUUUAACACCAAUAUAAAUAAAGAAUGACUUCAUUACAGUAACUUAAGUGGUGGUUUUCCUUUCUUGCACUAACAGAUCUCAUGAGAUUUCCUGUUGAGUUUUGUGUUGUGAUGUUUUGAAGUUUUGGGUAAAGAUUUGAUGGACUAUGGAAUAAGGAGUGGCAAGAUAAUAAGCUUGGGUAUUCCCAUGCCCCCCCCCAAGAUAAUUCAAGGACAACCAAAAGCCUAAGGUUGGGGAUGCCCCGGAAGGCAUCCCCUCUUUCGUUUUCGUCUAUCGGUAACUUUACUUGGAGCUAUAUUUUUAUUCACCACAUGAUAUGUGUUUUUCUUGGAGCGUCUUGUAUGAUUUGUGUCUUUGAUUUUUAGUUUACCACAAUCAUCCUUGCUAUACACACCUUUUGGGACAGACACACAUGAUUCGGAAUUUAUUAGAAAUACUCUAUGUGCUUCACUUUUAUCUUUUGUGCUAUACAAUUUUGCUCUAGUGCUUCACUUAUAUCUUUUUAGAGCACGGCGGUGGUUUUAUUUUGUAGAAAUUAUUGAUCUCUCAUGCUUCACUUAUAUUAUAUUUAGAGUCUUUUAGAACAGCAUGGUAUUUGCUAUGGUUAUAAAAUUGGUCCUAAUAUGAUGGGCAUCCAAGUUGGGUAUAAUAAAAACUAUCAUAGAAAGUGAAUUGAAUACUAUGAUCAACUUGAUGCUUGAUAAUUGUUUUGAGAUAUAAAGGUGGUCAUAUUAGAGUCAUGCUAGUUGAGUAAUUCUGAAUUUGAGGAAUACUUGUGUUGAAGUUUGUGAUUCCCGUAGCAUGCAUGUAUCGUGAACCGUUAUGUGAUGAAGUUGGAGAAUGAUUUAUUUUUUGAUUGUCUUCCUUAUGAGUGGCCGUCGGGGACGAGCGAUGGUCUUUUCCUACCAAUAUAUCCCCCUAGGAGCAUGCGCAGAGUACCUUGUUUCAAUAACUUGUUGAUUUUUGCAAUAAGUAUAUGAGUUCUUUAUGACUAAUAUUGAGUCCAUGGAUUAUACGCACUCUCACCCUUCCACCAUUGCUAGCCUCUCUCGUGCUGUGCAACUUUCGCCGGUACCAUACACCCACCAUAUAACUUCCUCAAAACAGCCAUCAUACCUACCUAUUAUAGCAUUUCCAUAGCCAUUCCGAGAUAUAUUGCCAUGCAACUUACCAACGUUCCGUUUAUUAUGACACGCUCCAUCAUUGUCAUAUUGCUUUUGCAUGAUCAUGUAGUUGACAUCGUAUUUGUGGCAAGGCCACCUUUAUAAUUCUUUCAUACAUGUCACUCUUGAUUUAUUGCAUAUCCCGGUACACCACCGGAGGCAUCCACAUAGAGUCAUAUUUUGUUCUAAGUAUUGAGUUGUAAUUCUUGAGUUGUAAGUAAAUAAAAGUGUGAUGAUCUUCAUUAUUAGAGCAUUGUCCCAAGUGAGGAAAGGAUGAUGGAGACUAUGAUUCCACCAUAAGUCGGGAUGAGACUCCGGACUUUAUUGAAAAAUAAAAGAGGCCAAAGAAGCCAAAAUAAAAAAAGGCCAAAGAAGCCCACCAAAAUAAAAAAUGAGAUAAAAUGAGAGAAGGGACAAUGUUACUAUCCUUUUACCACACUUGUGCUCCAAAGUAGCACCAUGAUCUUCGUGAUAGAGUGUCUCCUCUGUUGUCACUUUCAUAUACUAGUGGGGAUUUUUCAUUAUAGAACUUCGCUUGUAUAUUCCAAUGAUGGGCUUCCUCAACAUGCCCUAGGUCUUCGUGAGCAAGCAAGUUGGAUGCACACCCACUUAGUUUAUUUUGUUGAGCUUUCAUACACUUAUAGCUCUAGUGCAUCCGUUGCAUGGCAAUCCCUACUCACUCACAUUGAUAUCUAUAAUGGGAAUCUCCAUAGCCCGUUGAUACACCUAGUUGAUGUGAGACUAUCUUCUCCUUUUUGUCUUCUCCACAACCACCAUUCUAUUCCACAUAUAGUGCUAUGUCCAUGGCUCACGCUCAUGUAUUGCGUGAAAGUUGAAAAAGUUUGAGAACAUCACAGUAUGAAACAAUUGCUUGGCUUGUCAUCGAGGUUGUGCAUGAUUUAAAUAUUUUGUGUGAUGAAGAUAGAGCAUAACCAGACUAUAUGAUUUGUAGGGAUAGCUUUCUUUAGCCAUGUUAUUAUGAGAUGACAUGAUUGCUUUGUUAGUAUGCUUGAAGUAUUAUUGUUUUCAUGUCAAUAUGAACUUUUAUCUUGAAUCAUUUGGAUAUGAACAUUCAUGACACAAUAAAGAAAAUUACAUUGAGAAAUAUGCUAGGUAGCAUUCCACAUAAAAAAUUCUGUUUUUAUCAUUUACCUACUCGAGGACAAGCAGGAAUUAAGCUUGGGGAUGCUUGAUACGUCUCCAACGUAUCUAUAAUUUUUGAUUGUUCCAUGCUAUUAUAUUACCCGUUUUGGAUGUUUAUGGGCAUUACUAUACACUUUUAUAUCAUUUUUAGGAUUAACCUACUAACCGGAGGCCCAGCCCAAAUUGUUUUUUUUCUUAUUUCAGUGUUCCGCGGAAAAGGAAUAUCAAACGGAGUCCAAACGAACUGAAACCUUCGGGAGCGAUCUUUUUGGAACAAACGCAAUCUAGGAGACUUGGAGUGGACAUCAAGAAGCAGUCGAUGCGGCCACGUGGGUGUAGGGCGCGCUCUAGGGGGGCGCCCCCCUGCCUCAUGGGCCCCCCGUGGCUCCCCUGACCUAUCUCCUUCGCCUAUAUAUAUCUAUGUACCUCGAAAACAUCCAUGAGCACCAUGAGAAACUAUUUCCACCGCCGCAACCUUCUGUACCCGUGAGAUCCCAUCUUGGAGCCUUUUCCGGCGCUCCGCCGGAGGGGGAAUCCAUCACGGAGGGCCUCUACAUCAUCACCAAGGCCUCUCCGAGGAGUUCUGAGUAUUUUACCACAGACCUUCGGGUCCAUAGUUAUUAGCUAGAUGGAUUCUUCUCUCUCUUUGAAUCUCAAUACAAAGUUCUCAUCGAUCUUCUUGGAUAUCUAUUCGAUGUAACUCUUUUUGCAGUGUGUUUGUCGAGAUCCGAUGAAUUGUGGGUUCAUGAUCAAGUUUAUCUAUGAGAAAUAUUUGAAUCUCCUCUGAAUUCUUUUAUGUAUGAUUGGUUAUCUUUGCAAGUCUCUUCGACUUAUCAGUUUUGUUUGGCCUACUAGAUUGAUCUUUCCUGCAAUGGGAGAAAUGCUUAGCUUUGGGUUCAAUCUCGCGGUGUCCUUUCCCAGUGACAGUAGGGGCAGUAAGUCCUGUAUUGCAUUGUUGCCAUCGAGGAUAAAAAGAUGGGGCUUACAUCAUAUUGCUUGAGUUUAUCCCUCUACACCAUGUCAUCUUACUUAAUGCGUUACUCUGUUCUUAUGAACUUAAUACUCUAGAUGCAUGCUGGAUAGAGGUUGAUGUGUGGAGUAAUAGUAGUAGAUGCAGGUAGGAGUCGGUCUACUUGUUGCGGACGUGAUGCCUAUAUACAUGAUCAUGCCUAGAUAUUCUCAUAACUAUGCACUUUUCUAUCAAUUGCUCGACAGUAAUUUGUUCACCCACCAUAAUAAUUAUGCUAUCUUGAGACAAGACAUUAGUGAAACGUAUGGCCCCCGUGUCUACUAUUUAUCAUAUAAGUUUCCAAUCUACUUUAUUUUGCAAUCUUCAUUUUUCAAUCUAUAUCAUAAAAUAGCAAAAAUGUUUAUCUUAUCAUAUUAUCUCUAUCGGAUCUCACUUUUGCAAGUGGCCGUGAAGGGAUUGACAACCCCUUUAUCGCGUUGGUUGCGAGGUUCUUGUUUGUUUGUGUAGGCGCACGGGACUUGUGUGGAGCCUCCUACUGGAUUGAUACCUUGGUUCUCAAAAACCGAGGGAAAUACUUACGCUACUUUGCUGCAUCACCCUUUCCUCUUCAAGGGAAAAACCAACGCAUGCUCAAGAGGUAGCAGGAACAUGUUUCUCGGAUGAGCUACCUUCCAAAUUGAGAGUAGGUACAAUUACCUCAUCAAGUGUUACUUUCCUCCCACUCACUUCUUUUGAGAGAAACUCCUUCUCUAGAAAUGUUCCGUUCUUAGCAACAAAAAUCUUUCCUUUGGACUUGUGGUAGCAGAUGUAACCAAUUGUCUCCUUAGGGUAUCCUAUAAAGACACACUUCUUCGAUUUGGGUUCGAGCUUAUCAAGCUGAAUCCUUUUGACAUAAACAUCGCAUUCCCAAACUUUAAGAAACGACGGCUUAGGUUUGUUGCCAAACCAAAGUUCAUAUUGUGUCGUCUCACCAGACUUUGGUGGUGCCUUGUUUAAGGUGAAUGCAGCUGUCUCUAAUGCAUAACCCCAAAUCGAUAGUGGUAAAUUAGUAAGAGACAUCAUAAAUCGCACCAUAUCUAAUAAAGUGUGGUUAUGACGUUCGAACACACCAUUACGCUGUGGUGUUCGAGGUGGCGUGAGAUGUGAACCUAUUCCACAUUGUUUUAAAUGAAGGCCAAACUUGUAACUCAAAUAUUCUCCUCCACGAUCAGAUCGUAGAAACUUUAUUUUCUUGUUACGAUGAUUCUCCCGUUGAGGGAGUCCUGGAUUAGGGGGUGUCCGGAUGACCGGACUAUAACCUUUGGCCGGACUCCUGGACUAUGAAGAUACAAGAUUGAAGACUUCGUCCCGUGUCCGGAUGGGACUUUCCUUGGCGUGGAAGGCAAGCUUGGCGAUACGGAUAUGUAGAUCUCCUCCCAUUGUAACCGACUCUGUGUAACCCUAGCCCUCUCCGGUGUCUAUAUAAACCGGAGGGUUUUAGUCCGUACGACAAACAACAAUCAUACCAUAGGCUUGCUUCUAGGGUUUAGCCUCUCUGAUCUCGUGGUAGAUCUACUCUUGUACUACCCAUAUCAUCAAUAUUAAUCAAGCAGGAGAAGGCUCGAACCUGGGUAAAGACAUCGUGUCCUUUGUCUCCUGUUACCAUCCGCCUAGACGCACAGUUCGGGACCCCCUACCGGAGAUCCGCCGGUUUUGACACCGACAUUGGUGCUUUCAUUGAGAGUUCCUCUGUGUCGUCAUCUUUAGGCCCGAUGGCUCCUCCGAUCAUCAACAACGAUGCAGUCCAGGGUGAGGCUUUUCUCCCCGGACAGAUCUUUGUAUUCGGUGGCUUAGCACUGCGGGCCAAUUCGCUUGGGCAUCUGGAGCAGGUCGUAAGCUACGCCCCUGGCCAUCAGGUCAGAUUUGAAAGUUUGAACUACACAGCUGACGUCCGCGGAGACUUGAUCUUCGACGGGUUCGAGCCACAACCGAGCGCGCCGCACUGUCAUGAUGGGCAUGAUCUAGUUCUGCCGCCGAACAGUGCCCAGGAGGUUGCACCACUGUCCUCUCCGACCCUUAGCUCAGAGCCGACUGCGCCAAUCGAGGACGGGUGGUUGGACACCACCUCGAGGGCUGCAAUCUCUACGGCGAUCGAGCCGAACACCAGCCUUGUCCUCUGCGAAGCCCAUGAUUCCAAGGUGCCGGACUCCUCCCCGGACUCCGAACCUUCCACGCCCCUACCAAUCGAAUCCGAUUGGGCGCCGAUCAUGGGGUUCGCUGCCACGGACAUCUCUCAAUACUCGCCCUUCGGCGACAUUCUGAAUUCACUAAAGUCUCUCUCUUUAUCAGGAGAGCGCUGGACGGACUAUGGUCAGCAAGGAUAGGAUGCGAAUAACGAAGAAAUUCAAAGCCCACCCACCACCCACUUCGUAGCCACUGUCGAUAAUUUAACCGACAUGCUCGACUUCGACUCCAAGGACAUCGACGGUAUGGACGACGAUGUAGGAGAAGAACAAGAACCAGCGCCUAUUGGGCACUGGACAACCACCUCAUCUCACGAUGUAUACAUGGUGGGCACACCUAAAAGAAACGACGACGAGGAACAAAGGGACGCAACGAGGGAUCGUUCCCUCGAAAAGCAGUCAAAGCGGCGGCAUAAGCGCCGCUCCAAACCCCACCUCGACAGAGAUAGCAGCCAUACAGACCCAGCCACAAAGCAGGGCGAACCGGCGAACGACGAACACGCCAUCGAGCAACCGUCCAAACAGGGCAACUUGGGUAAACAAACCGAACAACCCGUCUCCGGCAAAGAUAAUAGUCCGGCGACCUCACGCCGGACAAGUUGCUGGAGCAGAAGAACCUCCACAAAAGGCUCGUCGCCACUGCGAGUAGCCUUAAAAAGCAGAAGCAGAAGCUCAAAACAGCGGAAGAUGCACUCAGAAUUAGAUGGGGCAAAGUACUCAACACCGCAGACAAAUACGGCGACAGUCGCCACACAAAGAGCUAUCCGAAGCGAAAAUUACUGCCGGAAUUUGAUGAGGAGGCCUUAGAGCCCCCGCAAUCAAAAAAUAAGGAAGCCACCAGGUCGGAUAAACAACCCCAUGGCCAACAUAGAGCAGCAAAUGGGGACGCACACAAGAUGGCACGCGAUCCGCACAAGGAUUCGCAUCAAAAAGACGGCCCUGCCAGAUCUAUCUACGGGCCAAGAAAGCAAGCUCUAGUAAGCAACGCAACGCAACAAGUAUCCGAACAUCACGGCACACCCAAAUAUAGGGGUGCCGCACACCCCCUAUGUUUCACCGAUGAGGUGCUGGACCAUGAAUUUCCAGCGGGAUUCAAGACCGUAAACACGGAGGCAUACGAUGGAACAACAGACCCUGGAGUCUGGAUUGAGGAUUAUAUCCUCCACAUACACAUGGCUAGAGGAGAUGACCUCCACGCCAUAAAAUAAUUACCCCUCAAGCUCAAAGGGCCAGCCCGGCAUUGGCUUAAAAGCCUUCCCGAAAACACCAUCGGAAGUUGGGAAGAGCUCGAGGAUGCUCUUCGGGCAAAUUUUCAAGGGACCUACGUCCGACCUCCGGAUGCAGACGAUCUAAGUCAUAUAACUCAACAACCGGGAGAGUCAGCCCGGAAACUCUGGAACAUAUUUCUUACUAAAAAGAACCAGAUAGUCGACUGUCCAGACGCCGAAGCCUUAGCAGCUUUCAAACACAGCAUUCGAGACGAAUGGCUCGCCAGACACCUCGGCCAAGAAAAGCCAAGAACAAUGGCCGCAUUAACAAGCCUCAUGACCCACUUUUGCGCAGGCGAGGAUAGUUGGUUGGCAAGAAGCAGUACCAGCGACCCAAGUACAUCCGAAGUUAGGGAUGGAAACGGGAAACCACGACGUAGCAAGGACCAGCGUCGGACCAAGGGAAACAGCCCGAAGAGCACGGCAGUCAACGCCGGAUUCAAAAGCUCUCAGCAGAAUCAGAAAAAGCUGCCCCUCAAGGAUAACAGGGACGAGCUAUCUAACCUAAACAAAAUCUUGGACAAAAUAUGCCAAAUCCACAGUACUCCAGGGAAGCCUGCAAACCAUACCCACAGAGAUUGUUGGGUCUUCAAGCAAUCCGGCAAACUCAACGCCGAACACAAGGGGCUCGACAUAUCAAGCGAGGACGAUGACGAACCCCACAAGCAGAACACCGGAGAACAAAAGAAGUUCCCACAAGAGGUCAAAACAGUAAACUCACUUCAUGUGACAAAAGGGAAAAAUAGAGUGGCGCACAUAGAGAUACGCGCCAUACAGCCUGUCCCAGAGCAGUCCCGCCACUGGUUGUUAAAACCAAUCACCUUCGACCAUCAGGAUUACUCUAGAAGUAUCCGGAACGCAGGCUGGACUGCCUUGAUAUUAGAUCCGAUAAUUGACGGACUCCAGUUUACAAAAGUCCUAAUGGACGGCGGAAGUGGUCUAAACCUGCUAUAUCAGGACACAAUCUGCAAAAUGGGGAUAAACCCAACAAAAAUUCGCCAUGGCAACACUUCCUUUCAAGGGGUAACGCCAGGCCCAGAUACCCAUUGUACAAGUUCUCUCCUGUUAGAAGUUAUGUUCGGCUCCCCCGACAACUUCCGCCGCGAAAAGCUAACCUUCCACAUCACCCCAUUUACAAGUGGCUAUCAAGCACUACUAGGACACGAAGCUUUCGCCCGCUUUAAAAUGCCCGGUCCGCGAGGCAUCAUCUCAUUAAAGGGAAAUAUCGAGUGUUCCUCAAGCGCGGAAGACUGUGCGGCUGCCUUGCCAGCCACACACUAAAUCGGCAUCACUAAUCAAAGCACCUAAACAGGUCGUGCAGACCCAGACAUGGCUAGACGAGUCCGGCGUAAACAUACAAGGGCUUACUAGCCGCAUACCCCCGUACAAGGGGCUCCGCGCGUGUACAACAAGAGACAAUAAAACUCAAUUUUACCCAUUUUCUAAAUUAUACUUUGUUUAUUUAAUAUAACAUAGAUUUUUGCAUGAUCUUUUUCAACUAAGUUCCUCUCUUUUACAGAUGAACAUCGUGCUACACCCGUCCAGGAUACGGCACAACGGAGACACAAGCGUAGACAUGCAGUAGUUACCCGUUCCAAGGAUUCUUUUCAGAUUAAGACCCUGCGUAAACCUUUUUCACUGUCUCUUGUUGAUACACAUCCCCCGGUUUCUUGUUAUAACCGAGGAGGAGGCUGGCGUCUUGGCAUGUGGCCAUGUCCGAAUUUUGCGCUUACCUGGACACCAGGGGCUUCUUACCAAGGGCGUUGUUCAGCCCGUUUUCAUAAAGAACGAAUACCUUAGGGAGUGUUCGGCGUCGCGAGUUUGGACUUAUAUGCAUCAACUCCGAAUCAUGUCUUUGGUCAAAUGUUGGGUUUGCUCGGCUCCUGUGUUUUGCUGCCUUACGUUCCGCUCUAUCGACUAAUGCGGCACUAGGAGAACUACUGCGAUUGUGCCCCGGUUCGGCCAGGCGAGCAUCUCAGUAGAGAAAGCCGAAAACUGACUGUCAUGAUAUAGCGUGAGACUGGUCAACCAAUCGAUGACCCGCCGGAAUCUUUAGGAUUCCUCCGCAUUAACAAAGGGCUGUUUCCCGGCCAGGCACACAUGCGCCCCGAAUUCGGGUGAGCGUGGUGCCCCUAGGGGUUAUAUAGUAGCCCCACUGUCAAACUCCUAUGGCUAAGUGAAAGUGAUAAAGCAUUAUAGUCUGGUUGCCUAGUUCGUUGCGCUAUCACCUCCUUAAUAGUACCAAGACGUUGGAUCAAGUGUGAAAACGCGCCUUCUGUGAACACCCCCGCAUUAUAUGCGUGGGGGCUGAAGCCGAAGACUGCCAUCUUUCAGGUUAUAUACACAUAUACAUUAACGGCCGCACAGGAGGUAUUCUAAUUCUUGAAGGCACAAGUAUAAAAAGCUUUUAUAUUCCAUCGAAACAUUGUUUUACAAUAAUACAUGUUAUUCGAACAUAACAUCCUUCGAGCAUUGCGUCUCUAUUAAAUGAGCGCCCUGUAGAACUUCCUGAAAAUAGUGCUCGGCAGGUACUCGUCUCUCGUCUGAAUCUUGGGAUGCAGCAACAAUGGCCUUCAUCUCCGCCCAGUAUGUCUUGACACGGGCAAGAGCCAUCUGUGCACCCUCUAUGCACGCUGACCUCUUCAUUGCAUUAAUAUGCAGCACCACACCCAAGAACUAUUGCACCAAGUUAAAAUAACUCUUCGGCUCGGGCCUUUUCGGCCACAGAUGACUCACAACAUACUUCAUCGCGAGUCCGGAUAACCUAUUCAGCUCCGCCCAUGCGGCCAAACGAUCUGUUAAUGGAAGUGGGCGCUCUGGGUUGUGGAACUGCGACCAAAAAAGCUUUUCCACUUUGUGGUCCUCUUGAUCGCAGAAGUGUUCGCCGCACUCCACUGCCGGUCCAACGGAGCAUAUUUAGGAUCCCCAAACUUCAUCCGUAGCAUAAAGGGCUUUCCAGCCGUGAUAUCUCCAGCCUGACGUAGCUCCUCCUUCAUAGCUCUCAUCGCAGAGCGAGUAUCCUUGGCCUCGGUAGUGACCUUUUCUAGGUCCUUCUGUGCCACCCGAUCUUCUUUUUCAAGAAGCUUGCAGCGGUCGGCAGCAUUCUUCAACUUUACAGCCAUCUCAGCCACUUCCUUCUUGCUUUGGCUGUGAGCAGCCUGUUCGGCUUUUAGCUCUUCAGCUGCCUUUAAGGCAGCCACAUCGCUUUUCCGGGCCUGCUCCUUGGAUCGGGCAAGUUCCGUCCGAAGGUUCUCCGUGGCAGCGGCACCAUCUGCAUCAAGGACACAUGUUGUAAGGUACGGGCAUCAAGAUCCUCUUACCAGGUGUCUUCGGAGAAAUUACAUACCUUAUGCCACGUCCAGGCGCUUGUUGACAAGCGCGAUGUCGGCAUCUGCCACGUCAAGUUGCCGCUUUAGCUUGGCAAAUUCAUCAGUCCGGCUAGCCACCGGACACUUCGCCACCUAGAUAGGAAAGGCGGCAUAUUAUACCUGGGAUUAUGAUUCUCAGUGCACCGUCAUUUUUUGACAACGCACAGAGUCUCAGGGGCUACUAUCUAUACAUGGCGCAUCUUAUAUAUGCGGAUCUGUCAAAAGGUACAUCAUUUUGUGUACCUCAAAACCUGUCAGUAAACUUCUGACGGCCUCGUACAACCCGCUCUUCGUGGAUGAAAUCCUUCCAAUCACCGUAUCCAUCAACGCACGGUGUUCUUCUGGGAUAGACGCUCGCCCGAGCAGAUCCUUUAGCUCCUUCGACCGUGCACCGGACGGUGCCGGACUCGUACGAUGGCCUUUUUCGAAGGCCGGACACGGAGGGCCUUGGGGGGGCAUACGACUGCCUUCCGGCCCUGCCGGAUUUGGAGAAACCCUCUGUGACGACACCUUAGGGCCGCCCGCCUCGCAAAGCGGUACGGCAGGGGGAGGCAUUCCGCUCUCCAUAAUCUCCGAACGAAGAUCCCCUGAAGAUGAGCUCUGUUGAGAAGGGCUGAGAUCCAAACUACAAGGUAAAAUUUCGGUUAUCUUCCUCAGAAAAUAGAACAGGGAUGUCUCUCAUUUUGAAACCCCCCCUCUUUACUUACGGCUCGGUAGAGAGCUGAUACCCUCGGGGGCGCAAUGCGACCGAGGCACCCCCCCGGCGCCAGACCCUCUGACAAAGAUUUCUUCCCCCGCUUUGAGACCAUGGCCUCCGGGUCUUCAGAGGCGGUCCUCUUCUUCCCCUGGUUAGAGGAAUUCUCGAUUCCUCCUUUCCUGACAACCUCCUUCGGGGAGGCGGUAGCUUCCUUGCUCCCCUCUUCGCCUUCGUUCAAAGGCGCAACCUCCAGCAUCCUGGUUAACACGGGAUCCGAUGUAGUCUCAGGGAGGGGGGCCGGACAUCUGAAUAGCUUUGCUUUCGCUAUCCACUCCUGUUUAAGGGACAUCUCUUUUAAGGUCAAUUUCAUGAUAAAUACAUGGAUAGCGUGUUCAGGUACAGGGCUACUUACUUGAGUAUCCGGGCAAUUGCAGCUCAGACCUGCAUCCUCGGACGAGUCCGGACACAUUGCUUGUGAUCCGAAGAACAAUUUGUACAUCUCCAUGGGCGUCGCAGCCACAAAAAGUUGGAGGGAUCAUGGUCCUUCCGGAUUAAACUCCCAUAGGCGGAGGGGGCGACGUUUGCAGGGCAGGAUGCGGCGAAUCAACAUAACCUGCAUCACUACGGCCAGAUUGAUAUCUCUAUCUAGGAGAUCUCGAACGCGGCCCUGCAACAAGGGCACGUCCUUGGAUGACCCCCAGUUAAGCCCUUUAUUGACCCAUGAUGCUAGUUCUGGUGGGGGACCCGAGUGAAACGCAGGUGGCGCCACCCAUUUGGUGCCCCUGGGAGCUGUGAUAUAAAACCACUCUCAUUGAAAAGAGCCCUCGGGCCAUGGAGCGUCGGCAUUCUUGCUUAUAACAGCACCUCCGCACUCUGCGUGCUGCCCCUCGAUCAUCUUCGGCUCUAAUUUGAAGGUCUUAAGCCACAAUCCGAAGUGAGGAGUAAUACGAAGGAAGGCCUCGCACACGACAAUGAAAGAUGAGAUAUGAAGGAUGGACUCCGGAGCUAAGUCAUGAAAUUCCAGCCCGUAAUAAAACAUGAGCCCCCUCACGAAGGGGUCCGUCGGGAAGCCUAGCCCCCGAAGGAAGUGAGACGAGAACACCAUGCUCUCACCAGGCUUGGGAGUGGGAAUAACCUGCCCUUGAGCAGGCAGCCUAUGCGAGAUUUCGCCGGCUAGAUACCUGGCAUCUCUUAGCUUUAGCACGUCUUCUUCCGCAACGGAGGAAGGCAUCCACCGGCCUUGAAGGUCGGAGCCGGACAUCGUCGGAGGUCCGAAGCGCCUGAAUCUGGAGCUUUGCGUGUUGGAACUCAAGGUGAGAGGCGAAUUUGAUUGAGAUUGAAAGAAAGGAGUCGAGCCUUGGUAUCUUUAUAAAGAGGUUGAAUACCAAGAGCCCUCCCCCUGGCCGUUUGGGACUCGCCUUCGAUUGAGGAGACAUACCAACAGGCACGAUUGGGUUACCCACGCCCGUAUUGGUGAGAAUCCCGGGAUAAGGAGACACGAUCUCUGCUUUGACAAGACGUGCCAAGGAAACCGCCUUGCUAAACGCGCUGAGGUGGGACAGUAAAACGAUUCAAAUAAAGGCUUGGUCGUGGCGUGAUGUCACGCUGCGGAAUACGUCAGCAUAUUAGAUUUGUACAAAUAUUAUUCACUCUACGGUGGUAUGUGGAACUUAUUUUGCAGAGCCGGACACUAUCCUUGUGUUCAAAAUCUUCUAUGAAGUAUUCGGAGCAGGAACCCGCCUUGCAAUGCCGAAGACAAUCUGCGCGCAGGACUAUGAAGCCUGGUUCAGGGGCUACUAAGGGAGUCCUGGAUUAGGGGGUGUCCGGAUGACCAGACUAUAACCUUUGGCUGGACUCCUGGACUAUGAAGAUACAAGAUUGAAGACUUCGUCCCAUGUCCAGAUGGGACUUUCCUUGGCGUGGAAGGCAAGCUUGGCCAUACGGAUAUGUAGAUCUCCUCCCAUUGUAACCGACUCUGUGUAACCCUAGCCCUCUCCGGUGUCUAUAUAAACUGGAGGGUUUUAGUCUGUAGGACGAACAACAAUCAUACCAUAGGCUAGCUUCUAGGGUUUAGCCUCUCUGAUCUCGUGGUAGAUCUACUCUUGUACUACCCAUAUCAUCAAUAUUAAUCAAGCAGGAGUAGGGUUUUACCUCCAUCGAGAGGUCCCGAACCUGGGUAAAGACAUCGUGUCCUUUGUCUCCUGUUACCAUCCGCCUAGACGCACAGUUCUGGACCCCCUUCCUGAGAUCCACCGGUUUUGACACCGACACCCGUUCACUCUGAAAUUCUUGGAACUAUUCAAAUGUUUCAGACUUGUGUUUCAUUAAGUUGAUAUACCCAUAUCUGCUCAAAUCAUCUGUGAAGGUCAAAAAAUAACGAUACCCGCCACGAGCCUCAACACUCAUCAGAACGCAUACAUCGGUAUGUAUUAUUUCCAAUAAGUCAUUGAAUUGCUCCAUUGUUCUGGAGAAUAGUGUUUUAGUCAUCAUGCCCGUGAGGCAUGGUUCACAAGUAUCAAAUGAUUCAUAAUCAAGUGAUUCCAAAAGUCCAUCUGCAUGGAGUUUCUUCAUGCGCUUUACAACGAUAUCAGAAACGGCAGUGCCACAAAUAUGUUGCACUAUCACUAUCAACUUUGCAUCUUUUGGCUUCAAUAUUAUGUAUAUGUGUAUUACUACGAUUGAGAUUCAAUAAACCAUUCACAUUAGUUCUACGACAAUGGAAGAUUUUAUUCAUGUAAACAGAAUAACAAUUAUUCUCUAACUUAAAUGAAUAACCGUAUUGCAAUAAACAUGAUCUAAUCAUAUUCAUGCUCAACACAAACACCAAAUAACAUUUAUUUAGGUUCAAUACUAAUCCCGAAAGUAUAUGGAGUGUGCGAUGAUGAUCAUAUCAAUCUUGGAACCACUUCCAACACACAUUGUCACUUCACCCUCAACUAGUCUCCAUUUAUUCUGCAACUCCUGUUUCGAGUUACUAAUCUUAGCAACCGAAUAAGUAUCAAAUACCUAGGGGCUACUACGAGCACUAGAAAGGUACACAUCAAAAACAAGUAUAUCAAAUAAAACCUUUGUUCACUUUGUCAUCCUUCUUAUCCGCCAAAUAUUUGGGGUAGUUCCGCCUCCAGUGACCACUUCCUUUGUAGUAGAAGCACUCAGUUUCAAGCUUGGGUCCAGCUUUGGGUUUCUUCCCAGGAGUGACAACUUGCUUGCCAUUCUUCUUGAAGUUCCCUUUCUUUCACUUUGCCCUUUUCUUGAAACUAGUGGUCUUGUUUAAGUACCAACACUUGAUGCUUUUUCUUGAUUUCUACCUUCGUCGAUUUCAGCAUCACGAAGAGCUUCGGAAUCUCUUUCAUCAUCCCUUGCAUAUUAUAGUUCAUCAUGAAGUUCCAGUAACUUGGUGAUGGUGACUAGAGAACUCUGUCAAUCACUAUCUUAUCUGGAAGAUUAACUCCCACUUGAUUCAAGCGAUUGUAGUACCCAGACAUUCUGAGCACAUGCUCACUAGCUGAGCUAUUCUCCUCCAUCUUUUAGGUGAAUUCCUUGUCAAAGGUCUCAUACCUCUCGACACGGGCAUGAGUCUGAAAUACCAAUUUCAGCUCUUGAAACAUCUCAUAUGCUCUGUGGCAUUCAAAGAAUUUUGAAGUCCCGGUUCUAAGCUGUAAAGCAUGGUGCACUAAACUAUCAAGUAGUCAUCAUAUUGAGCUAUCCAAACAUUCAUAACGUCUGCAUGCGCUCCUAUAAUAGGUCUGUCACCUAGUGGUGCAUCCAGGACAUAAUUCUUUUGUGCAACAAUGAGGAUAAACCUCAGAUCAUGGAACGAGUCCGCAUCACUGCUACUAUCAUCUUUCAACUUAGUUUUCUCUAAGAACAUAUCAAAAAAUAUAGGGGAGCUGCAAUGCGAGCUAUUGAUCUACAACAUAAUUUGCAAAUACUAUCAUGACUAAGUUCAUGAUAAAUUAAAGUUCAAUUAAUCAUAUUACUUAAGAACUCCCACUUAGAUAGACAUCCCUCAAGUCAUCUAAAUUAUACGUGAUCCAAAUCAACUAAAUCAUGUCCGAUCAUGACAUGAGAUGGAGUAGUCAUCAAUGGUGAACAUCUCUAUGUUGAUCAUAUCCACUAUAUGAUUCACGUUCGAUCUUUCGGUCUCCAGUGUUCCGAGGCAAUAUGCAUAUGCUAGGCUCGUGAAGUUUAACCUGAGUAUUCUGCAUGUGCAAAACUGGCUUGCACCCAUUGUAUUUGAACAUAGAGCUUAUCACACCCGAUCAUCAUGUGGUGUCUCAGCACGAAGAACUUUCGCAAUGGUGCACACUCGGGGAGAACACUUAUACCAUGAAAUUUUAGUAAGGGGUCGUCUUAUAAUGCUAUGGCCGUACUAAGCAAAAUAAGAUGCAUAAAGAUAAAUAUCACAUGCAAUCAAAAAUAUGUGACAUUAUAUGGCCAUCAUCAUCUUGUGCUUUUGAUCUCCAGCACCAAAGCAAAGUCAUGAUCUCCAUUGUCACCGGCUUGACACCUUGACCUCCAUCAUAGCAUCGUGGUCCUCUCGCGAACUAUUCCUUCUACGACUAUCGCUACCGCUUAGUGAUAAAGUAAAGCAAUUACAUGGCGUUUGUAUUUCAUACAAUAAAGUGACAACCAUAAGGCUCCUGCCAGUUGCCGAUAACUUUUAACUUUCACAAAACAUGAUCAUCUCAUACAACAACGUAUAUCACAUCAUCUCUUGACCAUAUCACAUCACAACACGCCCUGCAAAAACAAGUUAGACGUCCUCUACUUUGUUGUUGCAAGUUUUACGUGGCUGCUACGGGCUUCUAGCAUGAACCGUGCUUACCUAUGGCACAAAAGCCACAACGGUGAUUUAUCAAGUUUGUUGUUUUAACCUUCACAAGGACCGGCUGCAGUCAAAUUCGAUUCAACUAAAGUUGGAGAAACAGACACCCGCCAGCCACCUUUAUGCAAAACUAGUCGCAUGUCUAUCGGUGGAACCGGUCUCAUGAACUUAGUCAUGUAAGGUUGGUUCGGGCCGCUUCAUCCAACAAUACCGCCGAAUCCAAAUAAGACAUUGCUGGUAAGAAGUUGACGAUCACUGCCCACAACUCUCUGUGUUCUACUCAUGCAUAUCAUCUACGCAUAGACCUGGCUCGGAUGCCACUGUUGGGAAACGUAGCAUGCAAUUUCAAAAAAAAUCCUACGCUCACGUAUGAUCUAUCUAGGAGAUGCAUAGCAACAAGAGGAGGAGAGAGUGUCCACGUACCCUCGUAGACCGAAAGCGGAAGCGUUAGCUUAACGAGGUCGAUGUAGUCGAAUGUCUUCUCGAUUUAACCGAUCAAGCACCGAACGUAUGGUACCUCCAAGUUCUGCACACGUUCAGCUCGAUGACGUCCCUCGAACUCUUGAUCCACCAAAGUGUCAAGGGAGAGUUACGCCAGCACGACGGCGUGGUGACGGUGAUGGUCAAGUGAUCCACGCAGGGCUUCGCCUAAGCACUACGACAAUAUGACCGGAGGAGUAAACGGUGGAGGGGCACUGCACACGGCUAAGAACAAUUGAUGUGCUUAGAGGUGCCCCCCGCCCCCAUAUGUAAAGGAGGGAGAGGGGAGGAGGCCGGCCUAGGCCGCGCCAAGUGGGGAGGACUCCCACUUGGACUCCUAGUCCUAUUCGGUCCCCUUUCCUUCUAUCGGGGGGGGAGGAGGGGGGAGGAGAGGGGGUUGGAGAAGGACAGGGGGUGGCGCCCCCUUCCCUACUCCAAUUCGGCCUCCUUCCUUGUGGGGGGCGCACCAGCCCCUUGUGGUCUGGUUAGCCUCCCUCCUAUGGCCCAUAUGGCCCAUAUCUUCCACCAGGGGGUUUCGGUAACCCCUCCGGUACACCGAUAUGUACCCGAUACACUCUGGAACCCUUCCAGUGUCUGAAUAGUACCUUCCAAUAUAUCAUUCUUUACCUAUGGACCAUUUUGAGACUCCUCGUCAUGUCCGUGAUCUCAUCCGGGACACCGAACAACCUUCGGUCAGCAAAACACAUAACUCAUAUAAUACAUAUCAUCAUCGAACGUUAAGCGUGCAGACCCUACGGGUUUCAGAACUAUGCAGACAUGACCGAGACACCUCUCUGGUCAAUAAAUAACAGCGGAACCUGGAUGCUCAUAUUGGUUCCCACAUAUUCUACGAAGAUCUUUAUCGUUCGAACCGCUAUGUCAACAUAUGUUAAUCCCUUUGUCAUCGGUAUGUUACUUGCCCAUGAUUCGAUCGUCGGUAUCUUCAUACCUAGUUCAAUCUCGUUACUGGCAAGUCUCUUUACUUGUUCCGUAAUACAUCAUCCCGCAACUAACUCAUUAGUCACAUUCCUUGCAAGGCUUCAUGUGAUGUGCAUUACCGAGAUGGCCCAAAGAUACCUCUCCGAUACUCAGAGUGACAAAUUCUAAUCUCAGUCUAUACCAACCCAACAAACACCUUCGUAGUUACCUGUGGAGCAUCUUUAUAACCACCCAGUUAUGUUGUGACGUUAGAUAGCACACAAGGCAUUCCUCCGGUGUUCGGGAAUUGCAUAAUCUCAUAGUCAGAGGAAUAUGUAUUUGACAUGAGGAAAGCAGUAGCAAUAAAACUGAACGAUCAUUAUGCUAUGCUAACGGAUGGGUCUUGUCCAUCACAUCAUUCUCCUAAUGAUGUGAUCCCGUUCAUCAAAUGACAGCACAUGUCCAUGACUAGGAAACUUAACCAUCUUUGAUCAACGAGCUAGUCAAGUAGAGGCGUACUAGGGACAUAGUGUUUUGUCUAUGUAUUCACACACAUGUGUAAAGUUUCCGGUUAAUACAAUUCUACCAUGAAUAAUAAACAUUUAUCAUGAAAAAGAAAAUAUAAAAUAACAACUUUUAUUAUUGCCUCUAGGGCAUAUUUCCUUCACAUAUGCCCAAUCAAGGCAGUCCUGGAUAAUUCUAGCUUUGAGGAACCCAUGUUGAUUGAUAUGUAGCAUCUAGAGAAUAACUCUUUGUAAUCUAUUGGCCAACAGUUUGGUAAUUAUCUUAAGUACUCCAUUGAGUAGUGAGAUUGGUCUGAAAUCAUUGGGUGAUACUGGCACUUGCUUUUUUGGAAUCAAUGUAAUGAAGGAUGUAUUGAUGCUUUCAAGAUUUAUAUUACCAUCACGAAAAGCCAUGAUAAGCUCAGUGAUAUCCACUUUAAUGAUGUACCAACAAGCUUUGAUGAACUCAUUAUUAAAUCCAUCAUGACCUGGAGAUUUAUUUGUAGGAAUGUUUUUUACCACUUCAUCACUUUCCUCCUGUGUAAAAGGCUUCUCAAGAUCUUGCAAGAUCUCAGGCUCAACUCUAUGUUCAUCUAGAUCAUUCAAAUCAAAGUGCAUUGUGUGACCAUUAGAUUGUCCCAAUCUUUUUUUAAAAGCCUCCCAAAGAAUAGUUGUUUUUUUCUUCAUGGUCAAUAAUUUUCACUUGAUCAUCAUUCAGUAGUAUAGCAAUUUUAUUAUGUCUAUGAUUAAUAGUGGCUUUGGUAUGAAAGAAUUUGGAGUUCUCAUCACCAAACUUAUGACCUUUUAUUUUCCCUCUUUGCUUCCAAUAAAUCUUCUGGCUAUUAAGUACUGGUAAUAGGAGUUCCUUCAGCAUAGUUCUAAAAUUCCCAUCAAAUACUGAGAGAUAUCUAUAUUCCUCAAUCAAGUCCCAAAGGAAAAUACAAGCAUUUAAAUCCUCAAACUGCUUUUUAAGACAUGACAAACUCUUAGCCCACAAUUUUAAAGAUCUUCUCAAAUUCUUAAACUUUGCGUUGAUUUUUUUGGCAGGAUCAGUGUAACAAACAUGAAUAUUCCAUGCUACUUGAACAAUGUCUUUGAAAGAGCUGUGUUUCAACCAAUAAUUUUCAAACCUGAAUACCUUGGACUUGGGAAUGCAAACCAAACCAAUAUUCCACAGUACACAAUUUUUAUUUGCAGACCGAUUUCAAAAUUGUCGCCUCUAUUCAUUUCCGUUGUCUAAUCUACUAGCCAAUUAAGUCUGAACCGAGAACCGAACCUAAAUCUCAGUCGACCGAAUCUUUGGUUAGGAAUUUUCCCAAAUGACCAAUCGGCCGUCUUUUUUUGAAAACUGAAUUUCUUCAAAAGCUGAAGAACCAAACAAAACGGUUCGGUUACACAGAAUGCCCAGCUCUCCAAACGCCUCCACUUUCUCCCAGUUGAACAUGUGAUAUUUCUUACACCGAGUCUUCUUGCCAAAGCAAUCUUCUCCCAAAACAAUCAAAUAUUUUCUUUACUCCUACUAGCACAUAUGCCCUUGCGUUGCAACGGGAAAAAUUGAUAUUUUAUGCAAACAUAAUGUCCCAUAAUAUCAGAUUCACUAUGAAGAACAUGCUGCAACGCAACAUCGUUCUACAAAAUGAACAUAAAAAAUACGUUGCAAUUUAGCCGUGUUCAUAUUUUCUAUGUCGGGCAUAAUCUCCCACUGAUUUCAUCUAAGUUUUAUCCCUUUUAAUGGCAUUUAAGUAUUAUCCUUUCGUUAGUUACCAUGACAUCCUGAUCUGUUUUAGUCGGGAAUCGGAUCCUUACUUUUCUAAUUUAGUAGCCCCAACACAUUGAAGCCUACAAUUUUUUUUAAUUAUCCUACCUUUUUACCUCAAAUCCUUCAUGUAAAAUUUAUUAAGAUCACAAUCUUUCUUUUAUUUAUUCCACCGGUUUACCCAUAGUCCUUUCUUUAAUUAGCCACAUCCAUUUAAAUAUUCUAUUCAAGCCCACAAUCCUUCCUUUAUUAGCUCAUUCACUUAGUUAGAUCGCUGUAAACAUGAUGAUUGUCACUCGUAUAUUUAGAGCGAGUUUGGAUUAGUAAAUGUGAAAGACGCAUAGGUCGUUGGUAGUUACAUCGAAGAGCCAGACAUGAGAUCACGUGUUUAAUUUCCACAAUGUUGAUUUAAUUUGUCCCAAUUAUUUUUCGUGGUUUCUAUAAAAGCCCAUAAAAGGUCCAUCAAUGUACAAGUACCUGGCCCAAAUCGCUUAGCGUGUAAACCAAACGAAAAAUACUAAAUCAAACCAAGAAUACCUAUUCCCUUUAAUUGUAGGUAUAGAUAUAGAUUGGCAAGCCAUAAAAGGAAAGCAUGCACAACAGUUUAUAUUUUCUAGACUACUUACUCUGGAGCAAAGCCCCGGUCCUUUAUUCAAAACCAAAUAGUAUGUACAGGGGUCAAGUAGUCAGCUACAUAUACAAAACAUACCUACUUACCUAGCAAAAAGGAAAACUAAGGGAGGCUGGCAAUCUAAGCCAGAAGAUUCGGCCUACCACAAGCCCUGACUCUACAAGAAAUAAGGGUUAUAUCAUGUACAAAUUUACAACACCAUGAGCCAAAAGUGGCAUAGCUCCAAAUGUCCUUCCAUUUAUGACAAUCCAGAUAUUUCAUUUCCAAGCAGAGUCAGCAUAACCUCGAAGAAGAAAGGAUGGGCAAACCUCAUGUUUGCCCCGACAAUGCAUGGUCUGAUCUCAGACCCAUGUGCCGGAUCUAUCUGCAUGUAAUUCCAGAUCCUAAGGCUGAACUAGCGGGAGAAGAAGAGAAGUCUGUAACACAUUACACAUGGGUUUAUUGCUCAAAGAAGCAGUGAGAAAAGAGAACAUGCCUCCAAUGGAUGCUAAUUUUCCUUGCCAAUAUUCUAAUCUUACAAAAAAACAUGCCAUCAUUAAAAUAAAUUUAUGGAUGGUUGAGCCUUUGAGGCUUUGAGGGAAGAAUCCAACAACAAAUAUGCCCAAUUUUCCCUUUGAGAUUUACUUUUGCCCCUGACAAAUACAGGCCAUGAAUCGUCAAUACUAAAUCAACAUCAGAAAACAGGCACAAGGCUUGACUUUAUAGAUAAAUCGACGAGCUCCACAAGAACACAAUUAUUGAAUACAAAGGUUCAGCAAAAAAGUGAAAUAGUUCACCAGCCAACAUAAAAAAACACGCAAAUGGCCUCAGUUUAUAUAGAUAAAUCGACGAGUUCCACAAGAACACGAUUAUUGAAUACAGAGGUUCAGCAAGCAAACAGGAAAUAGCUCGGGCUGGCGCAACAGCAUAGGUAAGCCCAAAAUAAAGAAAAAGAAAACAAACUACGGAGCCGGAAUCUGGUGAGCCACCCUCCGGAAGCCAAGAAGGAGCCCAUCCAGUCCUCCGUGAUCCCGACGCCAAGCGAGCACCUGCCAUUGCAGAAUCGAUCGAGGCUACUAGCUAAUUCAACAUCCCCGGCAGUGAGCUGAAACGGUCACAUCCCUUCAUUUUAUUGCGUCCAUCCGAUUAUUGAUUUCUUGAAAUAAACAGCAUGCCAUGCAUUCAGCAUUGUUUUAUUUAUUUGAACAUAGCACAACCAUCAUAUGGAAACGGAAGCAGGCACGGCUGGCGAGUUAUUGGUAGUCUUAACCAAGACUUCUGGGACGGAGUUGAACUUGGCAAACCACUUGGCUGACUUCUUGAGCUUGCGCUUGUUGCUGUCCGUCUUGUCGAUGUAGACGAGGCUGAAUCGUGUGCUGUAGCCAAGGGUCCAUUCGAAGUUGUCGAUCAGACCCCAGGUGAAGUGGCCCCGCACGUCCGCGCCCUGGCUGAAAACACACAUACAUGAAAGCGCGCUUAGCUAGACUUCAACCAUGUGUCUGUGUGUAUGUAUACAUGUGCAUGCAUGAUAACAUACGUAGUACUACCUCGGUCCUGGUUUAUUGGUCCCUAUUAUAUUUCGUGUCAAAUUUGACCUUAGAUUGAACUAAUAAAAUGUUCAUGCAUGUCAUAAAAAAUUAUGCCAUUGAAAACUAUGUUCAAAUACGAAUCCAAUGAUAUAAUUUUUGUUGACAUGCAUUAACAAUUUGUUAGUUAAAUCUUUGAUCAAAAUUUGACACACAUUACAAAGGGGUCCAAUAAACCAGCACCGAGGCAGUACCUUACAUUAAUCAAUGUGCUAUUAGAGUAAUGUAGGUAAGAGUGCAAAGUAAGUGAAACAAAAAAGAUAGGAUUUUAGGGUGGGUAGUUACUCUAUUGCGUCCUUGACGGCUGAGAUGUGGCGCUGGAGGUAGUCUAGCCUUUUCCAGUCAUCCAAUGGAUCCGGCAUGCUUUCGUCGCCUUCCACGUCAGCGAUUCCUAAGUGCAUCCAGGAAAUCCAUUUCUCUCCAAAUCCCUUUGCUCUGAGUAUAUCAAUAAUUGUCUGAUGUUCAAUAGUGUCAAAAGCUUUCUCAAAAUCCAGUUUAAUCACCAUCAUCUCUUCUUUUGAUUUAUGACAUUGAUGGAUAUAUUCAUAUGCCCCACCAAGGCAGUCCUGGAUCAUUCUAGCUUUGAGGAACCCAUGUUGAUUGAUAUGUACCAUCUAGAGAAUAAUUCUUUGUAAUCUAUUGGCCAGUAGUUUGGUAAUUAUCUUAAGUACUGCAUUGAGCAGUGAGAUUGAUCUGAAAUCAUUGGGUGAGACUGGCACUUCCUUUUUUGGAAUCGAUGUAAUGAAGGAUGUAUUGAUGCUUUCAAGAUUUAUAUUACCAGCAUGAAAAGCCAUGAUGAGCUCAGUGAUAUCCACUUUAAUGAUGUUCCAACAAGCUUUGAUGAACUCAUUAUUAAAUACAUCAGGACCUGGAGAUUUAUCUGUAGGAAGGUUUUUUACCACUUCAUCAAUUUCCUCCUGUGUAAAAGGCUUUUCAAGAUCUUGGAAGAUCUCAGACUCAACAAUAUGUCCAUAUAGAUCAUUCAAAUCAAAGUGCAUUGUGUGACCAUUAGAUUGUCCAAAUGUUUUUUUAAAGCCUCCCAAAGAAUAGUUGUUUUCCUUCAUGGUCAGUAAUUUCCACUUGAUCAUCAUUUAGAAGCAUAGCAAUUUUAUUAUGUCUAUGAUUAAUAGUGGAUUUGGUAUGAAAGAAUUUGGUGUUCUCAUCACCAAAGUUAACACGUUUUAUUUUCCCUCUUUGCUUCCAAUAAAUCUUGUGAUUCUUAAGUAAUGUCAAUAGGAAUUCCUUCAGCAUAGACCUACAAUUCCCUUCAAAUACUAAGAGAUAUUUAUAUUCCUCAAUCAAGUCCCAGAGGAAAAUACAAGCAUUUAAACCCUCAAACUGCUUUUUAAGAAAUGACAAACUCUUGGCCCACAAUUUUAAAGAUCUUCACAAAUUCUUAAACUUUGCAUUGAUUUUUUUGGCAGGAUCAGUGUAACCCACAGGAAUAUUCCAGGCUGCUUGAACAAUGUCUUUGAAAGAGUUCUGUUUCAACCAAUAAUUUUCAAAGCUGAAUACCUUGGACUUGGGAAUGCAGACCAAACCAAUAUUCCACAAUACACAAUGUUUAUUUGCAGACCAAUUUCAGAAGUGUCGCUUCUAUUCAUUUCCGUUCUCUAAUCUACUAGUAAAUUAAGUCUGAACCGAGAACUGAACCUAAAUUCCGGUCCACCGAAUCUUUGGUUAGGAAUUUUCCCAAUGACCAAUCGGCCAUCCUUUUUUGAAGACCGAAUUUCUUCAAAAGCUGAAGAACCGAACCGAACGGUUCAAUUACAUAGAAUGCCCAGCUCUCCAAACGCCUCCACUUUCUCCCAGUUGAACAUGUGAUAUUUCUUACACCGAGUCUUCUUGCCAAAGCAAUCUUCUCCCAAAACAAUCAAAUAUUUUCUUUACUCCUUUUGGCAAGCCAUAAAAGGAAAGCAUGCACAACGGUUUAUAUUUUCUAGACUACUUACUCUGGAGCAAAGCCCCGGUCCUUUAUUCAAAACCAAAUAGUAUGUACAGGGGUCAAGUAGUCAGCUACAUAUACAAAACUUACCUACUUAUUACCUAACAAAAAGGAAAACUAAAGGAGGCUGGCAAUCUAAGCCAGAAGAUUCGGUCUAUCACAAGCCCUCAUUCUACAAGAAAGAAGGGUUAUAUCAUGUACUCCCUCUGUUCCGAUUUACUCGUCGUGGUUUUAGUUCAAAUUUGAACUAAAACCAUGACGAGUAAAUCGGAAUGGAGGGAGUACAAAUUUACAACACCAUGAGCCAAAAGUGGGAUAGCUCUGAUUGUCCUUCCAUUUAUGACAAUCCAUAUAUUCCAUUUCCAAGCAGAGUCAGCAUAACUUCGAAGAAGAAAGGAUGAGCAAACCUCAUGUUUGCCCCGACAAUGCAUGGUCUGAUCUCAGACCCAUGUGCCGGAUCUAGCUAUCUCCAAGUAAUUGCUGAUCCUAAGGCUGAACUAGCGGGAGAAGAAGAGAUGAAGUCUGUAACACAUUACACAUGGGUUUAUUGCUCAAAGAAGCAGUGAGCAAAGAGAUCAUGCCUCCAAUACUAAUUUCCUUGCCAAUAUUCUGAUCUUAAAAACAUUAGAAAACAAGCACAAGGCCUCACUUUAUAUAGAUAAAUCGACGAGUUCCACAAGAACACGAUUAUUGAACACAAACGUUCAGCAAGCAAAAGGGAAAUAGUUCGGGCUGGGGCGGCAGCACAGAUAAGCCCGACAUAAAGAAAAAGAACACAACCUACAGAGCCCGCCGGAACCGGAAGCUGGCGAGCCACACCCUCCGGAGGCCAAGAAGGAGCCCAUCCAAUACGCCGUGAUCCCGACGCCAAGCGAGCAUCCGCCAUUACAGAAUCGAUCGAGGCUACUAAUUCAACAUCCCUGGCAGUGAACUGAAACGGCCACAUCCUCCCUUCAUUUUAUUGCACCCAUCCGAUUAUUAAUUUCUUCAAACUAACUGCAUGCCAUGCAUCCAGCCUUGGAUUAUUUGUUCGAACAUAGCACCACUUCGUUCUCCAUCAUACAGAAACGGAAGCAGCUGUCAUGGUUGCGUUGUUAUUGGUGGUCUUAAGCAAGGGUUUUGGGACGGAAUUGAACUUGGAGAACCACUUGGCCGACUUCUUGAGCUUGCGCUUGUUGCCGUCAUUCUUGUCGAUGUAGACAAGGCCGAACCGUGAGCUGUAGCCGAGGCUCCAUUCGAAGUUGUCGAUCAGACCCCACGUCAAGUGGCCCCGCACGUCCGCGCCCUGGCUGAAAGCACACAUACAUUUGAGUAAUCAGUGUGCUAUAUUAGGGUAUGUAUGUAUGUAGGUAGGUAAGAGUACAAAAUAAAUGAAAAAAAUAGGUAGGGUUUUAGCGUGGGUAGUUACUCUAUUGCGUCCUUGACGGCUGAGAUGUGGCGCUGGAGGUAGUCUAGCCUCUUCCAGUCAUCCAAUGGAUCCGGCAUGCUUUCGUCACCUUCCACGUCAGCGAUUCCUGCACACACACAAGUUAGAGGUAAUCCAUCACACUUCCUUUAAAAAAAACCUCCAAUGAACCAUUACAUCAUAUCUCCAUGGAUUAGGUUCUUGUCUGAUUUGAGGGAACUAGUGCCACUCGAACACAAAGAUUGUUUACAGAUUAGUGUGUGUCAAUCUUCAUGAGGAUUAGGGUAAUGAGGAUCAUGGAAAUUUGACUAGUUACUUUUGAUGUCAGAUUUUCAACCUUUUUAUUAACGGCAAGUCAACUAAAGUUUGAUAUGAACCGAUGACUGGUCAUUCGAUUACUACAAAAUCCAAUGCUAUAUACACACACACAUAUCACUACUUACCGUUCUCAGUGAUGAAGACAGGUGGGUUUCCGUAUUUCUCCUUCAUGAUCAGAAGGAGGUCCGUUAGGCCUUUUGGGUACAUGUAGAUCCAAUAAGUCCCGGU